rnacentral:lncRNA from 1 species
UGAUAGAAAACAAAUAACAUAAAUUCAUGAAGUAGCUCUCUCUCUUCUCCCUAGAUAGAGAGAGAAUUCUCUCUUAUCUUCCCUUCCCUCUUAACACACACCAAUCUUUCAGAGGGAGGAAGAAAUUAGCUUGUUUGUUUUUGUUGUAAGAUAUUUCUUCAACCGAAAGGUUGAAUCAUGUUUUUGCUCGGCAAAUUUUCUUUUUCGUUUUGAAUAUUUUGUUGUGUUUUCGAUCUUAUUUCAAAGUUGUUCUUCACUCUUAUCUUUCUUUGAUUUGAGAUCGAGUUUCCCUCUUCAAGUUCCGUGAACUACUUUAAAUCCCGGUUGAUUUCAAAACUGAUUCUUUUGUUGCUGGUUCAUGCCUAUUCCUCUUUAAUCAAUCAUAAAUCUUACUCUUUUUGGAUUUACUAAGUCGUUAAAAGUGGAGUUAAGUGGGUUGAUUGAAGGGUGAAUAGUUUGUUGAUUCAAGUUGAUCAAUUUGCUGUCGGGUUAAGUAGAGUUGGGGCUUCUAUGAAGCGUCCUGUCAAGAAUCCGUUCAUUGAUUGAUUCAACUUUCAUCUUGAGUUUAUAUCCAGUAAUCACUGAAUCGGUUUGGAGACAGAUGGAGCUUGGAAUUCGACGAAUUUGGGAGGCAGCCAUACUUUCACAAAGGCUCAAACCUGAAGAAGAUCAACUCAAGAUGAUAGCACGGCGGAGGAACAGAGGCACGGCGGUGUAAAGCUGCGGAGAUGACGAUGCCUGCAUAAAGUCUCUGUUAUUGACACGUGUCUCGUAGAGCUUCUUGGUUUGGACGCGUGUAUUGUUGUGUGUUUGAGUUACUUUUAAAAUUCAUCAACUUUUAAAAUUUAUAAACUCUACAUAAAUUUAUCUCUCAAUAAUUCUCCAAGAUGUAAAUGUAUCUUCUGUAACUGUAAAAAUUAAAUAAAAAUAAAAUGUGACUGAAUGGUUGAACUAUAGCUGUAGAUUUUUUACUGUAAAAUUUAUGUGUAGCAAUAUUAGUUGUACCUCUAGAAUUUAUAUUUAGCUAUUUUAAAAUUAAAACAUCAAUGGUCAAUAGUUAUUUAUUUGAUAAGAAAAAAAAAAUACAAUUUACUAUAUUUAUAGAAGAAAAUGUAAGUUAUGUAUCAUAACUAUAUAUUUUGAUUUAAAAUUUAUGAAUUAUAAUCUGAAUAUUUUACCUUUAUAUAUGUAAUAUAUUAUAAUAUUUAUAUAAUCAAACAUCUAUAAUUUAAAAAUCUUUUUAAAAAAUUAAGCUUUUACUCAAUGAUAUUUAAAUGAUAUAUUAAUGACAAAAUUUAACAAAGUUUAUAUAGGAAAGAAAGGAAAAGAUAAAUAAUUAAUUUGCUACAGCCUUCCUAAAGCAUCUAAAUCAAGACUUUAAAAAAUAACGCAGCUACAGCCAAUAAUUCAUAUUUUCGUAACUAACGGAAGCUUAUUUCAUAAACUUCCCUUUCUUAUUAUUUGCAGAGCAUUAAUAAAAAAUAACCUUACCUUCAUGUGAUUAACCAAAGUACCAUUGCUUAGAUUGCUUAGAUGUCACAACUAGAAUCAUUCGCAUGACCUUACAUUAAAAAUACUCAUUUUACUAGAAUAAUUACAUGUAAUACCACUCCUUAUUAUAUAUAAUUAGCUCAACAUCUAUAGUAUAUGGCCACAUCGUAAAAUUAUAAUGACAGUGAUUUCUUUUGUCUUAAUCAAAUUUUAAUAUAAACUAGAUUUUGACCCGCGCUUCGAAAGCGCGGAUUUCGUUUGGUUAUAAAAAAGUUUGAUAUGAAUUAAUAUUCUAUGAUUUUUAUAUUAUUAUGUUAUAAAGUCGUAUUAUAUCAAAUAAGGAAAUUUGUUAAAAAUUAAAUAAUUUAUGAAUUAGUUGAUGUGAGAUUUUGUAUGUACACUCUUAUAAACUUUCUCUUAGGCAUAGGCAUUUUUCUCGGAUCCAAAAAGCUGAAUCGAAACCAACACAAAAAAUACAUGUUCGGGUCCAAAAUCGAGUAAAGUACAUAUUGGUUUUUUUUGGACCCGCAAGUCUCUAUUCGAGUCGGGUACCCAAAGUACUUGAAUAUUUUGUGUAUAUUAUGUAUAUUUGGGUAUUUCAGAUAGUUUUGAGUAUAAUAUAAAUUUUUAAGUUUUUGAUUCAGAUUUUCGGUUAUAGUUUCGGGUUUGGGUAAAAUCUCAAAAUGAUAUUUCGGGUAUUCAAAUAAAACUUUGAAUAUUUUUUCGUUCUUCAGAUAAAAGUUUGGAUUUUAGGUAUUUUGAAUAUUCUUAGGUAUUUGAAUAGUUUCAGGUAUUUGUUUAGAUUUUCGUGUUUUGGCUUUUUCAGGAUUUCAGGUACUUUGAGUCUUUUCUAAUCCCAAAUACCUGAACUGUUCCGAACCUAUUUUGUACCAAAAUUACAUAUAUUAUAUAGAUAUUUUAAUUAUAGACUCGAGCCAAACCGGAUCAAAAAGAACAGAUCCAACCCCCAAUAUAGACUUACAUUAUUGCAUAACAACCAUAAUGUUAAGUGAUAAAAUAUUUUAGAGAAGAAGUGUAUCACACGAAAUAUUUUACAAAAUUUAAUUUAUUGUUAUCUUUAAAUAUUAUUUUAUUUUUAUAAGCGUUAAUCUAUAUAAAAUUUAUCUAUUUUCUUUUAAUUUAGAUUCGAAGUUAAUUUUAUAAUAAUAUUUAUUUAUUUGUAGCCAAAGUCCUAGUUUGUAUAAAAUUAUUCAAAUAGUUUUGAGAAGAAGCUAUGGUGUUCGUUGGUUGAAUUUUUAAUUUUGAGAUUUGAAGACUAUGUCUUUUUUCUGUAACUCGAUUUGAAGACUAUGUUCUAAGUUGCUUAUUGCUGUUUAUUAAUGACAUAGGUCAAAGAAGAAAAACCAUAAGUUAUAAAGCGUGGCUGGGAAUAUAAGUCAUUGCUAUCAUAUAUAGAAAUGGUAUUUAUUUGAUGUGUAAUACUAUUAAAUGUAUAUAAUCUUCAUGGAAAUAUAAGUGAUUGCUACGGUCAUUAAUAUACUUAAAAUGUAAUUAUUUAAUAUGUUAUACUAUUAAAUGCAUAUGAAUCGAUAACAGCUUUAAUACUACCAUAUAGUUAGAGCUUUAAUACUACCGUAUAGUUAGAAAUAAUUAGGGAAAUAUUACGUGAGACCAAAAAUAUUGUUAGUUAAUGAAAAGGUGCAGUAACAUUUUAUAGGUAGAUUUUUCAAGACUUCUUCUCCUUUAAUAGUAUAGAUUUGACAUAUCAAUUCCAGCGACCACAACGAACGUGUUACAAAUAUUAUUUCUAACAAUCACUAUCAUGAACAAGUGAUCUUCCUAAUUGUCACGUUCGUGAGAAAAUAUUCUAAUAAGCCACAGUCAUAACAAUUUUUGAUCACAUAUGAAUUAAGAUAUAUAUAUAUAUAUAUAUAUAUAUAUAUUGAUAGUUUCACAUUAGCAAGACUAUUUUACGAACCUAAACAUUUCAAGUUCAGUAUGACAACUUGAAUUUGUUAAUUAUAUUGCUUAGACCAAAUUCAAGUCCAUACUCCAUACCUACAGCCACAUAACAUUCAUUGGGUCUUAUUAGUUGUACGAACUUGGAGUAGUGUUCAAGUCGAUUUCUAAAUAAGUGUACAUUAAAUUAAUUUUGAUUUCCAUCAAUUCUUUUGCUGCAUCAGUGGGUGAAUAGAAGGCAAGUAUAUACGCAAUGUUGUUGAUUACAGCCAUGUAUUUAUUACAGCGAUAUAUAUUAUAUAUGCAUUUGUAGCAAGUGUAUUGAUUAUAUUGUGUUUUAAGGAAAGUAUUUACAUAAUUUGUGUCCCGCGUAUUGGUUAUAUUGUGUGUAAUGGAAAAUAUUUAUGUAAUAUUUAGCGCAAAUUUUGGGAUACUAAUUUUUGAAUAUGCAUGCAUUAGUGGGAUUUCAAUACGGGAAAAUAAUAAAUAUGAUUUGAUAUGAUUUCAAAAUUUAACCCUAUACCCUAAUUACUCAGUAUAUAAAUAAGAUUUUUUUGAACACAUCUACUCAUUUCAAUCAAUCCCCCUAAACAAUUAUAUACAAAGAAAGUUCGAUCGUUUUUAUUGUAUUAUCACGUACAAAGUGAUGAAGAUAAUCACCAACCUUGCCUUCCACACACCAAAAUCCCCAAAAAGUAUUAGUCUAAGGCAUGGUUUAUUACAUGUUUUCCUAUAGUUUAGGUGCUUAGAAUAAUAAUAUAGUUUUAACUUUAUGUAUGUAGUUUACUCUGUCAUUUCAGACGCACCAGAGGUUACUAUAAUGGUGUUCUGUUUUGCGCUGAAUGAGAGGCCUUUGCUCAUCAAUGGUACUAUACUGAAUGUUUGUUGUUUUAUGUCUGUGUUACAAAGGGAUCCCAAAUAUUAUUGGGAGGGUCGUUGUAGGAAGUUGAUCCAAGUGAUUUAACCCCAGCUAAACGUAGAGGAGGCCCCGUUGUGAAUUUGGAGUAAGAGUUUUUUUUUUAUCAUAACCCGGUUACGAAAACAAGUAUUUCUACUCGAAUCAAGAAGGAAAAGUUUGACAAAAAUGGUUUGGAAGUUCUGAAUUGAGGACUUUUUAGAGGAUUCACUUUCGCUUAGCUUUGUUCUGAUUUACUCUUUUCAGCUUCUGUUUUUUUAACUAUUUUGGAUUUGUUUUUUUUUCUAUUGUUUCAAUUUUGUUAAAUUGUUUUAAUCCACCAUGCAUGUCCGUUACGAAUUCUGUAAAUUUGAAUCUUUUUGUUGUUAGCUAAAACAUGUAUUUAAUCAUUUUGAAUACAUAAGAUUGUGAAAAAAAAUUAUAUUGGUGGUCAUGCAAAAAAUUGUCACCAUAAGUUAUUUUUCAUAACUAAAUAUCAACAUUUCUGACAUUGAAAAAGAUCCCAUUUAGGAAUGAAAAUUAUCUUAAUCAUCAUUUGGUCCAUUUUCUAUUACGUCAUAUAAUAUACAACUAGGUGUUUUUCUACACCAUGUGCAGUAAUAAAAAAAUAAAGUUAAAUUAUAUUUUAAAAUAAAAUUUAUUAGUUUCCAUAUUUCAUGAUUUUCUUAUUAGUAUUUUAAUUAAAAAUAAAAUCAAAAUAAAAUAAGUAAUUUUGUUAACCUUAAAUUAUAUUGAAGAAUAAAUAUGCAUAUAUUUAAAAUUAUAAUCUUAGAUAGAUUUUUUUAAUUUGUUUAUUUUGGAUAAAAUAUAUUAAAUUAACUUGUAUAAAAUUAACAUAAAUUUGAUGUAAAAUUUAUAUAAUUAUCGAAAAUAAAACUAAACAGUGUUUCUAAAAUUCGUAGAUAUAUAAAAGAAACUAAUAAUAUUACCAUUAAUAAUUAUAAUUUUCUUUUAAAUUUCAAAAACAAUUGAAAAUAUUUUUAGUUAUAAACUGUAUAAUUAUUUCAAAUAAAGAAAUAUUUAAUCUUCGAAAAUUUUAAAAUAUAUUUUUUUAUUAUUUAAUGACAUAUUUUAAUAGAUUUAUAUUAAUGAUAGUGUAUAAUUUAUUAUCAUACUCUAAAGAGUUUACCAAAAGCAUUAAAUAUAAUUUUCCAUGUCACUUUUAAACAUAAUUCAUGUCAUCAUUUUAGCAUGCCAUGUCCAUUAAUUUGGUGAAAAUGAUUGUAAAAAAUACAUGUGUUAAAAUCACUUUGCAAAUAAUGUAUUAGGAAUACUAAUCUUCGCAAUAUUCCUUUUAUAUUAUUUGAAGAGCACUUUUAAAAAUAAAUCUUAACCUCAUGUAUGAUUAACAAUUUUGCCAUUUCUUAGGUGUCAACACUACAAUGCACCUCACAUCCUUUAUUGAAUAACCCUCUUUUGUCUAGAGUAAUUACAUAUUAUGCCAUUGCCAAAUAAACCUACAAAGUCAUUGUAGUAUAUAUUUCAUUUUAUAUGCAUAGUAUAAAUCAUAAUUUAUUGAUAUUACUUCAACCAUUACAUUAUAUAAUUUUUGGUGUAAUAUUGUAUUUUUCAUCUCCAACUAUAAUUCUAAAUUCAUACACCAAUAUUAUAUAGUAUUUCAUUGUAAGCUUUUUUACAUUUAAUUAUAUAUUGUUUGUUAAAUUUGUAAAAUUUUAUUCUUUACAUAGUCAUUAGUCACAAUUUUUUUAAUAUUAAAAUGUGUAUAUCAAUGUAAUGAUAUAUUUUUUUAACACUGAAGUAAUAUAACUCUAAUAUAAUAAUAUAUUUCUUAAUGUAUUUUAGAAUAUAUUUGUUCUAAUAAUAUAUAUAUAUUUUUAAUAUUAAAUGAGAAUAUAAAUGCAAUUAAAUAUGUUUAACCGAAAUAAAGAUGGUUGUUGAUUUCUAUAAUACAUUACAAAUCAUAUUCAUGUCAUUAUGUUAAUGGCAAUCACAGCUAUAAAUCGUAAUCAUGUAAUUACUUGCGCGAUAUUAACUCAAACGGAUUGAUUUUACGUCUAUCAAUCAUAAUUUAUUGAUAUUAUUCCAGCCAUGACAUUAAAUAAUUGUUUGGUGUAAUAAUAUAUUUUUCAUCUCCAACUAUAAUUCUAAAAUCAUACAACAAUAUUAUAUAGUAUUUAAUUGUAAGUUUUUUAUAUUUAGUUAUAUUAUUACAUUUGAUUUUUGUAUUGUUUGUUAAAUUUGUAAAAUUUUAUUCUUUACAAAAGUCAUUAGUUACAAUUUUUUUCAAUAUCAAAAAAUGUGUAUAUCAAUGUAAUGAUAUAUUUGUUUAACACUGAAGUAAUAUAACUUUAAUGUAAUAAUAUAUUUUUUAAAUAUAUUUUAUAAUACAUUUGUUCUAAUGUAAAAUAUAUAUUUUUUAAUAUUAAAUAUAUAUAUAUAUAUCAAUGCAAUUCAAUAUGUUUGACCAAAAUAAAGACUGUUAUUGUUUCUUAUAAUACAUUACAAAUCAUAAUCAUGUCAUUAUGAUAAUGACAAUCAUCGCUAUAAAUGAUAAUCAUGUCAUUACCUUCUCAAUAUUAAUUCAAACAGAUUGAUAUUACGAAGUACAUAAAUUCAAACUCAUUGAUAUUGCCCUUAUAAAUCAUAAUUUAUUGAUAUUACUCCAACCAUGACAUCAAAUAUUGUUUUGGGGUAGUAUUAUAUUUUUCAUCUCCAGCUAUAAUUUUAAAUUCAUUCAACAAUAUUAUAUAUUAUUUAAUUGUAAGUUUUUUUACAUUUAGUUAUAUUAUUACAUUUUAUUUUUAUAUUGUUUGUUAAAUUUCUAAAAUUUUAUUCUUUACAAAACUCGUUCGUUACAAUUUUUUAAUAUUAAAAAUGUGUAUAUCAAUGUAAUAAUAUAAUUUUGAAUAUAUUUUAAAAUAUAUUUGUUCCAAUGUAAUAAUAUAUUUUAUUAAUAUUAAAAAUGUGUAUAUCAAUGUCAUUAUGAUUUAUCAUCCGUGAAAAAAGAUCCAUGCAUUGUUGUCAUUACUUGCGCAAUAUUAAUUCAAACAAAUUGAUAUUACGAAGUACAUAAAUUCAAAUGGAUUGAUAUUGCGCUUAUAAAUCAUAAUUUAUUGAUAUUACAAAGUACAUAAAAUUCAAAAGGAAAAUUCAUAAUAAAUUGAUGCAAUCACUUAACUAAGCACCAAGACCUUGAAUUUAGAAUUUUUAAUAUACUUUAAUAGACUUACUAGGAUAAGAUAAUUCCGCGCAAGGUUAUUAUUUUUGUUAUAUUUUGGAGAAUGAAACAAUAGUUUGGCUUCAUUUGGAUUAGGGGUGUUCAAUCCAGAUAUCGGGUUGGUUUCGAUUCGGUUCGGUUUUUUUUGGUUAGUAAAAUAUAAUUACUAUUCUAAAUCCAUAUUUACUUUGACUUUAGUCUUUCACAUACUUUUGAAAGAUUUCAACUGGACAACUAAAUUGAUCAGCCAAUCUUGUUGCUUUAAAUCAUUAGUAUAUAUAUAUAUAUAUUAUUUAGUUUGAAUAUUUAUUAAAUAAAAAUUCAUAUGCGUUAUAUUUUAUGAUCAUUUGUAACUUAUUAUAACAAAAAAAUAAUCUAUUGAUCACAAAAUUUUCAGAGUGGGAAUAUUCAAAUUUCUAAUAAUAUAUAGACGUUUUGAAAAAUUCAAAAUAUAACAUAUAAAAAAAUAUAAAUGUUUUUUAUUAUAUAUUUAAUGUGAUUUUUAAUAUCUUUUAAUAAUAUAAAAUUUUUAAAAAGAACUAAGAUACAAAAAUUGUUAUCAAAUAUUUAUUAUUCAUAAUAAUUAAUUUUCACAUAUAUGUUAAUCAUAUUAGGUAAUUUCGUAGCUUUUAUUUAAGGAAAGUGCAAAACAUUUUUUGGUACGUUAUUUAUCAAUUCGAUAGUUAGUUUAAUAAAAAGUGUAAUAUAAGUUAAGAUGGACCAACCUAUUUUUCUAGGAAUAGUAUAUUUUGUAUAGUUAUUUAUUAAAUAAGAAUUUAUAAUCAUACGGUUCUAUGAUCGUUCAUAUCGUUUUAUAACAAAAUAUUUAAAUCAUCGAUAACAAAAUUUUCAAUCUGAAAUCUUUAAUAAGUUUAUAAUUUAUAAAUGUUCUUGAAAAUUCAUUGAAACUUUUAAUAUUAAAAUAUUUAUGUAAUCCUAUGGUAUAUAGUGUUUAAUCUAUAUAUAUAUAUUUAUUUUAUUAUUAAAUGAUAUUUUUUACUCAUAUGGUUUUAAAAUCAUGUGUAUCUUCUUAUAAUAAAAAUGUUAAACCAUUGAUCAUUAAUUUUUAACAUAAUAAUUUUAAUAGUUUUAGUCAUUUAUUGUCGUUUUUAAAAAUUCAAAAUAUAACAUAUACGAAAAAAUCUAAAUUUUACUUUUAUAGCUAAUUUGAUUGUUUAAUUUAUUUUAAUAAUAUAAAAUUAAACAAAAAAUGAUGGAGGAGAUAUAAAUUGUUAUCAAAUCUUUAUUAUUAAAAUCAUUAAUUGUCAUAUAUAUAUUAGUCAUUUAUGGUAAUUCCGUAGGUUUGAUUUAAGGAAAGAAAAUAACAGAUCAUAUCAUUAUAUCAUAUAGUUUGACCAACUUAUGUAUCUAACAACAUAUAAAAAUCGAAUGUGGACCUACUUAUUUUUCAAUUGAAUGUAAUUGACUACCUAAUUGAGUGCCACCUAUGCAUUGGGGUCUAUUUUAAUUAAUACAAAAUUGAGGUUACAUCUUUUCAAAUGUUACUCGAUUAAUAUACAGGUGAUUAUUCAUCAGUUUGCAUAUGCAAUAUCUGGUUCGUGUGAUGUUUAAUGUCGAUUUCCUUCCAAUAUACAUAUAUUACGAAGAUAUUGAUGACAUGAUUGUUUAUGGGAAGUCAAAUGUUUUUAUUUCCGAUUUUAAAAUUAACAAUAGUUUUUGUUAACAAUUUUGUUAUAACAAUAAUACAAUUUUGAUACGUUUGUUGAUUAGCUUUUGUUAACAAUUUACUAAUCAAGUGGAUCACAAAUGUUUAUGGUGUAAUAUUGGAGUUGUAUUCUUUUUAAUCUUUAGAUCAACUAGGGAUUGUAUACGUGAUUUAUGGUGUUACUAUUUUAAAAAACUUUAAAACUUACUUUAUUUACAUAUCCACAAUUUCGUUGAAUUCCUUAACAUGAAUAAUAUGUAAUAUUUGUGUCUACGGUUUUUAUCUUUCUAAUAUCUAUAUAUUUAAAAUUAUAAUUUCUUUAAAUUCAUUUGUUAUCACCUAGUUAGUUUGUUAUUUUUGUUACAAUUUCACAAUAUUGUUAAAAAAGUAUAGAGUUUUAUGGAAUAACCACAUAUAAUCUUCAAGUGUACAUAUAUUCAUAUUAUAAGAUCUAUUUGUGAAUUGGGUUUGGCAAACAAGAAGAUAAAAUCUAAAACUGAACUAACGCUGAAACAUUAACGCAAGCAAAUAUAAAGGUAUUCGUUUAAAACCAUAAUCCGAAGGCAAUUGUAUAGUCUCCAAAAUUUGCAAAAAAAAAAAGUCAUCACGCAAUAGAUAAAACAACACCAACAAGAUGAAACAUAGACGAAGAUGACGAUAGCAAAAGAGCAAUCAGCGGUAACGACGAAGGGGAAGAAGAGAGUUGUUCUUCUUCCAGGUUGCUCUGCGAGACGGGCGGUUCUUGUGGUUGUUGUGACCUUUUCCGCGCAGUCCUCUGUUCUUCUUUCCCUCAGACGUAAGUCCUCUGAGCUCACGGUGUUUGUGCACCGGGUUGCAUAUCCAGUUGAUUCUCGGGUCGUUACGCACUGCGUUGUGUGCCGGGUCAACCAAGAUGAUCUCGUAGUACUUGUAGGUUGAAUCCUCGUUGAGCCAGUAGGAGUUGACGACUCUGAGGCCGCCCAGUUUCCUUCCAGCACGCUCCUCAGCAACGGAACGCUUGCUCCUCUGGAACUUGAGUUGGGUGACUCCCUGGUUUGUGGGCUUACCAUACACAAUACCCUUUGGCACUGGCCUCUUGCGUCCACCACGUCUCACUCGGACACGGUACACCACAAAUCCCUGUCAUACAUUAAAAUCCCAACACGAUUAGUAACAGAAUUCAAGGUACCAGCUACAUUUUCAGACAAGUGUAAAUCCAGCGAGUGAGUAAGAAUAAAUGUUUGUUUAAAAAAACACAAUAAACAUCAAUGCAUCAAUAUCUCCCAACUAACAACGCAACUUCACAGCAAUAUCAAACAAGUUGUAAUUAUCUACACUCCAAGAUCUCAUCCUUUUACCAAUAAAGUCAUGUUUUAUAGAAAAAAAAACAUUUUGUGGAAGCAGAACUAAAAUCACCUGUUUGGCUUUGUAACCCAAACGACGAGCCUUGUCGGGACGAGUAGGCCUGACGAGACGGACGAUCGAAGGCUGCUGUCUGUACUCCCAGCACCUAACCCUCUGCACGAACCUCAUGACGUCGGACUGCUUCUUCCUCCAUAGCUCAGACACAUACUUGUAAGCACCUAGUGUUCACCAAAAUCCAUCUAAAUUAUUAUAUUAGUUCGUAAUUACAGAUCCAUAACACAAACAUCAGUUGAAACGCUAAAUCCAUCUAAAGGGCAAGGAGAAAGGAUCUAAAAGAAGAGAUGAGAAGAAGGAUUUACCCAUUUUCCAAGUUUUCGCAGAGCCGCACAACAAAGAGUUUCUCCCUGGCUUUAAAGAAAAGGACUAGGGUUUUAAAGAAACUGGGCUUACUGAUUAUAUAUAAAAGCCCAUUGUGUAUGGGCUUGAAAGUUUGGAUUAAACCUUAUAAAAAGCAAGAACUAGCAUGGUUUAUUUGAUGGUUCGGUUCCCUCGUGAUAGAUAUUUAUUUACGUUUUUAGCUAAAUGACACUGAUUAGAAUAAUCUGUGUCUUGGUGUUCCAUCUUUUUUUUCUUGGAAUAUUUAUUCGGCGUUCUUUCUCUUGUUUCCUUGGAUCCAUUCUCCAAUGCACUUUUGAUUUUGGGAGAUCUUGGUGUUGCAAACUAUAGUUUUUUGCCAGCAUUUUUUUCAAGACUCUAUUCUGCUGAGUUUCGGUUUCCAGUGUUUUUAUAUUGUUGUGGGAUUAUUAUGGCAACAACAACGGAGAGAAUAGCUAUAAUGAACGAUCAUUUAUAUAUUAAAACAGAAGUCACAACAUUGAUUCAUGUGUGAUUUUUUUUAAAAUGGACCUAAUUGAUUUAUUACUAGAAAGUCAUGUUACAUUUAAUCUCUAAUCUUAUCAUUAUUAUAGGUCUAAAUAGCUUACUUUCUAGAUUAUAGGAACUAAAUAAUAUGUCUAUAACACAAUAUUGCUACAUUAUAGAAACUAAAUAACAUCAAUGAUUUCCAAGCAAAAAAACGUGAUCUGGAAAUUCUGUUAUCAAUUUUUACUUCCAUAUCAUGUAUCAUCGUGUUUGAAAGAGACUGCAAGGAGCAUAAAUAUUUCUCGAGACUUCUACACCUAAUCAGAUACAUUUUUAAAACUAAACUGAUUUCACAUUGAUUUGUGUUUUGUAUAUAGUUCAUUUACAAAAUAUAAUUAAAUGUUUAAUUAAAUUCUUUAUAAAAUUUAUACACGAAGCUUUAAGUUUAGUUUUUGUUAACUUUCUUAUUUUGUGAAAUGUUUGAUUAUCUUUGGAGAUGAUAAUAUUUUAAUAUUUUCCAAAUUCUAUUUCUAUUUAUUUAUUCAAUAAUGAAAUACUAAUCCAACAAACAAAAAAAAAAUAUAAGAAGAAAUAAACACAUGUGAAAGUUUGAAACAAUCUAUUUGAUGGAGAACAAGUAUGCUCUAAUAUUAUUAUGUUUGAACAACCUUAAUAUACUCGAUAAUAUAAAUCUAUGAAGCUAAAAAUGUAAUUUUUUAAUAACUUGUGAAAGGUUGAAACAACCAAUUCAAUUUUAAAAAAUGAUAAAAUUAUUAUGUUUUAAAAAUUGAUAGACAUACCUUAUAUAUAUAUUAUAAUAUAUACCAAUUUAGAAUUGAAAACAAAAAUGUUUAUAUAAAAGUAAAUGAAAACAAACAUCCGCACGGUUACGCGGGUCGAGAUCUAGUUAUUAGUAUUAAAAAGAAUAAAAUCAGCAUUACUAAUUUGAAACAAUGUCGAGUGUUGAAUUAUAGGAGUACAAUCUCAAUCGGAAUUUUUGAUAGAAAUAAUUGGAUACAAAAAUUUUGGUAUACAAUAUUUUUUUGGCAUAUAUUACAAGUAUAUUUAAAAAAAAAAAUCAGUAAAAAGAUUGUAACCAUCCAAUUUUAAACGAGAGGAAUUUGCCAAAAACAACCCAAAUAUUCAUUUUAAACCUAAAAGUAGCACACAUAUUCAAUCAAAUGCAAAACCAACCUAAAAAAUGGUAAACUAUUAUUUAACCCUUAUGACCAAACAAAAAACUAGAAAAUUAUUUUACGAUUCUGUCGUUCAUGAGUCUACACGUAACAAAAAAAGUCUAAAUAUAUGUAGACUUUCAAAGAAAUCUACUUUGUAGACUUAUUUUGUAGUCUACAUCAUAAUUUGAUCUAAUAAAUUAAUUUUAAAAAUGUACAAAAAAUAUUUUUUGUAAAUUUUUUAAUUAAUCAUCAAUAUAAAGGUUAAUAUGAAGUUUAUUAAUUAAAUUUUAUAUAAUUUAACAAUUUAAAAGAAUAUAUAUUGAUUCGGUAACCAUGUGUUAGAUAAUUUUUAUGGUUUAUCAACAAAAUGUUCUAACAUGUUACAUUUUAAGGGUUAGAUUUUAGAUUGAGAUUUUUUUUGUUUUAUUAAUUUAAAUUUGCAUAUCAGUGUUGAGUACUUUAUGUUUUAUAUAAGUAUGAUUAGCGACUCGUGGGAGACCCACGGUGGGACGUCGUAAACUCCGAUUUCACUACGGCACACACUUCUUCGUCUCUUUCUCGUGGUUUUGUGCAUCCGCCGCAGAUCUUAACCGCGUGGUACAAUGUAUAUAUUUAUUAGACACAAAGUAUUACACAUCGGUAGUUGGAAGAGAUCCUACCUAAUAUAUAAGAUAGAUGAGUCAAUCCACUUAUUACCGAUUGGUUUUAGGUUGGAAGCCAUCAAACUUAACAUGGUAACAACAAAAAGUCGGCAUAAAUCAAGUUAUUCAAAAUCAUUUAACUUUCAGGUUAAUAAUUAGUCAUUUGACCGAAACUAAAAACAAAAUUUUCUACUGUAAAAUUAUAUCCAACAAAAUAACUUCUUACUGUUGUGAACGAAGGGUUUGAGACUGAAUAUUUCGUGUGUAUUAUUAAUCAUCAAAACGGGUUCCUUAUAUAAGGAUUACAAAAUAGAGAUAAAAGGAAAGAUGACAUCUAAUAGGAAAAAGGAAAGAUGGUUUCCUUUUCUCUCUAAGCCGCCUCUCUCUCUCUCCUGUAGUCGGCUCUCUCUCUCCUCUUGGACACGGCCGUGGUUGGGCCUGGUCGUGGCCUGAUAGGCCAUCUCUUCUUGUCUUGUUUAAUGGCAAUCCACAUUGUUCAUAACACUCCCCCUUGGAUGCCAUAACCAUACAGGAUUUGUAGUACGCUUAAUGUUGCCUCAUUAAAACCUUAUCAGGAAAACCCAGUGGGACAAAACCAUGAUGAAGGAAAAAGAGUACAACACGCACUACUCCCCCUGAUGUGAACCUCGGUGUAGGUUCUACAUACUACGCAUCUUGAUGCGUGAUCUAUCCUGUUUAUGAUUUUAUAUUUUAUAAAAUUAGGAAUCAUUUUGAGUUUUUAAUUUUAUUUUAAAAUUCUAUAUUUGGUCAAGAGAAAUUUAGAAAAUUACACAAUUAAUUUUUUAGUUUGGAAAAAUUAAAUGAUUUUUGAAAUUUUUUGUCACUAAACUUGUUCAGUAUUUUAUAAAAAUAUAUUUGAAUUUUUGGUAAAUGCUUUUAUAUUUUUCUCAACAAAUUUUGUUAUAAUUAAAAUAAAAAUUAAUUUAUAAGUAAAAUUAAUUUGUAAUUUAUUUUAAUUAAUUAUUAAAAAUUCAAAAAUUUUUAGUAACAAAUUUUGUAAAAAAUACAUGAACUAAGUGUUAGUUAUAUACUAUUAUAUUUUGUAUAUAAUUAUUUAUAGAUAAUAUAUUGCCGUGAAUUUCAAGAUAAAUAAAAUGAUAAUAUAUAAUCAUAGAUAUAAAAGUUAAAAAUAUGUUAAUAAUUUUAGUUUUUGUAUAAAAUAUUAUUUAGUUUAUGAAUUUUAACCCCUUUUUGGACGCUGAAUGAUGAUUUAUUAAAAUGAAACCGUUUAAAAAAAUCUGUUAUUCUACUAAUUAAAUGUAAUUCUUUCAUAUUUAAUUUAUAGAGCAUGUAUAUUUUAUAAAAUAAAAAAGAAUUUUUAUUUUGUGACAAUUUUUUUAAUUAUUAUUAAUUUUUAAUAAGAUUACAUUAAUAAUUAUGAAAUUAUAAUGUGUUAUUUUAUAAAGAAAUAUUAAAAAUUUUGGUACUAUUUUGUUAGAUUUCUCAACAAAUAUUGUUAUAACUAAAAAUGAAAUGUAAAUUUAUAAUUAAAAUUAAAAUUGAUUUAUUAUUAAUAUAUUUAUAGAUUAUUAAGAUUAAAUGCAUAUAAUAAAAUAUAUCACAUUAAGUAGUUAACUAAAUGAUCUUACCAUGACUUGUCAAUGUAGCUAAACUAGGACUAAAAAUUAAUAUAUUUGAUAUUUUGGAUGUUAUGGUAUUAUGUUUUCUGAUUUUUUUAUUAAAAUAAGAUUUCAAAAUAUUAUAUUACUUUUAUUUCUUACAGUAGAAUUUUUUUUUUGUGUUUUUUUUAAAAAAUAUAUAGAUAUUUUAGCAUCUAUGAUUUUAUCUUUUAUAAAUUUUGAAUAUUAUCAUUUUUAUUUUUUAAUUUUAUUUUUAAAAUUGUAUACUUGGUCAAGAGAAAUUUGGACAAUUACACACAAAUAUUUUUUAGUUUGAAAGAUUAUAUGAUUUUCGAAAUUUUUGUUACUAAAUUAAUUCUAUAUUUUAUAAAAAUAUAUUUGAAUUUUUGGUAAGAUUUUUUAUAUUUUUUUAACAGAUUGUUUUAUAAUUAAAGUAAACAUUUAAUUCAUAAGUAAAAAUUAAUUUCCAUUUAUAUUUUUAAUUAAUUAUCAGAAAUUCAAAAUUUUGUAGUAACAAAUUUUGUAAAAUAACACAUGAACUAAAGGUUAGUAUUUACUAUUAAAUUUUAUAUUAUUAUUUAUAGAUAAUAUAUUGCUGUGAGUUUCAAAAGAAAUAAAAUGAUAAUAUAUAGUUGUAGAUAUAAAAGUUUAACAUAUGUUAAUAAUCUUAGUUUUUUUUUGUAAAAUAUUACAUAGUUUACGAAAUUUUAACCCCUUUUUGAUGAUGCAUGAUAUUUAUUUAAAUGAAACUGCUUUAAUAAAGUCUGUCAAUCUACUAAUUAAAUAUAAUUUUGUCAUAUUUAAUUUAUAGAGCAUGUCUAUUUUAAUAUAAUAUAUACUACAAUUGUAAUAUUUUUACAUUAGUAAUUCUACAAUUAUAAUGUAUUAUUUUAUAAUGACAUAUUAAAAAUUUUGGUACGAUUUUGUUGGAUUUUUUUUCCAACAGAUUUUGUUAUAAUUAAAAAUAAAAUAUAAAUUUCUAAUUGAAAUUGGUUUAUUAUUAAUAUCUUUAUUGAUUAUUAAAAUUUAAUGUAGAUAAUCAAAUAUAUUACAUUAAAUAGUUAACUAAAUGAUUUUAUUAUGACUUAUUAAAAGUAGAUAAAAAUAUAGGACGUGAAUGCUUACUAAAGUUGCGCGUGAAUAAAACGUCCCUUGUGUUUUCUGUUAAUAGUUUGGUAUCUUUUUUUUUUUUUUGAAAGAAUGUAAAAUUUUAUUCGAUCAAAACUUUGUACAUCAGAUGCUACUUCUUUGAGUGUUUAAAUCAAAAAAUGGGCUCUACAAAUUAAUGAGAUUCUUCAUGCUAGUUGUGGUCUUGCCGAGAACCAAACCAAGCAGCUAACCCUUCUUCCAAAUACUGUUUUCCUUUACCCUUGACUGAUAACAGUCUGAGUCUAAUCAUCUAAUCAAUAGUGCUAUCCCCCAAGACCUCCUUAAGACAGCCAAACUUCGACCAGUUAUCAUACCAAAAGCUAGUAUCCUUCCCAUUUCGAACCUCAAUUUUGAGAAAUUGUUGAGCCAGGUCUCUUAGCUUUAGUAGCUUCCUCCAAAUCCAUGAUCCAGAGCUCGUGAUACACUUUACUGACCAGAAAGAUUCUUUUCGAAUCAGGUAGCAGUGAAGCCAUUUGACCCAUAGUGAUUCCUUUGAGAAUUUGAUUCUCCAUAUCAACUUUAAACACAUGACCGUGUUCAUCUCCUUCAAAGAUCGAACUCCCAAGCCUCCCUCUUUCUUCGAUAGGCAGACGUCUUUCCAGCACACUUUAGCCUUACUUGUUCUCAAGUCCGGGCCAGACCAUAGAAAAGCAGAGCAUAAGCUUUCUAUUUCUCUUAAACAGCUUCCCGGUAGCUUAAAAGCUUGCAUCCAAAAAUUUGCAAGGCUAGAGAUGACUGAUUUGAUGAGUUGCAGACGACCAGCAUAAGAGAGGAAUCUACCAGUCCAUGAGCUCAUACGCCUUCUAAUCUUCUCGACUAAUGGGAGAUAGUCAAGAACUGUCAUGCGCUUUGUAAGCAGAGGUAGGCCCAAAUAGCGUACAAGAAGCUGACCUGAUGCAAAAGGGAAGCUAUUCAUUAUUUCUUCUUCGUGAUUCUGAGCAGCUCCUGCAAUGUACAAGGUAGACUUCUCAAGACUAAUCCUCAACCCCGACAUUGUUGCGAAGUCCUCAAAGAUUUUUAGAACCCCCUCAAUAGAUCUCUUUGUCCCGUAAGUGAAUAUCAUUAAGUCGUCCGCAAAGCACAAAUGAGUUAACAAGAUGUUUUUACAGCGAGGAUGAUACCCAAAUAACUUCUUCUCUGCAGCUUUAUCAAGCAUUUGCGAUAGAACGUUGAUGCAUAUAACAAAGAGAUAGGGGGAUAAAGCACAGCCUUGACGCAGACCGCGUUUACUCUGGAAAAAGCCUACUAACUCGCCAUUAAUUUGAACAGAAAACGAAGCUGUGCAGACACACAACUCAACCCAGUGCACAAACUCCUCGGGAAUGUUCAUUGCACGCAGAGUAUUCAGUAGGAAACUCCAGUGCACGGAAUCAAAGGCCUUCGCGAUGUCUAUCUUUAAGGCACAUCGAGGAGAGACUUCAUCCUUGUGAUAAUCUUUCACGAUCUCUGUUGCGAGCAGCAGAUUUUCGACAAGAAGUCUGUCCUUCACAAACGCAGACUGAUUGGAGAGAUACAUUGAGGAAGCGUAGCUUUCAACCUGUUUACGAUGAUUUUAGAGAUCACCUUAUAAAGGACGUUGCAGCAUGAGAUGGGUCUGUAGUCUUUCAUCUCGAUGGCAGCAUCCUUCUUCGGAAUAAGAGCCAUAAUAGUUGCAUUCAAACCCUUCGGUAGAAACCCCUUCUGGAAGAAAGAUUGUAUUGCAACCGUUAGAUCCUUUCCAAUGAUACUCCACGAUGCCUUGAAGAAUUCCGUUGUAUAUCCGUGUGGACCAGGAGAUUUGUUGCUCGGCAUUUUGAGGAUCACAUCUCUGAUUUCUUCAUCCGUUACGAGCUUCGUGAGCGUUGCUCUUUCCUCAUUACUACAUCUGAACGGCAUAAUCUCUUGCAGCUCCUCAACGGUUUUAUCAUGUAUGUCCUGUGAUUGAUGCGAGAGGAACUCGCGAAAGAAUCUCUCAGCUUCUACUUUGAUCUCUUCCUGUGAAGUGACUACAUUUCCAGAGGAGCAUUUGAUCUCUCUGAUUGCAUUUUUAGUUUCUCUGAUCUUAGCUGCAUUGUGAAAAGCUCUGUUGUUCUGAUCACCUACUUGCAGCCAGUGUAACUUUGAUUUUUGUUUCAGAAGCUUCUCUUCUAUAUCCGAAACUCUUUGCCAUCUUUCAGCCGCCAUUCUCUCAGCUCUAAUGUUUUCUUGUGACUGAUCAAGAAAUAGUUUUUCCUGUUUCUCACAAAGGUCGAGGUAGGCUUCUUUCACUUUUCUCGUAAGAUCUCCCAAUCUUUUCCUACUUAGUGUUCUGAUUAGAGGUUUUAGGCCUUUGAGGGCCUUGGAGAAGCGGUACAAUGCUGAAGUGGAAACAAACAAAGGCGAGUGAUCCCUCUAGUGUUCACUGACAACAUCAAGAAACUCCGGCUCAUCCACCACGGCAUUUAUAAAUUUAAAAGGUUUCCUCUUUCCCAUUGCUUCAGGAUGGAGAUGAACUCGAACUCUUAGAUGAUCAGAGCACCCUCCUGCUUCAAACACUCCAUAGGCCUGAGUCCUUUGAUGCAGCCAUCUUUCAUUCACCAGAAUACGGUCGAGCUUCUUACAGAUUAUACCCUCAUCCCUCUUGUUACACCAUGUGAGCUUUGGCCCCUGAUAACCCAUAUCCACAAGUCUACAAAACUGGAUCACUUCCUCAAAAUCUUUCAUUCCUGAUGUUGAUAAUCCUGAGUUUUGGUAGCUCGAGUGUUCAUCGCUUUCAAGCAUCUCAUUAAAGUCACCCAUUAUAACCCAUUCUUUAUCCCUGAACAUAGGUGAGCUCUGGUGGGAUUUGAUGUGUUCCCAAAGCUCUUUUCUUCUUUCAGCAGUGUUUCCUGCAUACACAAAGGAGCACAAGAACUCCUCUUCCUCUCCCUCCAAAAGAACAGACAUCGUGAUGAUCUGAUCCGAUUUAAAAACUGGUGUCAUUCUGACCUGUGGACUCCAUAGCACCCAAAUCCUUCCCUUCCUACUGUAUUCAUAGUUAUUUACACACGACCAGCCUCGAAAAACCGAAUGAAAUACUAAUCCAACAAACAAUAAAAAUAUAUAAGAAGAAAUAAACACGUGUGAAAGUUUGAAACAAUCUAUUUGAUGGAGAACAAGUAUGCUCUAAUAUUAUUAUGUUUGAACAACCUUAAUAUACCCGAUAAUAUAAAUCUAUGAAGCUAAAAAUGUAAUUUUUUAAUAACUUGUGAAAGGUUGAAACAACCAAUUCAAUUUAAAAAAAUGGUAAAAUUAUUAUGUUUUAAAAAUUGAUAGACAUACCUUAUAUAUAUAUAUUAUAAUAUAUACCAAUUUAGAAUUAAAAACAAAAUGUUUAUAUAAAAGUAAAUGAAAACAAACAUCAGCACGGUUACGCGGAUCGAGAUCUAGUUAUUAGUAUUAAAAAGAAUAAAAUCAGCAUUACUAAUUUGAAACAAUGCCGAGUGUUGAAUUAUAGGAGUACAAUCUCAAUCGGAAUUUUUGAUAGAAAUAAUUAGAUACAAAAAUUUUGGUAUACAAUAUUUUUUGGCAUAUAUUACCAGUAUAUUUUUUAAAAAAAAUCAGUAAAAAUAUUGUAACCAUCCAAUUUUAAACGAGAGGAAUUUGCCAAAAACAACCCAAAUAUUCAUUUUAAACCUAAAAGUAGUACACAUAUUCAAUCAAAUGCAAAACCAACCUAAAAAAUGGUAAACUAUUAUUUAACCCUUAUGACCAAACAAAAAACUAGAAAAUUAUUUUACGAUUCUGUCGUUCAUGAGUCUACACGUAACAAAAAAGUCUAAAUAUAUGUAGACUUUCAAAGAAAUCUACUUUGUAGACUUAUUUUGUAGUCUACAUCAUAAUUUGAUCUAAUAAAUUAAUUUUAAAAAUGUACAAAAAAUAUUUUUUGUAAAUUUUUUAAUUAAUCAUCAAUAUAAAGGUUAAUAUGAAGUUUAUUAAUUAAAUUUUAUAUAAUUUAACAAUUUAAAAGAAUAUAUAUUGAUUCGGUAACCAUGUGUUAGAUAAUUUUUAUGGUUUAGCAACAAAAUGUUCUAACAUGUUAUGUCUUUAAGGGUUAGAUUUUAGAUUAAGAUUUUUUUUGUUUUAUUAAUUUAAAUUUGCAUAUCAGUGUUGAGUAGUUUAUAUUUUGUAUAAGUAUAAUUAGCGACUCGUGGGAGACCCAUGGUGGGACGUCGUAAACUCCGAUUUCACUACGGCACACACUUCUUCGUCUCUUCCUCGUGGUUUUGUGCAUCCGCCGCAGAUCUUAACCGCGUGGUACAAUGUAUAUAUUUAUUAGACACAAAGUAUUACACAUCGAUAGUUGGAAGAGAUCCUAACUAAUAUAUAAGAUAGAUGAGUCAAUCCACUUAUUACCGAUUGGUUUUAGGUUGGAAUCCUUCAAACUUAACAUGGUAACAACAAAAAGUCGGCAUAAAUCAAGUUAUUCAAAAUCAUUUAACUUUCAGGUUAAUAAUUAGUCAUUUGACCGAAACUAAAAACAAAAUUUUCUACUGUAAAAUUAUAUCCAACAAAAUAACUUCUUACUGUUGUGAACGAAGGGUUUGAGACUGAAUAUUUCGUGUGUAUUAUUAAUCAUCAAAACGGGUUCCUUAUAUAAGGAUUACAAAAUAGAGAUAAAAGGAAAGAUGACAUCUAAUAGGAAAAAGGAAAGAUGGUUUUCUUUUCUCUCUAAGCCGCCUCUCUCUCUCUCCUGUAGUCGGCUCUCUCUCUCCUCUUGGACACGGCCGUGGUUGGGCCUGGUCGUGGCCUGAUAUACCAUCUCUUCUUGUCUUGUUUAAUGGCAAUUCACAUUGUUCAUAAUUCUUACAAGAAUUUUGCAAUGUUUCUGAAUUUUUUAAGGGAUAAAUAGAAAACUGAAAGCGUAAGAGCAUCCGUAUUAGAAUAAUAUCUUCAUGGUUGAAAAAAAAAAAAGAUUAAUAUCUUCAUGAGUCUUUACAAAAAAAAAAGAUAAGGAAAAAGAAAAGAGACGGAGUAAAAUGAGUUCUUCAUUUGAAACACUAUAGUUUUUCUAUGAUAAACUUCUAGCACACGUAUCUUAUAUCCACUAUAACGACCAAUGUUUUUUUAAUGUUAGAAUUAUUUUACGGAAACUCUGCGAUGCUCUGAUAUGAUAUAUUUAUCUUGGUCAAAUUUAAAGCAGCAGGUACUAAAUUGUCGGAUUCAGGAGUUACCAUAUUUAAUUAUGGUUUUCCAAUGAACUGACUGAUGAGAUAAGUUUGUUGCAAACCAUAUUUAAUUAUGGUUUUCCAAUGAACUGACUGAGAUAAGUUUGUUGCAAACCAAGUUAUCAAUCACCAUCUUCAAUUUCAAUGUAGAGAAUGGACGCUCAAUGUGCCGUCUAUUGUUACGCUCUCGACUGAAACCUAAUGUAUAAACUAUGAGAUGUGAAUGAUAGAGAAGACAGAACUGAUAGGGCCUGUGCCGUCUAUUGUUACGCUCUCGACUGAAACCUAAUGUAUAAACUAUGAGAUGUGAAUGAUAGAGAAGACAGAACUGAUAGGGCCUUGAGUGUCCCAUGAGAUAAUAACGUGACGUCUUUGCCCACAUGUGCUUACUCGUUACAACCACUUCUCUUAGUUAAGUGGUCCAACAAAUUUGCUCGUCAUUUCUCACGGAAGACAGAAACAAAACGAUCUAAUAUAAGAUGUACCCAUGUCUAAAAAAAUGAAUAUUUAAAUAUUAUUUUUCCAGGAUAAAUUCUCUCAACUAACAUAAGUUUUUAAUUUAUUUAUUCUUAAAUCAGUUAUUAUCAAUAAGCCACAUUGUUAAGACAAUCAUCCGAGAUAUCUACUUUCUCUUCUUUUCCUCACAUUCUCUCUAACAUUCAAAGACAAUUUUUUUUUUGUUAAUUACCGUAAAGUAUGUGUGACAUUUUAGAGUAUAAGUUUAGUAAUAUAUGACCUUAAAUCUUAGUUUUGACAGUGUACAAUUUUUCUUCUCAAACCAAAUGUAUUAUCAGAGGAACCGUGUGACUAAAGUUUAAAGGUAUGUUUUUUUUGUCAAACUAUGUUUAAAGGUAUGUUUAUGUUAGUAACAUGCAGAGCCGUGCGAACACUUGUGACUAACAGAAGUGUGGUUAGAAUAAAAAAAAAAUUUAAAUUAUAGUUACAAAAUACUACUGUUACAUAGCAAAUUUUUUUAAAAAACAUCAACAAUUAAAAUGUUCAUUUUAAAUUCCUAAAUAUAAAAUUUUCAUUUCUGUAAAAUUAAUACAAAAAUUCAAAUGUUUUUGAAUCAUUUUUAGUGCAAAAAUUAACCAAAAUUACUUAAUCUUUUUCUCUAUCUUAAGUUUUAUAAGAUUAACAAUUUUUUAUUUAUUUAUUUUGGUUAUUUCACUAUUAAAACUAGGAGAGUGUCAUUAGGUAGCCAUUGGAACAUUAUAACCAUAACAAUCGACAUCUAUGAUUCUCUUCAUAUAGUCUGUAUUAAGCUUACCCAAAUUACUGACAUAACCCACAUAUAUAUAUAUAUAUUUUCUAUUAUGUAGGAUUAAAACAAUAAAAUUAAUAAAAGAUAUGAUUUAAUCAAAAUAAUAACUAAUGAAAGUUGUCCUGAUGAACUAAGAAAAGAUGCCCUAUUAAUUUCUUAAAAAACUGAUGCCCUAAGCGAAAGCUUCAUUUUUAACAAUGGAGGCGUGGCUCUGGUAACAUGUGAGCUUGGAUUAUUAUUUUAACAGUGGGAAUUUUAUCUCUUUCUUAAAAUCAAUUAUUUUGAUAUCCAAUUUAUUUUAAGAAAAAUCUAAAUCAAUUUUGCACGUUUUCCAUCUUAUUUGUUUGUUUUAUAAAAAAAUUAUGAUUGUUAUGCUUUUAAUUUUUUUUAUCUCAUAUCAGAUUUGAAUAUCCAUAGGAUAUUUCUUACUUUUAUGGAUAUUAAAUUUUGGAUAUCCAAAAAAAUUGAUCUGGAUCUGGUAAUCAAACUGAAGAUCCAAUAAAAUUAGAGAUGGGUAUUGGAAGUUUUUUGAAUAUUCGAAAUGUUUCUAUUCCUAAGCCAUCAAAGAUAGCGUAAUUUAAAUAUCUUGUAUACCAAAACUUUAAUAGAAUUAAUCCCAAAUAAAAACUUAUGUUAAAUAUGGACAAUAAAAAUGUGUAUAACGAAAACUAUAGAUACGCGACUUUGCAAUCUAUAAGAGAAGCAUAUAUUAGUUUCUUUUGUCAACGAUAUAUUCAUAGUUAGAUGAAUAGUUAUGAUUUGAUCUACGUGGAGAGUCGGUCCUUAGUAGAAGCUGCUAGCUGAAGCAUGCUGUGCGCAUGGGCUUGGAGCCAAUAGGUUAUCAAUAGAUUUCAGCCGAUUUCUAUGUGGAAUAUGAGACACUGUUCAUAAAUAUACUAGAAGUUGAUCCGUACAUUCGUGUGAAUAUUUUUUAUUUUAUAAAUAUAUAAUUUCGAUGUUGUCAUAGAAGUUUUAAAUCAUAUAUAAUUUACAUUUAGUGCUAUACAUUGUAGUGAUCUGUUAUUUUUUGUCAUAGAGUGAUUUGUUUUACACAUUUCAUAUUCUUAUUAAUUGUUAUUACUUAUUAAUAUAUUUUUGAGUUUGAUACAUAAAUUAUAAUCUGAAAAAUCAAAUAUAUAAUCUCCUUUGAUAUAUCAUUUUGAUUUAUAUAAUAUGCAUACAAUACAUUUUAAAAUUUAUUUUAGUUAUAAAGUAGAGGGAUAUUUGUUUAUGAUAAUUUAUAUUUCCAUGUUGUGUUUACAAAAUAAUACUUUAACAUCUAUCAAUUUAGUAUUUUACGAUAUUUUAUAAGUAAAUACACUGUUAUGUUUAAAUAAUAUAGCUCUAUUUAUUUUAGUAAACUGUAUAAAUAGCAGUAUCUAUCAUAUUAUUUUAAUAAAUGUUAUCAAUAUAUGAUAUUUUUGGAUGUUAUGGUAUUAAGUUUUCUGAUUUUUUAUUAUUAAAUUAAUAUUUCAAAAUAUUCUAUUACUUUUCAUUUUUACAACAUNNNNNNNNNNNNNNNNNNNNNNNNNNNNNNNNNNUUCAAUGGACCACUUUUCUUUGGGUGUAUAUAAUGCCUUAUAGGCAAAUGCCUUAGCCAUAGUUUCCUACUAGGCUUUCUAUACCAUUCAUGAUUUCUUACUUGGUUUUAUGCCCUUUAGGCAACUCUUUAAAACAUUCAUAUGUUUAAGUAAGAUCAGGCAAGAUUUAAUAAACUUAAAACCAAUUCCAUAUAAAUCGUGAAUGAUCCUUAGGUUAAAGUAAACACGAAUGCAAUCAUAAAGCAAUAAGACUAAUCGUAUCGAAAUUUGGUCCUUUUGAAAAUCAGAUCAGUAUAAGUGGCGAAGCCUUUUAUUCUAUACUGUUGUUACAGUAUGACUUUCGACACGUGGAAUGUGGAAUAGGAUUUCUCUAGUAACUCUUCCUUGGUUACUACUUCACCACAAAGUCUCAGCAUCGAGACUGUCUUAAACAAGACUGAGUUGUACUCAUCCAUGACUUUGUAAUCCAAUAAUCUUAGAUUCUUCUAGUCAUUUCUAGCCUUUGGAAGCAACACCGUUUUUUGGUGGUAAUUUCUAUGCUGUAAAGCAUCCCAAAAGUCUAGUGGAUUUUCUAUAGUGAUGUACUGAUCUUUUAGACCUUCAGUGAGAUGAUGGAAUAUAAUGCUUAUAGCCCUGUACCGUUUCAUUCUCAUUGUUGUCCUUGGUGAUUGUAUCACCAAGUCCCUUUUCGAUAUCUGAGUCACAUUGUCAUUUAAAAUUUAGGUUCACAAUGUGAUCAUGUGGCCGCAUGGUAUUUAUCAAGCUCGGCCACAAACAAGUCUUACGCAUCUAUGAAAACAAUCGAUCAUGGUGCCAAUUAGGUCACACGGCCAUGUUAGUGUGAUACAACAAUCCUAGAGAUUGGUUCAUGAUACAAUCCGGUUUAUAUAUCAAUCCGGAUAUAAGGCCAUACGGCUUUGCCUUAGACUUUCACGAUUAUUAUGUGAUACAACGAUCUUAAGGAUCGGAUCAUGAUGCAGUCCGGGUCAUAUGACUAUCCGGAUGCUAGGCCACACGGCCUCUUAGAUGUACACUAAGCCACACGGCUUUUAAUCAAUCAAGGGCACAAGGCCGCAAGUGUGUACAAUGUAUUAGGCCAUACGGCUAUAUACAAUAGGGGAUUAUUAAUCUAAAUGUAUUUAAUCCUAUUGCAUAGUUGCAUCUCUAUUAGGUUUACUAAUUUCAAGGUUUGGUAAUAUUCAACUAGAUUUUAGUAUCAAGUAAUCUAGCAACCUAACUCUCAUUUAUGCAAGCAACCUUAAUCAAUUGGAUUCUACUUUAUAAAAUAUAGGGUUUUAAUUUAAACUUUAGUAGAAAUCGAUUUAGCAAAAUAAGAUUAAGGUUUCAAGGCCUUUAGAAUUUUAAAAUCGAGAUUAGGGUUUUAAAACAUUCAAGUGACCGAUUAAGGGUUUCAAGGCCUUAGGAUCUUUAACUUCGAAAUUAGGGUUUCAGUUUAAACAAGAUUCAGAUUCAAGUUUUGAAACAAUCCUAAUUACAGCUCUAGGCGAUCAAUCAAACACUCAAGUUUCAAAUCAAAAUUAAAACCGAUUUUCCAAAAUUANNNNNNNNNNNNNNNNNNNNNNNNNNNNNNNNNNNNNNNNNNNNNNNNNNNNNNNNNNNNNNNNNNNNNNNNNNNNNNNNNNNNNNNNNNNNNNNNNNNNNNNNNNNNNNNNNNNNNNNNNNNNNNNNNNNNNNNNNNNNNNNNNNNNNNNNNNNNNNNNNNNNNNNNNNNNNNNNNNNNNNNNNNNNNNNNNNNNNNNNNNNNNNNNNNNNNNNNNNNNNNNNNNNNNNNNNNNNNNNNNNNNNNNNNNNNNNNNNNNNNNNNNNNNNNNNNNNNNNNNNNNNNNNNNNNNNNNNNNNNNNNNNNNNNNNNNNNNNNNNNNNNNNNNNNNNNNNNNNNNNNNNNNNNNNNNNNNNNNNNNNNNNNNNNNNNNNNNNNNNNNNNNNNNNNNNNNNNNNNNNNNNNNNNNNNNNNNNNNNNNNNNNNNNNNNNNNNNNNNNNNNNNNNNNNNNNNNNNNNNNNNNNNNNNNNNNNNNNNNNNNNNNNNNNNNNNNNNNNNNNNNNNNNNNNNNNNNNNNNNNNNNNNNNNNNNNNNNNNNNNNNNNNNNNNNNNNNNNNNNNNNNNNNNNNNNNNNNNNNNNNNNNNNNNNNNNNNNNNNNNNGAUUCGUCUCGUCAAGAGCUUCAAUUUGAUAUGUGGCUCGUCGUCUGGUUCGUCGGGGUUGGAGAGAUCGAUCGAUUUGAAGUUCCGCCUGAUUUAGGGUUUAUGUGUGACGGAUUUUGGUUUAUGGUUUUGUCUCAGGGUAUGGAGACUAUCGUGCUGAUAACGUGUUGUAAAAGAAGGGUUUGAGACUGAAUAUUUCGUGUGUAAUUCUUUCUGUAUAUUAUUAAUGAACAAAGGGGGUUCCUUAUAUAAGGAUUACAAGAUAGAGAUAAAUGGAAAGAGUACUUAUCCUAAUCCUACAUGAAAUAGGAAAUCUACUAAUACAUGGAAAAGGAAACUAUCUAUAUCCUAAGUUGGCCAAGGCUUUGGCCGACUCUCUCUCCUCCUUGCUGUCGGUUCUCUCUCUCCUUAAGUCGGCUAGGAUGUGGCCGACUCUCUCUCUCUUGGACGCGGCCGUGGCUGGGCCUGGUCGUGGCCUGAUGGGCCUUCUCUUCUUGUCUUGGUUAAUGGCAAUCCACACAUGUUUUAUAACAAUAUUUGAUAUCUUACAUUUAUACACCACACAAUUAUUUAGCUAACAUCUUACAUUACAUACUACAUAUAAUUAAUGUUGACUCUCUUAGAGUAUCUUUAAUUCAUUUCUACAUUUGUCUUUAUAAUAGCAUCUAGAAGUAAAUCUAAAACGUUAUUUUAUUUUUUCUUAAAAAAUAGAGAUUGCUAUGAUUGCUAUUUUUAAUUUUAUAAUUAAAAUUUGAUUUUCUAAAGUAAUACAUUUGGCUGCUUCAUCCGUCGUUUACAGCGGCCAAGCUAACGACGUCGACGUGAGGAAGAGUAUUAUUUCAUAUUUUAGGACACAUUCAUUUCUUUAUUUGUUUGUAGUUUCCUUAAUUAAGUUAUACUACUAUGAUCUUGAGAUCGCCCAUUGAUGGUGGAGUCGUGUAUGAAGAGAAUAUCUAUGGUGUGACUAGUAAUCAUCAAGGAAUAUUAGGAAUGAUUAGGAAAAGAAUGAAUAGGAAUAAAAUUUUGGGAACGAUGAGAAACGAGGGUUCCUUAUUAAAAUUAACAAGUAACAAAUUUGCAUUAUAAUUUUCUACAAAAAAGGGAAUGAGAAGAAAUGAAGAGGAAAAAAUAUUCUUCACAAAUGGUAAUAUUUUUGAAGAACAUUAAUGAAUGCAGUGUUCCUCUUCGUUUCCUUGGAUACCAUUCCCAUGGUAACAUUAAUGAUUUUCUUUUACAUAAUCAUUUUAAUGAUUUACGUAUCACUCGCAACAGGAUAUUUUUAAGCCAAAAAAGGAGGAUUCGUAACUGUUAUUACGUUACAUAUGUUCAGUAUAAUUUCUCAAUAUUUAAGUCAGUGCUGAAAAGUAUAGUUUAUUACCCUUUGUUACCGUGACUUUUGGGGGUUAUACUUGUGUGCCCGAUAUUUUCAAUAAUUUACCCCUAUACCCAAAACUUAAUAUUAUUAGUUAUGUACCCAAAACUCUGUAGUUUUUACAUAUGCUCCCGUAUCUUUCUUAUACUCAAAACGAGACGGAAGAAACUAAAACAAAAAAAAUGAAAGCUUUCUCUGUGUUAUCCAUUUCUGUGGUCAUCGUUUUGGCAACAAGUCACAUUGAUGCUUUCACAAGAGACGAUUUUCCAGAGGAUUUCCUCUUCGGAGCUGCCACGUCUGCUUAUCAGGUUCCACUCUUUUUCUGUGAUCUUUCCUUUUUUUUUUUGCUAUUGGAAAAAGGGAAGUGUUAGAAGAUGGUGAAACUACAAACAUCAAGUUGUUUUAUAAGGUUUUGCCUUUUCUUGUUUUGAACUGUGUGGGGAGAUAUAGUGGGAAGGAGCUGUUGAUGAGGAUGGAAGAACUCCUAGCGUUUGGGAUACUUUCUCACCCUUUGGUAAGAAAAAAAAAAAGAGAGAGAUGUUCAUAUAUUUUUGACCAAAAAAAAAGAGUAUGCCAUAGUCAUAUCAGCUUACCAUGUGGUUCCAUUUCAUUGGCAUUUAAAAAAAAAAAAAUAUUGAGUGAGUCGUUUCUUAUCUGAGAACCUUUUGAUUAGAUUCAUAGAUCAUGGUUGAGUAUGUUUUCUUGCAGAUAACAUGGACAAUGGAGAUAUAGCAUGUGAUGGAUAUCACAAAUACAAGGUGCUUUUUUUUUUCUUCUCUUCUUUGUUUUGCUCUGUUCUUGUUUUAUAAGCCUCUAGCUUAGCUUUGUUUUCUUAUGCUCUAUUGUUAUUGUGGGCUUUUGCAGGAAGAUGUUAAGAUAAUGGCAGAAAUGGGAUUAGAAGCAUUCAGAUUAUCUAUCUCAUGGUCAAGGCUUAUACCUAGUAACACCUCCUCUUCUGGUUUCUUGACUUGCAAGUUUAAAACCCCUUUUCACUCUUAAACCAUAUUUUGUGUGACUGUUGUGGUUUCUCAGAUGGAAGAGGACACAUCAACCCAAAAGGUCUACUGUUUUACAAGAACCUCAUCAAAGAACUACUAACCCAUGGUGAGAUUGUUUUUCCUUAAUAAUCGCAAUUAAUUAAAGCUAAUCUCAUUCCUUUUGAUAUUUGUUUUUGGGAAACAGGAAUAAAACCACACGUUACACUAUACCACUAUGAUCUCCCUCAGGCUCUUGAAGAUGAGUAUGGAGGAUGGAUCAACCGCAAAAUCAUGUAUAUAAUAAUUCUGUUCUAAUAUUUUUGUUUUUAAUGAUGAACUGAAGAAGAAAAAAAAAGAUUGUUGGUUGCAGAGAGGACUUCACUGCUUUUGCAGAUGUUUGCUUCAGAGCGUUUGGUGAAGAUGUGAAGCUAUGGACUACAAUUAACGAAGCUAACAUAUUCGCCAUUGGAGCUUACAGCGAAGGAACAUUGCCGCCAGGACAUUGUUCUAAUUCCAAAUACGUCAAUUGCUCCACUGGAAACUCUUCAACUGAACCAUAUAUUGCAGGCCAUAACAUAUUGCUAGCUCAUGCCUCUGCCUCAAACUUAUAUAGACUCAAGUACAAGGUACACACAUAUACAUAGGUCUAUUCUUAGGCUUUUGAAUCCUUAUGAACAUAAUAAUAUGAUGGUGCAGAGUAAGCAGAGAGGAUCCAUAGGCCUUUGCAUAUAUACAUAUGGGUUAUUUCCUUAUACUAGCUCCAAGGAAGAUGAGAUAGCAACUCAGAGAGCUAAAGAUUUCUACUUUGGCUGGUGAGGAUGAUAUUUUUUUUUUCUUUGUUUCAGUGACGUUGAGGACAAAAUCUGAAUAUGAUAUAUAAUACAGGUUGCUAAAGCCUUUGGUGUUUGGUGACUAUCCGGAUGUGAUGAAGAGAGUGGUGGGAUCUAGGUUACCUGUUUUCUCAGAGGAAGAGUCAGAGCAAGUUAGAGGAUCAUCUGACUUUGUAGGAGUUAUCCAUUACACGACACUGUAUGUCACAGAGAGUAGACCCACGCCUUCUAUCCUUCCUAGGAACCAAAGUUUUUCCACAGACAUGGGUGUAGAGACUAUCUGUAAGCUUUACUUGCUUUUCAAGUAUUAAGUGUCUUAUCCACUCUUAAAGCUUAUAAAUGUCCUUCUUGUGGACAGCCAUUGGGAACUCUGUUCCAUGGGGUUUUGAAGGUGUCUUGGAGUAUUUGAAACAGAGCUUCAACAAUCCUCCUAUCUACAUUCUUGAAAAUGGUCACUCUCUUUACUCUGUCUUUUGGCUCUGUUUUGUUUGCUUUGAAAGCAAUCCUUCUUCUUGUUCUUAAGAUUGCUUCCAGUUGCCAACAGGUUUAGCUACGAAACAUGAUUCGACGCUGCAAGAUACAUCAAGAGUUGAAUACAUUCAAGGUUACAUUGGUGCUAUGUUGAACGCCAUCAGGUAUGAUUGGUAUAAAUGGUUUAACUCUGGCUGACUGAGUAACUCUGAAGAAUCUUUUUGAAUGAUUUAGGAAUGGAUCGGACACGAGAGGUUACUUUUAUUGGUCGAUGAUAGACUUGUACGAGCUAUUGGCUGGAUACAGGCUCAGCUUUGGAUUGUACUAUGUGAAUUUCAGUGAUGCUGGUCUCAAGAGGUCUCCAAAACUCUCCGCUUCUUGGUACUCUGGUUUUCUCAAUGGUACAGUUGAUGUUGCUCCUCGGGAUAUUACUCAGCUGCAGAGCCACUCUUCUGGUUUGUCAUCUUUGUGAUGUUAGUUACCUAUAUAUCUAAAGAUUCUGGUUAACAACACUCAAACACAACCACAUAAGCUUCCCCCCGGAAGGAAAAUAAUGUUUACAUAUUGUUCAAAUAAGCAAAAGCGCAUCUGGUGUAGUGGUAUCAUAGUACCCUCCCACGAUACUGACCAGGGUUCGAUUCCCUGGAUGCGCAUUUUUUUUUGUCUAUUUAACCUUUUUUUUCACAAUAGAAAUCCUUUCUCUUAAGUUCCUAGGUUGUUAAAAGCUUUUGGGUGUUUGGAUUCAAAGCUUACGUUGGAGUUUUGCUCAAAGCUAUUGUUUUUCAAUGAUUUCUUAAAUCUAUUAAAAAUAUGGACUAAAAAUAUCAGUCAGUAACCGGAUAGGUAAAGAUGUUUGGUUUGGUUAUGGAUGUUUCUCAAUAUAGGUUUGUAUAAAAAUAAAACAGUAACGAUUUCAUUAGAAAACUCUUAUUUUAAACAAAUAACUCUCAGAAUCAAGGUAUUUAUUUGUUUUUAAAUUCACCAAAUUUAUUUGUAAAAUGUAAACGCAAACAUACAUAGUUUCUUUCUCUUUUUUUUUUGUAUUGCGUUUACAUUUACAAAUAACUUUUGAUUACAAAGAUAAAACCGUGAAGACAAUAGUAAAUGCAAAAGAAAAACAACAACCACCUUAUCAGAGAAACAUAAAGACAAGAUGUAGAGAGAAUCUUUGGAUCAGUUCGUUGCCGGAGCAACGGUCAAGCCAGGUGAGACUUUAAGGAAAGCCGGACGAGAACAAAGGUCUUCCCACCACGCCUUGACUUUAGGACGGUCGUUGACCAAACCAGCAUGACACGUCUUCAUGAAGUAGUAAGUGUAAGGAACGUGGUGGAGAUCCGCGAGUGUGUAAGAAUCUCCGGCCAAGUAUUUUGUCUUCCCGAGCUUCUCUUCGUACACAUCGAGCACUUUCCCUAACUUCUCCAGAUUCUCCUCCACGAUGGCUGCAUCAGGAGUCUUGCCUUGAAGCGGCACAACUAUAAGCUGGUGGAUGACGGCGGAGAUCGCGGGGUUGAAGUGGUGGGACUCCACUUCCGACCACAGCUUCACAAUGGCUGGUUCUUUAGCGUCUGCAUGUCUCGUCAGAUCCGUUCCUUUGUCCUUGUGUUUCUCUGCUAUAUAUGCCGUGAUUGCCCUCGACUCUGUUUUUAGUUAUAAUAUAAUCAAAAAAAAAUUAAAAGCAUCAUUAAAGAAGUAUAAUCAGCCUGAGCAUAAUAUCGAUUGAUACGAACCAAAAAGGGUAAGGUCGUCGUCUUGUAGAACUGGAACUUGGCCAAAGGGCUGCAUCAAGAAGAAGAGAUGUGAUUAGAUACAUCAUAUAAAUAAUACAUAUGCGCAUAAUAGUAUUGUGUUCAUGAGUAAGCGUACGUUCAUGGAGAGGAAAGAAGGGAGCUUGUGGUGGCAAGCAAAGAGAUCGACGGGGACAAGCUCGAACUCAGUCUCCUUCUCGUGAAGGCAUAGAAGCACACGUGCCACGCACACUGACAUCCCAUUUCCAUAUACCUUCAUCGCCAUUUCACUCUAACUUCGUAACUCGGAAGAGAGAGUGAGUCAGAGACUGAGCUGUGAUCUCAUUUUGCUACUGCAUAUAUAUAUAUAACAUAUGCUUUUGUCCUGUACAACCAAGCCAAGAUGAACAUGGUCCUACUGUUUCUUGGACUUUUAACAACUAUAUAGAAAUAUGAAAUCUAACAAUUAGGUUACGCAAGCAGUCGAAUCUUUGCAGUUCUUUCAGAGACUGGUCGUUGAAAUUUGACAGUUUGAAAUAGGAUUCCUUUUCCUCGUGCCUCGAAACUCGUUAUACGAUAUUUUUUUUUACCUGCCAUCGUUACUAUGCGCAUGAGGAUCCGUGAGCGUUCACGUGGCACUCAGCUGCUAGCUCACGUGGUCUCUCGUCCUUUGACCGGAACAAUGUUGACUGAACUGUUCUUACACAACAAAACAAGUUGGUUUAGUGGAAUGUCUAGGGAAGACACAAAUUGAAGAGCCCCGAGUCUGUUUUGGGUAGCGAUAAAAGGUUUUUGGAAAUUAUAAGAACCAUUCGUAAUUAUUAUACACACAAACUAUAUACAUUAACACCAUUGCACCAACUCUCACCACUCAAGUAGAGCAGAGAUAAAAGAUUGAAGGAACUUAAGAGAAUAGAUUGCAUCUAGAAAACAGAAGGAGGUUUUAGACAGUUGUGAUACUCAAGCUGAGACAUUUCUCCCCCAUUCACCGGAUCAAACUGGCAUCUGUAGAAGCUGUUCAAACACAACAAAGAAUAUAAUUCAGGCUCGUCAAAUCACAUUGCACUAAGAGUUGACAAGUUUUUUUCUUCUUACCUCCCAUCCAUGCCAAGAAUAACAACAGUGUUCUUCUGGUGACCAAAGGCGACUAUGUAUUGAGUUCCUUCAACCAACCGGAACUGAGCCACCGACCACUCCGAGCUGAAAUACUUGGGCAACACUCCUAAUAGAGCAAAAGGACUUAUGAUUACUGAACCAAGAGACUGCUAAAUGGUGAAAGUAGCUGGUAAUUAUAUAUACCUUUGAAUAACGACAGAGACGAGGAUGGAGAUGAGGAAGUACGAGUAAGAUCAGAUGCAAUUCUGGGUGUAUCUUUCACCUGAGCACCGGAGUUGCCUUUGAGGCCAAAGACAUGGACGGUUCCUUUGUCACUUGAGACAGCUAGCCACUGAGCAUUUGAAGAGAAAGCCAGACUAUAAAUCUCUGCUCUAUCUGCACCCCUCCUAACCUGUACAUUCACAUACACACGUCUUGCCAUUACUGAACCCAUGGACUCCAAACUCGCAAAAUAUUAUUACUAUAAAGGAUCAAAACUACAUUUGAGAUUUCCUAACAUAAUAACAUAAUAGUUCAUUCAUCCUCAAGACAGUGACUACUAAACCACCAAAUCAGCUAAAAGAGAAAGGCUUUCGAUGACUAGUUACCUCUUGUCGCAAGGUGCCAUCAACAGUAUUAAAGAUCCGAACCAGAGUCCCCUUAGAGCUAGCCGUCGCCAACAGAUGCCCAUCCUGCGUGAGAGCGAAGCAAGCAAUCCUGGAAUCAUGAGCCAUAACGAACUUAGUCCGCUUGGAAGCAUAAUGCUCGAUCCUCACUUGGCCUUUCUGCAAACCAGGGCACACCAACACCAUAGAGCCAGCCCCCUGAGAGACAGCGCACAGGCCCUUAGGGUUCGCAAUGGUCUCAAUCUGAUGCAUGAGCUUGAGGUCCGCGAAGUUGUAGACGAAGAUCUUCUGCUCGAGGACGACGAUGAUCCGAUCCCUCCUCAGCCUAACGGAUCGAACAUCGGACCUGAAGGAGAGCUCGCCGAUGCACCGGCUCUGGUGAUCGUCCCAGAUCAUGACCUUGUUCGGCGGAUACUGCGGGUCAGGCCCGCCGCCGACGAGCGCUAGGAUGUUGCAUCUCCACCACGGCGACUCCGCCGCCGCGAUCGAAAUCGCGCCGGAAGAUUUCGCGGAAGGGGUCGCAGUUGAGGAUCCGGAAGCCGCGGUCGGUGCCGACGGCGAAGCAGGCGUGGUCCUGGUUGAAGGAGAGGUGGAGCAGCGACGGAGGAGGAGUCGCCGGUGUUUGAUCGGAGUUGUGGGUAGCCUCUUCGGAGUUGAGGCUCAUGGAGGAGAAGGAAUCGAGAGACUCGGUGUCGUCUCCAGGGUCGCGGUGCUGAGAGGGAACAGUAGAGUCGGAAUCGAUUGGCCAGGGAGAAGCGGAGGAGACGGUGGCCAUGGAAUCUAUAGAAAUGAAUCUAUAUAGAGAGAAUAAUGAAGUUUGCUUGUUUGCCGUCGUCUCUUUCAGCCGGCUACUCACCUUCUUAUCAAAGAUAUCCAUUUUGGGAUAAAACUCGAUUAUUAUUAUAUUACAGAAAAAUUAUUCCUGGUUUUUUUUUGUUACAGUUCGUAAUUUUUAUCUAUCUGAGAAUAAUACAGAGUUUUUUUUUCUAUUUCAAGUUCAUAUCAACUCCUUAUAUAAAUCAGUAGUUUUAUAUAGCUAACAAUGCUGUUAAGACUCCAGAAAUGUAUAGUUACAUCUUACAAAUGUAUAUUAUUUUCUUACAAAGCUGAAUGUUUUAUUGUGCUUAAUUUUCUUUAUCUAGAAGGAUAUGAUAUUAGAUAUGUUCUGUUUUAUUUGUUACCAGUAUAAAUUGUAACAUUCUUAUCUAAUUUUUAUUAGAUUGUUUUCAUAUUGAUUUGAAAUUAGUUUCUUUAAAUUUAAAUUUUGUAUGACCAAUAUAUUCAAGAUUUUCAAUGAUAAUAAAAUCAACAACAAGCAAACAAUAUAUUUUCUGUUUGAAAAAUAAAUAGAAAGUGAAUAGAAAAAAGAAAGAAGUAAACGUCUACAAAUCUCCUUAUCAACGACUUUUCACCGACGAGUUGACCCGUUAAAAUCGGUAAGGAUUCAUCGGUGGGUAUAGCGCCGGUUGUGUCUGCGGCGGAGCCGCAUUAGGAUAGCCUUCAGGUGGACAUGACAAGCCAGGAAAUAUAGAUGUAUACAUUGUCUGUACACUUUCCGGUGUGUAACUCAUCGGAUAGCCAUGAGGUGGAUACAAGCCGGGGAAACAUGUCGGAGGCAGAACCCCCGGUUGAGCCAACGGUGGAUAAACCGGUGGCUGAUGAGAAGGAACGUGACCGUAACUAAACGAUCCAACGCUUGGAAGCAACUGACUCAACACGGGUCCGUUCGAAACUGGCCUGCACGUCACUGCAGGGGGACGAACCGGCUCGUGAGCUAUGUAACGUGAGCAUCCAACGCCGCUCGCAACAGCCACCGGACCGGUGAAGGAAUAAGUGAAACUGAUGUCUCCUCCUGGUUUUCCGUUGGUCUUCUUGAUUUUGUAGGUGACAUAUCUUUGACCGGCCUUAUCCUUUCCGAGAUGAUCCAAAAGCUCCUUCACCGGAACGUGAACCUCGCCAAUGUCUUUAUCACCUCCUCCUCCUCCACGUUGCUCGCAUUUGAUCUUGAAUGUGAGCACAAGCCGGUUGGCCUCAGCUAAAGUUUGGUCGAUGGUGAAUUUCAUUAGGCCGUCGACCCACCUGGGGCUUGUUCCGCUGUCUCUAGCCACUUGUGUCCGCUGCUCACGGUGGUCGGAGCAUUUGGGAUCGCCGGAUAACUUGACCGCCACGAAAACAUCCAUCUUAGAGACUUUCUCAAGCCCUUUUGCUGACGUCACAUUUAUUUCUAGAGAUCUCGUCGUCUCCAUGUUGAAAAAUUACCAAAGAUUGAAAUGCAAAAAGCUGGUUCAUCUCUAGAUACAGUAUAUAUAGAAGUUGCAGAGACGACUAAGAGAAAGUCAAUGGACUAUUUCUUUUUUUCUUUUUUUGGUCAAAAGACUAUUUCAUUAUUACAUCCACUACUCUCUUUGAAAUUUCUAACGAAUUAAGAUUUUAAUAUGCAACCUGUAGGAAGGAGUCUGUGUGUGAUGAACAGUCCAAAGGCCAUAUUACUAACUCAGACAUAUAGGAUCCGAAAAAUUCGGGUUUAGUCCAGAUGUAACGGGUACGACUCGAAAUAUCCGUUAGUGGCCCAAUAAAGUGGGGUCUAAACAUAAAACAUGAGGAGGGCCCAUUUAGAACCUUCGAAGUCGAUCAGAAGGUUUGUCGGAAACCAUUUCUAUUCCCAAUCUUGGCGGAGGAGCCGGCGCACGACCGAAAAGAGCUGAAAGGAGAAGAAAUGGUGAGCAGAGAAGCGUUGAUCGCAUACAGAGCUCUGCUCAGGGCUACGAGGAAAUCAUUCGCCGGAGAUACCGAGAUGCUCAAGGCUUCGGCUUCCGAGAUCCGUAAGAAGUUCGAAGAGAAUCGCCACGUGGCUUCCGAUUCCGACAUCCCACGCCUACUCGAAGAAGCGCGUGAGGCGACUGAAUUCAUCUCCACCAUGAUCGUUCAGGCCAAACUCAACGAACGCGGCGGAUACGGUACGUAUUACACCUUUCCUCUGCGCACCAUCUGUUUGUUGAAAUGUCUGACUGGAAACUGAUCUUUCGAAACUGACGUGUCUCAGAGGUGAAAGCAAGUCAGGAACACGCGGGAGCGACUUUGGAGCUUCCGACAGAGGAGAUGCUUCGGAAAAAAUCUGUAUGAGUUAAGUCUUGGUGGUCUCUGAGACCACAUUGUCACUGUCUGAAACUGGAUUUCUUCUCCCUUGCUUGUUUUGUUUUAAUAGGGAAAGGUGUAACCUUUUUUUGUGAUUCUCUGUUUUGUUCUCUCUUCACAGCAAACCCAACUCAGAUUUUAUUAAUAAAGAGCUCAUCACAUUCAAUUUAAAAUGAAGUCCUUCCGUUUCUGAUCUAUGAUUUGUCCAUGAAUGACAGGAUUUCACUUGCUUUUCAUGCCUCAUAUUGGUCCUAUUUUUUGUUAGCUAUAGACACUCACUUUCCACAUCUCUUGGAAGCCUUAUCUUGUCUCAGAGACCCACUUCUUGUAUCGUGGCUAUAUCUAUCUCCUUGUUACGUGCUAGUUUGGAAUUGAAUUGUUUCUUACAUCAGUUAUGAUUUUUUAUCUGUCUACUGCUCCGUGCUUGUGCGGUUUCAUGGAGUCUGAUCAGAAGUUUGAAAAAAAUUGACUGCGGGAAAGAGGGAAACCAUGAUCUUAGUCUAGUUUUCAAACCAGUUGAAUAGUACCUUUAUUUGGAUAUGGGGUUCAUUUUCUAAAAGAGAACCACUAACCCCAUUCAUGGUUUUGCUCAGGAGCCCAUUAUGUUCUCCAUGGUUUAAGUUCAGAGUGUUCUACGGUUUAAGUUCAGAGUGUUCUACGUUUAUCUUUAAUGUCUCAUUCAUACUCUGCAAUCAUUUAGUUCUUGUGCUGAGGAGCACUGUCUUUUGUUUCUCUUGCGAGUUCAAUUUGUAUUACUGUAUUUAAAAAUGCUCACGCAUUACUGGAAUUUCUAAGCUCAUAUUUUAUUGAUUGCACUGAUAACUAUACCUCCGUUCUACCUAAUCAGUAUUAAGCCUAAUCAAUUAUCCCACAGCCGAAAUAUUGUAGGCGGCCUAAUGUCAUAUAUUGGGCCAGUAGUACUACAGUUCCCAUUAUUCUCACCGUCCCAAGCUCAAGAGCCACCUAACGAGUAACCAACCUGUCAUAAAGUCAAAACGUAAGAAGAAGUCGGUGUCAACUUCAUGAAUGCUCGAAAUUUUCAGUUCUACCAUUUUUGAUCCAUUUGAAAUCGUUUUUAUGUUCUUUUUAAACGGCAAGGUACGAUGCCGCCAAGAACCUUUGGGCAAGUGGCAUAAAAGCCAUCUCGGCCUGGUCGUGGCAAUUAGGAGUUUCUCUCCAAAUUUAAGUGGGGCUUAUUGGAUCAAGGAUUCGAAAGAUUCCAAAAUUUGAGUAAACUAGGGGUAGGGGUAGGUCCGCCCUACGGGCGGGUAAGUUUACACUAAAAUAAUUUUAUAUUAAAUUAUGUCAUAAUAAUAAUUAGUAUAUAUUAUGUAACAACAAAUGAUGUUUAUAAUAUAUGUUUGCUUAAGUUUAUAUUAAUUUUUCAAUUUAUAAUAAAAAAAUUAUUAAUUUUUUAGUAAUUAUUUUUUGUAAAUUAUUUUAGCAUUUGUUGAACUUAUUAUAAAAAUAUAUUGGUUGGAAAUUUCGCUCAUGGUAUUUAAAAUAUUUUUAUAAAUUUAUAGUUUUAUAAAUUAAUAAAUUAUUAUAUUUCUAACAUAAAUUUACUCUAGUUUCAUACCUUACCAUAUCAAAUAAUUUAAAUGUAAUCCGGAAAUUAAGAUGAACCAAACUGCAUACAAAUGUUUUUCUGAAAAUUGUUUUUCUCUUCGAAGAAUAAAACUAAAAGAAGUAACUAAACUUUUUAAACUUUUUCGUGUUGGCUGUAUUGAAUGAAAUCAUAUAUAAUUCCUCUCUAAUCAAACAUCUCAUCCUCAGUUUUCACAUAGUAACAACAAUAACAUCGAAAAGCAUGUAUACAUAACUAAAUGGAACAAAACAACAUAUUAACUUUAUAUUCCAUCCCAAAACAAUCAAAUAAAAUGUCAUCUAGCAAACAAUUAUUCACAUCAAAACUGCAGAGAUUCUGUUUUGAAACUUAUUAAAAUGAUUUUGUCAAUGAUUUCUGGAGGUCCAUCAUUUUUUUCUUUCUAAUUUUUUAAAGCUUGAGCUUAGUGACGAAAAAAAUCUGUAAAUUUCUUUUUUUUUUACUGUUGUUUUUCUUUUUGCUAAUUUUUUUAAUACUAUUAUUGCUCUGACUUUGAUGAAAUGUGCAAAAACAAAAUUGCGAACAAAUCUCUCUUCUCUUCUGUUUUUCUGAAUUUUGUCUAUAAUUUUUUUUUUUGAUAAACCUUUAACAUUGUUCAUGUAAGAACUUUGUUCCUUGCCAAUACAAACAUCGGAAGGACACUCGGCAUACUAAUAAGUACUCAAUUAAAAAUAAAAUCAAACCAAAAUAGUGCUUUAAAAUUGAUAUUACUACACAUCUUAGCGCAAAUUGAGUUGGUCUUCUUGACUACGGAUCUUAAAUUAUGUGUAGAUAGGCAAAGGUACCUUAUGUAUGUGUAGAUAGGCACUUCCUGAUUUAGAAACUCAUCCUUAUCCUUCUCAAAUUCAUCCAACACAUCAUCACCAGAAAAAGCACGGUUUAUAAGCUCUGCUUGAGAAGGAACCACAAAGGUUUCCUUUGAGGCAGAUGUCAAAACUCUGUCCACCAUUUGCUCUGCUUCACUCUCGGAAUCCUCACUUUCUUCAUCUCUCGAUCACUUUUCAAGAUUUUAGACAGAAGUACACAAAGGUAAGGAACUAAAACAGCCAAAAGCUACUACUGGUUGGAAAGAGAAGAUGAUGAGAAAACAGUAUAGUUCAACUGAGACUUGCAGAAAGAAAAACCUUUUUAUCUUGAGCCUGUGGGAUGGAUGCACACGUCUUCUUUGAUGCCUUUUUAGAUUCUGUGUUUUUAGAGCCUGUCAUCUGCAUAACAUACCCCAAAAGGAGUUGAACAAAAGAAUAAAAAGACAAAGUCUGAUGUAAAAAACUCAAAAGUAAACCUUCUUCCAGGAGCCUGAUGCAAACAUGGCAACAUCGAAUGUUGUCUUAUAUGCUGGAUUUCCAGCAACAUCAUCAUCAAACUUCUGUAGACAAAUCACAGUAAAAUAAUAAAUUUUUGUCACAAGGAUUUCAAAGGAAGAGAAGAAAGACCCAUUAUGAAAAAAUAAGAUACCUCAGUUUCUGUAAUGGUGUUUGUAGCAGGUGAGGCAUUAUCUCUUACAGGCUCUAUGUUAUUAUCUUCUAUGCCAGCCAUAUCAUUGUCACUAUCACUGUCGUCAUAAAAGUUAUCUGAAUCCUUUCUAGACUCUUUUGGAGCUUCCACUUUAGCGGUUGCACCAAACACUCUUCUACCACUAACAUUAACGGGUUUUUUUAGAGUUUUCUCCAUCAGAAUUUUCCCACUCUUCAUACUCCUCAAGUGCACGUUUAUCUUCUUCAUUAGCUUCCUCGUUUUUCUUUUUUAUAGCACGGGUCUAACCCAAAAAAAAAAAGAUAAGACAAAAAGAAACAUAAAAUGAGAUAAACCAAAAUCGUUAUGAGAAAGCAAAAAGCAAAUAUUACCAUGAAAGGUAAUGACAUAAGAACAGCAUUGGGCAGUUCAUCAUCUUCCAAAGCUUUCAACGUCUUCUCCUUCGCUUUUGCUAUUAAUCUAGGAGUGUCCUCAUCUGAACCAUCUCUGAACUCUUCCUCAUCGUCCCUCUCAUCACUGCUACUUCCAUCUCUCAUGGAGUUCAUCUUUCUGGAUAAGUUAGCAUUCAUUUGAAGCUGUUAGGCUAUAGCUGCCUUAGUUCCAUCGUAUUUCACAUUCAGUCCACGGCUUAGCAUGCGCUUCGCCCACUUUCCUGUGUUUUUGUGCUUUAACGUCAUACGUUCCUGCACAAGCAUAAAGAAGACAACAUUUUACUUUUAAGCUAAUGUCUUGAUGAAAAUAAUGUGAAGUGAAGAGGAAGUUUCAGACUCACCUCUACUCGUUUGGCCCCUUGUCUCAUAGCCUCUUCUUUAGCCAUUUCCGGCCAUCUACUGCCAAAAAAGUACUUCAGGUCUUUGUUUUUGAGGCGAUGAUAAGUCGUAGACUUACUCUUCUUGAUUCGUUUGCUUUUUAGCUCAUGACGGAAGAGCAGGCUCUGCAUUAUAAAUUUAGUCACACAGCAAAAUAAUCAACAAAAAAUACCGAAAAUAACUAACUCGCCUCACUUAGAUGCAGUCUUUCUCUCAUCUCAAAUUGUGUGGAAGAAGUAUCUACUACAUGCCUUGGUGAACUCGUGAUUGUUUCUUUCGUUGUCGCCAAUGCUUCUUAACUUGACGGGCUAGCGUCUCUGAAAUAUAUUUACUCGUAAAAUCCAUGUAUUAGUUUCUGAUCUGUAUUCCACAAUCUCCUGGUAAUGUACUUAUUUCUAGCCUUUUCUUUCUCUGCAACAGUUAGCUACCUACACAACACAACCUAAAGUUUUCAAUCAAAACUAUGAGAUUUUGCAAUGAUCGGAUCAAAUUAGGCGAUCAAUUACUUUUUUUUUACUUGAGAACCGCCAUGGCCGUUGCAGCCACCGAAGAAAUGAGCGGUUGAUUGAGGACUGAAACGAUCAUCUUUCAACGAAUUCUUUGGAGAUUGAAGGAAAAUGGGUAUCGAGGAGACAUCAUAUUCCAUCUCCGGUCGUCUUCCACACCGUACAAAGGUACCCUCUUGAACUCAGACAGACUCCUGCUCUCUGGUUUGCUUAUCGUCUUCUUCUCAACCGUCGAUCUCUCGUCUGAGCGUUGAUCUCUACUCCGGCAGCUGUAUCAGCGACUAUCGCCGUUGAUAAUUCAUCGCUGCAACUCUGCAAAUCUGUAGAAUACCUUCCUCGAUUACGUAUGAAGAGGCUGCGCUCGAUUUAAUGCUAAGGCGUUACAGAAAGUUAAUCGCAGAUGGCUUCAUCGAGGAAAGGGUAUUGAGUUUCGUUUUCUCAAUCAAACAGGAUAUUGAGCCCGGAGGAAAAACACUUUAGAAACCCAGAUAAAAGAACAAAAAAGUUUGUUUUGAGUUGCCACAUGGCAUAAAAACCCCAUAUCUGAAGGAUGACGUGGACGCCUGAGAGAGCUGAUAAGCCAAUUUUAUUAUUAUAGAUACAUAAACGGAUGUUUUUAAGUUUAAUAGACUUUUUUUUUAAGUUUAAAAAAAAAAAGUUUAACGGACUUAAAAAUAAAAGAGUCUAAAUGGGCAUGUGUGUAAACAAACAUAAAUUGCAGGGUUUAAAGGGGCAUAACUUUAAUGGACAUGUGGUCAAAACGAACCCAUUACUUAUUAAUAUUAUGCGGACUAACUAUUUCAAGUCAUGAAAAGUUACGUAAGUAAAACCACGUAGAGUUAGUUUAACAAAACAUAUAAGAAGAGGAGAUGAUGACAUUUUAUAAGAAGCUGAGACUUUUCAAGUCAUGAAAAGUUUUUUUUUUUUUUUUAUCAAACAAGUCAUGAAAAGUUAUGUAAGUAAAACCACGUAGACUAAAAUAAUUUUAUAUUAAAUUUUUUUAAUUUUAUAAAUUUUUCUUUAUACUCAAAACAAUAAAUAUAAUAUGUUUUUAUUCCAAAAGUAUAUUCAAAAAAUUAUUAAAUUUUGUUAGUUUGAGUUGAAAAGACCACUAAUAUUUUUUUGGUUAGAGAUCACAAAAUUAUUAAAUUAAAAAUUUAACGAAAAUGUAAUGAUUUAUAUUUUUCUAUUUGAUUUCUAGUUCAAUUUUAUAUAGUUGAAAAAAUCUAAAAUAAGAAUAACUAAUAAUUUUAUAUUUCUAAGAGUAUCAGAUUUUAAUACUAUUACUAUAACUAAUUUUCACGAUAAUAAAUUAAUACAUCCAUCUCCAAGCCAACUCAAUUAAAAAUCAAAUGUAGUGUGAUAAAAUAAUAAAAAUUUAUAUUUUCAAUUAACAUAAAAAUAGUUUCAAUAAUGUCAUAAAUAAUAAUUAGUAUAUAUUAUGUAACAACAAAUGAUGUUUAUAAUAUAUGUUUGUUUAAGUUUAUAUUAGUUUUUCAAUUUAUAAUAAAAGUUUCAUUAAUUUUUUAAUAAUUAUUUUUUUGUAAAUUAUUUUAGCAUUUGUUGAACUUAUUAUAAAAAUAUAUUGGUUGGAAAUUUCGCUCAUGGUAUUUGAAAAUAUUUUUAUAAAUUUAUAGUUUUAUAAAUUAAUAAAUUAUUAUAUUUCUAACAUAAAUUUACUCUAGUUUCAUACCUUACCAUAUCAAAUAAUUUAAAUGUAAUCCGGAAAUUAAGAUGAACCAAACUGCAUACAAAUGUUUUUCUGAAAAUUGUUUUUCUCUUCGAAGAAUAAAACUAAAAGAAGUAACUAAACUUUUUAAACUUUUUCGUGUUGGCUGUAUUGAAUGAAAUCAUAUAUAAUUCCUCUCUAAUCAAACAUCUCAUCCUCAGUUUUCACAUAGUAACAACAAUAACAUCGAAAAGCAUGUAUACAUAACUAAAUGGAACAAAACAACAUAUUAACUUUAUAUUCCAUCCCAAAACAAUCAAAUAAAAUGUCAUCUAGCAAACAAUUAUUCACAUCAAAACUGCAGAGAUUCUGUUUUGAAACUUAUUAAAAUGAUUUUGUCAAUGAUUUCUGGAGGUCCAUCAUUUUUUUCUUUCUAAUUUUUUAAAGCUUGAGCUUAGUGACGAAAAAAAUCUGUAAAUUUCUUUUUUUUUUACUGUUGUUUUUCUUUUUGCUAAUUUUUUUAAUACUAUUAUUGCUCUGACUUUGAUGAAAUGUGCAAAAACAAAAUUGCGAACAAAUCUCUCUUCUCUUCUGUUUUUCUGAAUUUUGUCUAUAAUUUUUUUUUUUGAUAAACCUUUAACAUUGUUCAUGUAAGAACUUUGUUCCUUGCCAAUACAAACAUCGGAAGGACACUCGGCAUACUAAUAAGUACUCAAUUAAAAAUAAAAUCAAACCAAAAUAGUGCUUUAAAAUUGAUAUUACUACACAUCUUAGCGCAAAUUGAGUUGGUCUUCUUGACUACGGAUCUUAAAUUAUGUGUAGAUAGGCAAAGGUACCUUAUGUAUGUGUAGAUAGGCACUUCCUGAUUUAGAAACUCAUCCUUAUCCUUCUCAAAUUCAUCCAACACAUCAUCACCAGAAAAAGCACGGUUUAUAAGCUCUGCUUGAGAAGGAACCACAAAGGUUUCCUUUGAGGCAGAUGUCAAAACUCUGUCCACCAUUUGCUCUGCUUCACUCUCGGAAUCCUCACUUUCUUCAUCUCUCGAUCACUUUUCAAGAUUUUAGACAGAAGUACACAAAGGUGAGGAACUAAAACAGCCAAAAGCUACUACUGGUUGGAAAGAGAAGAUGAUGAAAAAACAGUAUAGUUCAACUGAGACUUGCAGAAAGAAAAACAUUUUUAUCUUGAGCCUGUGGGAUGGAUGCACGCGUCUUCUUUGAUGCCUUUUUGGAUUCUGUGUUUUUGGAGCCUGUCAUCUGCAUAACAUACCCCAAAAGGAGUUGAACAAAAGAAUAAAAAGACAAAGUAUGAUGUAAAAAACUCAAAAGUAAACCUUCUUCCAGGAGCCUGAUGCAAACAUGGCAACAUCGAAUGUUGUCUUAUAUGCUGGAUUUCCAGCAACAUCAUCAUCAAACUUCUGUAGACAAAUCACAGUAAAAUAAUAAAUUUUUGUCACAAGGAUUUCAAAGGAAGAGAAGAAGACCCAUUAUGAAAAAAUAAGAUACCUCAGUUUCUGUAAUGGUGUUUGUAGCAGGUGAGGCAUUAUCUCUUACAGGCUCUAUGUUAUUAUCUUCUAUGCCAGCCAUAUCAUUGUCACUAUCACUGUCGUCAUAAAAGUUAUCUGAAUCCUUUCUAGACUCUUUUGGAGCUUCCACUUUAGCGGUUGCACCAAACACUCUUCUACCACUAACAUUAACGGGUUUUUUUAGAGUUUUCUCCAUCAGAAUUUUCCCACUCUUCAUACUCCUCAAGUGCACGUUUAUCUUCUUCAUUAGCUUCCUCGUUUUUCUUUUUUAUAGCACGGGUCUAACCCAAAAAAAAAAAGAUAAGACAAAAAGAAACAUAAAAUGAGAUAAACCAAAAUCGUUAUGAGAAAGCAAAAAGCAAAUAUUACCAUGAAAGGUAAUGACAUAAGAACAGCAUUGGGCAGUUCAUCAUCUUCCAAAGCUUUCAACGUCUUCUCCUUCGCUUUUGCUAUUAAUCUAGGAGUGUCCUCAUCUGAACCAUCUCUGAACUCUUCCUCAUCGUCGCUCUCAUCACUGCUACUUCCAUCUCUCAUGGAGUCCAUCUACUGCCAAAAAAGUACUUCAGGUCUUUGUUUUUGAGGCGAUGAUAAGUCGUAGACUUACUCUUCUUGAUUCGUUUGCUUUUUAGCUCAUGACGGAAGAGCAGGCUCUGCAUUAUAAAUUUAGUCACACAGCAAAAUAAUCAACAAAAAAUACCGAAAAUAACUAACUCGCCUCACUUAGAUGCAGUCUUUCUCUCAUCUCAAAUUGUGUGGAAGAAGUAUCUACUACAUGCCUUGGUGAACUCGUGAUUGUUUCUUUCGUUGUCGCCAAUGCUUCUUAACUUGACGGGCUAGCGUCUCUGAAAUAUAUUUACUCGUAAAAUCCAUGUAUUAGUUUCUGAUCUGUAUUCCACAAUCUCCUGGUAAUGUACUUAUUUCUAGCCUUUUCUUUCUCUGCAACAGUUAGCUACCUACACAACACAACCUAAAGUUUUCAAUCAAAACUAUGAGAUUUUGCAAUGAUCGGAUCAAAUUAGGCGAUCAAUUACUUUUUUUUUACUUGAGAACCGCCAUGGCCGUUGCAGCCACCGAAGAAAUGAGCGGUUGAUUGAGGACUGAAACGAUCAUCUUUCAACGAAUUCUUUGGAGAUUGAAGGAAAAUGGGUAUCGAGGAGACAUCAUAUUCCAUCUCCGGUCGUCUUCCACACCGUACAAAGGUACCCUCUUGAACUCAGACAGACUCCUGCUCUCUGGUUUGCUUAUCGUCUUCUUCUCAACCGUCGAUCUCUCGUCUGAGCGUUGAUCUCUACUCCGGCAGCUGUAUCAGCGACUAUCGCCGUUGAUAAUUCAUCGCUGCAACUAUGCAAAUCUGUAGAAUACCUUCCUCGAUUACGUAUGAAGAGGCUGCGCUCGAUUUAAUGCUAAGGCGUUACAGAAAGUUAAUCGCAGAUGGCUUCAUCGAGGAAAGGGUAUUGAGUUUCGUUUUCUCAAUCAAACAUUAUAUCGAGUCCGGAGGAAAAACACGUUAGAAGCCCAGAUAAAAGAACAAAAAAGUUUGUUUUGAGUUGCCACGUGGCAUAAAAACCCCAUAUCUGAAGGAUGACGUGGACGCCUGAGAGAGCUGAUAAGCCAAUUUUAUUAUUAUGAGAGAAAACUCCCCUUUAUUAUAUAAGAUACAAGAAAUCAGAAAUUUAAAUAAAUCAUAAAAAGAUUUAUUACAAGUUUUAAGGUUUUGUGAAGAAAUUUCAGAGUUUUUGAAAAAAAAAAUUCAGAGUUUUUAAUUUUUUCUUUAAAAUUAUUUAAAAUAAUACUUUUAUUUUUAAAUUACCGUAGUUUGAUAUUUUAUCGUUUUAUAAAAUAUAUAAGAGUUUUUAAAAUCGAUUUUUUAAAUAAUUUUUUUUUUUUCAAAUAGUUUGAUUCUCUUUUUAAAAAUGUGAAGUAAUUUUCUUUUCAUUUUUUAAAAAUAUCAAAUAUCAUCAUAAGAAGUGAUAUUUCAAUUCGUUAUUUUCUAUUAUAAAAUAUCAUCUAAACCUCACCAAAUUUCGUAUGAUAGAUUUUAUUACAAAAUUCAUAUUUUUCAGACCUCUAAAUCCUUGUUCCAAUAAUAUCCCCUUAUGGAUCGUUCGACUAGGACCGGUGGACUCUAAUAAAGCAUCUAGAAAAAUGUUAUCAAGUAUCAACUCAGCAACUUUUCCUUUCAAAAUGUUCUGAUUUAGAGCUUGAUUGGUUUUCCCGCUACCACCCGCAAACGCAGCUUUUGCGAUUGGUAGCGGUUGACAGCGUUUCGAAACAAUCAUACAAACCGCUACAAAUCGCUUCAAACCGCUCCGAACCUCUUAAAAUCAAAAGCUGGUUCCAGCUAGCGUUUGCGGUUACGGGCGGUUGCGGGAGGAUAAUUUUUUUUUCUUUUUUUUAAAAACCAUAUAAAUACAAAAAUAAAAAUAAAAAUAAAAUUUUUAAAAUAGAAUUAUAAAAAUACUAAAAUAUAUCUAUUAUAUUUUAAUUAAUAUUAUAAAAUAUAUAAAUAUAUUUAUCGACCAUCUCACUGAAAUUUAGUUUUAAAUUGAUACGGUUUAACUUAAAAUAUGAUAUAUAAUCUAUACAUACAUUUAUAAAGCGUCUAAACUGGAUUCGUUUACAUGAUCUUGUUGUUAGCUAGUCUUAUUCCAUGUUUUGAAAAUUAAUAUCCAAUUGUUAUUAUAAUAAAAUAAAGAAAUUGAUUUGAAAAAAGAACCAUGUUAGCCAUCGCAAAUCCAAUAAUUUGGGCAAGAAAGUGAAGGAGAUAUGCCGCCACGUUAGAAUCACAAGUCAACGUAAACGCUAAUGCUCAUCACCUUCUUUUUGUUUUUCACCUCCAGAUCCAAAGUUCUUAUUUGAAUUUUUAGUUCAAUGACUGAUCAAAGUUUAUAACAUUUAAAUUCAGAUAACAAUAUUAUAUAAUUCAGGUUCUCGGAAAUUUUGUAGUUUUGCUUUGUAUGUACUAUGAAUGUCUUCAACUAUAUCAAAACUAAUUUGUGUGGCCAAGUGAAUUAUUCCGACAUAAAUUAGAUGAUGCCUCAACUUUUUUUUUGAGCAACAAAUACUUAUAUUAAAUUGAUAGCCUCAACUAACACAUAAAUAAGACAAGUUAUACUGCAAUCAUUUAAUUAUGCAUCUUUUGUUGUCAUUUCAUAUACGAAUAAAAUAUAUAACUGACGGUCUGUUUUUGUAUCAUAAAGACUGCAUGGGAUUUAGGAACAAGACGAAUACACGAUGCAAAUGCAACUGAUGAAAUAUUAAAUAGUAUAUUCAAUUCAUACUCCAUAGUAGCUAUAUAACUCACGCAUUAGAUCUAAAACAAUGCAUGUUGGAAGCAAUAAUGUUUUUUUGGGUCUGCUACAUUUCUAAACGAAAUUAGAUCCUAAUAUUAUGUUAAUUUGUACCCACCACCACCCACGUCGGCUCUACGAAUCCAAUUAAAAUGUUGCACCCAAAACAGCUAAUGAUGUUUGUUUUUAUUCAGUAUACACGUUUUCUAUAUUUUCACCACUAAUCCAAAUGUUCCCUUCCAUCAAAUAUUUUAUAUUGCUCCACGGAGCUAUUCAAUAUCUUUCACAUAUAUCAUCAAAAACAGCUAAGGAAAUAUCUCAAAGUAUACAGUUUUUAUUUGACUAGUACUAAUCAAAUAAAUAUUACUAUAAGCAAAUGUUUCAACCAUAUAGUUAGGAUAUGCUUCUAAAAUCAAACAAUGAUACGUAGUUUAAAACUUUAUUGACCCGUCCAUGUUUACCAACCCGUUUUCCUCUUAAACAUUUUCCCAUACCAUUCUUUUAGACGACUUAAAACAAUAUUUACAUGUUUGAUUUGGAGGAUCUUAUUUAUGUUAAGAAUAUGACAAAAUAAAACAAACAACAAGUCACAUUUAAAGCUCAGGUCGACACGUUUUGUGUACUCCCUCCGUUUUUUAAUAUAAGUCGUUUUAGAAAAACUUUUUUGUUCCAAAUUAUAUGUCGUUUUCGGUUUUUUAUGUAACAUUUAUUAGUAAUUAAUGUUGUCUGACCAAUGAUAAUAUAUCUUCUAUUUUUCUAUUGGUUAAAUUGUGGUUAGGUAAAUAAUUAAUGAUGUUUUUGUUUCGAAAAUAUAAGAAAUUAAUGAUUUUCUUAAUCUAUGUGCAUAGCUUCAAAACGACUUAUAAUAAAAAACGGAGGGAGUAUUNNNNNNNNNNNNNNNNNNNNNNNNNNNNNNNNNNNNNNNNNNNNNNNNNNNNNNNNNNNNNNNNNNNNNNNNNNNNNNNNNNNNNNNNNNNNNNNNNNNNAUAAAAACUAUUUUUUGUAAUUAUUAAACUAUUUUUUAUUUAUUAAAACUAUUUUUUAUUUAUUAAAACUAUUUUUUGUAAUUAUUAAACUAUUUAUAUUUUUGUGAUUAAAAACUAUUUUUUAAAUAUGUUUUUUUAUUUAUUAAAAUUAUUAGAACUAAUUUUUAAAUAUGUUUUUUUUUUAAUUUACAGGUCUAAUGAUGAUCAGACCCGGCCUCGACAGCGUCGUGGUCGUGGUGGUACGGGAAGCCAGUCUCGGGAUUCCAGCCAGAUUCAGGAUUCCGCUUCGCCCCACAGCUCCUACCAUACAUCUCCCUCUCCAUUUCCCGCUCCUGCUCCUCUCGCUCCCGCUGCUGCAUCCGCUCCUGCUCCUCCGGGUCCUCCGGGUCCUCCGGGAGUGAUGAGUGUUACGGAGUUGGUUCGACAGCCCGGUCGUGACCAUCUUCCCUAUCUCACUCCGUAUCCACAUGGACGGGGUCAAACAUGGUAAUUAAACAUAUUUUUUUUCAUUAAAAUUUGAUUCAUUAUUAAUAAUUUGUUCUUUUUAUUAGGUUCAACCGAUCUGAGAACGGGAUCAGCGCAUGGAUCAACCGUAUGAUAUACUCGGCCCUCGACAAGGGACAUCUGACUUUCACUGACUUCCCUUCCGACAAGCAGCAUCUGUGGUUUCGUCAGUUUGCGGUAAGUAUUCUAAUUUUUUACUUAUAUUUUUAAUCUUUAAUAUAAAUUUUCUACUAAUUGUGUUUUUUUUUUCAGCAAGAAUUCAACUGGAAUUCCGAUGAUACGCUCUUUAUCUAUCACCACUUCGUCAAUAAAGUUAUGGACAACUAUGGGAAGCAGAUCCACGAGUGGAAGAAGAAGUGGGAAAUCAACAAGGUUGUUUUUAAUUUAUUAAACAAUUUUUUAAUUUAUUAAACUAUUUUUUAUGUAUUAAACUAUUUUCUUUUUUUUAUUAAAAGGUCCCAAAGUCGAUGAACAACACGGUCUGGACGGAGUUGUGUGUGCAUUGGGAUAAGGAAGAGACGAAAGAAACUUCUUCCACCAACUCCACCAACCGCAGAAGCGACCGUAAAGGGAAGGGCGUCUUCAAGCAUAACUUGGGUGCUCAAUCUAUUGCCAGUCUGGAGGAUCGCAUGGUAAGUUCAGCCGCUUUUUCUUCAAUUAUUUAAGUUUGAAAUUUUAUUUUUUUGUGCAUUUCUUCUAAUUUCUAAUGUUUUUUUAAUUUAUGUUUUUUUCAAGGCGGAAGAAAAUGAUGGCGAGCCGGUUGAUGAUCUCGCCCUAAUGAAGAGAGUGUAUACAAACAAGAAGACCGGCCAGAUUGAUGAUGUUCUUGUGAGGGAAGUGGUCACCCUGGUCCAAACUCAGGUGCAAAACGAAGUGUCUCAGCUUCAAACCGAGGAUGAUGAUUCGACGGCUUCGACCAACUUGUCCCGGUUUAGAAUCAACGAAAUCGUUGAAUCGGUAAGUUCUUUUUUUUAAGUUCAAUUCAUUUAUUUCUUGAUUUUUAUUUUAUCAUCUUUUUAUAUUAUUUAAAUUUGGCUAUUUUCUAUUUCAGUCGGUUCCAAAGAAGAAAGGACGUUUGGUCGGUUUGGGUCGUCGCCCCCGGUCGGUUCCUCCUUCUUCUGCACCACCGCCCUUUGUUGAUCCAGAAGUACUUACGGCUCAGUUGAAGGACAAGGAUGAUCGCAUAUCUUUGUUGGAGGCCCAGAUGGCGGCUCAACAGGCGGGCUAUGAGGCAUAGAAGAGGCUGAACCAGCAAAUGAUGGAGAUGAUGCAGAGGAUGUACCCGAACGAGGUGUUCCCGAACGUGCAAGACCCGUAGUUUUUUUUUUCAAAAACUCGGAAUGUUUUAUUUUUAUUUGUACAACUUUGAAUAUUAUCUAAUAUGUUUUCAAUUUUAAUUUUAAUUUUAUAUUUUCGAAUUUAAAUUUCAAAAAAAAAAAAAAAAAUUAAAUUUUUUUUUUUUGAAAUUCCGAGGAAAUAAACCCUCGGAAAUUUCCGACGAACAUUUCUUCGGAAUAAGUCGUCGGAAUAUACCGAGGGACUCCUUCCUCGGAAUUUUCCAAGGGCUCCGUUUCUCGGAAAUUUCCGAUGAAAAUUCUGAGGAUUGGACCAUCGGAAAGUCCAUCGAAAUAUACCGAGGGACUCCUUCCUCAGAAUUUUCCGAGGGCUCCGUUCCUCGGAAAUUCCCGAUGAAAAUUCUGAGGAACAUUUCAUCGGAACUUCCGAGGAUUGGACCAUCGGAAAGUCCAUCGAAAUAUCCCGAGGAAGUUCUCCCUCGGUAUAUUCCGAGGACCUUUCCGACGAACUGGUGGUCCUCGGAGUUUCCUCGGAAAUUCAUUUCCUCGGAAUUCCGUCGGAAAUUUCCGAGGGAUUUCCGAGGAAAAAUGAAUUUCCGAGGAGUUAUUUCCGAGGACUUGUUUCGUCGGUAUGUCGGCGGAAUAACGUUAUUCGGACGACAUACCGACGAUUUUUUCCCUCGGUAUGUCGCUGUUUUCUUGUAGUGUUGUCACCCUUGUAACCCAAUUAAUCGGUCUAAUAAAACGUCUUUGGUCAUCCCAUUUCGAGUUCUUUCAACCUAGUCGACUGAAUCCCGUACCAACACUAAGUAUUAUUCGUAUCAUAUGUACAACGAUGAUAUUUUAAAAGUACAUGUAAAUAAAAUAAUUUUUUUUUUUAACGAAAAGAGAAUACCAUGAUAUCUGUGGUCCAGAUCCCAAACCUUAGUUAGACAGUAUAAAUUAACGUUGCAAAGUCUAAAGAAUAGUUCAUCACAAUUUUGAGCUCUUUAAUAUAAUCAUUAGAAAAAGCAAAAAUUUAUAAUGAAAACACAGUCACAGCCUCUUGAAGCCCGUCGCUCUGCAAACUAUCGACCGUCUCUUUGGGAGCACGAGAAUCUCCUCUUGCUCGGGAACAAAUAUGCGGUAUAUGUAUGAAAAUCUGUAUAUACAACGUGUCAUAUAAAACUAUAUGAUAUAUUAGUAUUCAGGAAGUUACUGUAUAGUGAUAAUAUUUUAUACUAUGCAGAAAGAGGACAAAAUCGAGAGAGCUAAGUUAUUAAAGCAAGAAGUUAGUAGAAUGCUUGAUGAAACAGAGGGUUUACUUGAACAGCUAGAGCUCGUUGACAAUUUACAAAGACUCGGAAUUUCUUACCAUUUCGAACGUGAAAUCAAGAAGAUUCUAACGAAUGUUCACGUAAGACAUGNNNNNNNNNNNNNNNNNNNNNNNNNNNNNNNNNNNNNNNNNNNNNNNNNNNNNNNNNNNNNNNNNNNNNNNNUCGGAAGAGAUCUGAAGACUUAUAUGCGACUGCCCUUAAGUUCCGACUCCUAAGGCAACAUGGUUUUAAUAUCGCACAAGGUUGAAAGCAAAAAUAAAUAUACACAUUGCUUAAAAAAUACAAACGAAUAUUGACAUAUAAUCUAUUUUUAGAGUUCAUUUAUAAUUUAUAAUUUAGAAAAUGAAUGUUGAUUUGAAAAUUCUAACUAUAUAUUUCUGAUUCUGGACUUGCACGAAAAAAAAAAUUAUUUGGAAUAUAUCAGUCAUAUUGUUUUAUUUUAUUAUAUAUAUAUAUAUAUAUAAUCAAAUAAAAUUGUGGUUUACUAUCACUGCAGAUGUUUUUGGCUGCUUUUUUGGAGAUGGCUUGGAUGAUGAAGACAUCAAGAGUGUUCUUUCACUGUACGAAGCUUCAUAUCUCUCGACCAGAUUCGAUACUAAACUGAAAAAAACCAUAUACUAUACAACAACACGACUUAAAAAGUUCGUGGAAAUGAAGAACAAUGAGAGCACAUCUUAUGUUCGAAAGAUGGUGAUACGUGCGCUAGAAAUGCCAUACCAUCGGAGGGUGCGAAGACUAGAAGCAAGAUGGUACAUAGACGUGUAUGGCGAGACACACGACACGAACCCUAACUUACUAGAAUUGGCGAAACUUGAUUUCAAUUUCGUACAAGUUAUCCAUCAAGACGAGCUCAAAUCUCUCUCUAGGUAAUCUAACUUAAACCAUACAUGAUUCGUCUUGAAACUCGUUUUUCGUUUAUGUUAAUGUUGGAAUUACUAGUUUUAUGUAUAAGUUUAAAAAAACGAACACUGAGAUUUAACGAAUAUACUCCAUCCAUUUCAUAUUAAGUAUCGUUGUAAAUAAUUUUUUCGUUACAAAAUAUGUGUCGUUUCCGACUUUCAAAGCAAAAUUUAUUAAUUUUAUUCAGCAAUUUAUUUUUUUAUUGGUUGAAAUAUGGUUAGGUGUAUAGGUAAUUGUGUUUUUAUUUUGAAAUAUACAAAAUUAAUUGUUUUCUUAAUCUGUGUGCACAAACUCAAAACGACAUUUAAAAUGAAACCCCAAGGAAUAGGUUCUCUGGUUUUGAGUUAUAGAUUCAUGAUUAUUCUCUAGUUAUAAGACUUUAGAAAACAUAAAUGGAUUUAUAUAUAACCGAUCCAAGAAGGUAGGAGUCAGUCAAUCUAAGAGCAUCCACAAUGGGAGCUCUUAAGGAAAUCUUUAGAGGGUGUGGAGUCCACUUUCUUAGAGUUUGUGCAAAAAAGAAUCCUUAAAAUCCUUUGAUAAGGAUUGAUCCUUACACUGUUCACGGGUCCCAUUGACUACGUGGCGGCCCGUGAAUGGUCAUCUUUUUUUUUUUUUUUAAAUCAAAAAAAUCCAAGAUUAAUCCAAAAUGCCCUUGUGCUAAGGACUCCAAUGAGUCUCACUAUUGCGGAUGGUCUAAAAAGACUGAAAAAUACUUCCUCUGUUCCAUAAAAAAUGUUAUUUUAGUUUUUUUUUUUAUUUUGUCUUUAAAAAAUGUUAUUCUACAUUUCUAAUGUAAUUUUUCACAUUAAACACUUUCUUUCCCUUUUAUAUGACCAAUAGAUAUUUUGUUAAAUUAUUUUUAUUUAAAUAGUUAUAUAAUAAAUAAUGAUAGAUUAGUAUAUUUUGUUAGUUUCUUAAUCUGCGUAAAAUAUGUCUAAAUAACAUUUAUUAUGAAAGGAGUAUACAUAGUCAUCUCAAGAAACAUAUUAAGAAUUUCAUAUUAAAAAUGAACAUAACCAGACAUAAAUGACACAUAACUAUUUAUUUUGUCUUUAAAAAAUGUUAUUCUACAUUUCUAAUGUAAUUUUUCACAUUAAACACUUUCUUUCCCUUUUAUAUGACCAAUAGAUAUUUUGUUAAAUUAUUUUUAUUUAAAUAGUUAUAUAAUAAAUAAUGAUAGAUUAGUAUAUUUUGUUAGUUUCUUAAUCUGCGUAAAAUAUGUCUAAAUAACAUUUAUUAUGAAAGGAGUAUACAUAGUCAUCUCAAGAAACAUAUUAAGAAUUUCAUAUUAAAAAUGAACAUAACCAGACAUAAAUGACACAUAACUAUUUAUUCAUUGUUAAUUUGUUUUCAGUUGAAAAUUCAUGACUUGUCACGGUAUAUAUGUUAAGAUUUUUGUAGAGAUUAAAUAUGUUAAGAUUUUUGUAGAGAUUAAAUGCAAUUUAUAUAUACUUUUACUAUUAGAAAUCAUAGAAAAGUAAAUGGUUGCAUUUCUAAAAAUGUACAUAAUAGGUUACUAUGUAGACGCAUACAACAGCCAUUUUAAACAUUCAAAAACAUUAUUUUCUUGUUUCAUCGAUUAUCUGUAUGAAGCAGCUGGUGGAGCAAGACGGGAUUAACAAAAAUCCUUGAUUUCGUAAGAGAUCGAAUAACGGAGAGUUAUUUCUCGAGUGUUGGAGUAAUCUGUGAGCCUGAGUUUGCACAUCAUCGACAAAUGCUUACAAAAGUAUUCAUGCUUAUUACCACUAUCGACGAUAUAUACGAUAUAUAUGGGACACUGGAGGAGCUCCAACUAUUCACAGCCAUUGUUGAAAAGUAUUCAAAAAUAUUUUACUACACAUCUACUAUUUAUAAGCCAGAUUCAUUUCGUGGUUAUUAAUUUUUUUGUUUAUUUCUUUCUUUUAACCUGAUAUCUUUUUUUUUGUCAUUUAAUAUAUUCAUUAUGCAGAUGGGAUGUGAAUCGUCUCGAAGAACUUCCCAAGUACAUGAAGUUGUGUUUUCUAUGUCUCAUCAACGAAAUCAAUCAGAUUGGAUAUAUAAUUCUAAGAGACAAAGAAUUUAAUGCGAUUCCUUACCUGAAAAAAUCCGUACGUAUUCUCGCUGUGUAGAUGUCAUUACUUAAUUCAACUGAAUGUGCAUGCAAAUGUACCUAUGAUUAGCAUUCAAAAUGUCAACUACACAAUUAAGUAAAUAUUUUUCCCCAAUGGAUUUUAAGAAAACAAAUGAAUACUAGAUUAAUUUUUUCUUUGCUCUAUGUGAUAAAAUGUUUUUUUUUCUAAUAUGGAUAUUAAUACAUUUUCUCCAAAAUCACUUUUAUAAUUCAAUUUUGUUUUCUCUACUUAGUGGGCAGAUAUGUGUACAACUUUUUUAAAAGAGGCAAAGUGGUACAAAAGAGGUUACAAACCUAAACUCGAAGAGUACAUGGAAAAUGGUUGGCUCUCAAGUUCUGUCCCUACAAUACUUCUCCACUUGUUAUGUCUAUUCCCCGACCAAAACCUAGACAUUCUUGUCUCCUACCACCACCAUGUUAUUCGAAACUCUGCCACAAUCCUCCGUCUCGCUAACGAUCUCGCCACUUCUUCGGUUAGUCAUGGUUUCACAACUUGAUAGUAUUAUUAGUACAUAUUACAAAAUUUACAUGUGUUAACAGAUAGUAAAAGGGUCUUAAACAACAAUUGCAAACUAAUGACUUAUUAAAGAAACCAAACAAAUUUAUAAGAAAAAAUAAUAAAAUAAAUGACAACUUCUACAAGAAAUUUACAUUAAUUUUUUCUUCAAAUAUAUACUUGAAUGUCCUUAAAUAGUUGUGAUCCCAAACAAAUCGUAAUAUGUAAAAUAACGUACUCCCUCUGUUCCACAAAUAUAAACUUUUUAGUAAUUUCACAUAUACUAAGAAAACACAUUAAACUACCAUAAUAAAUGUAUCGUUUUCUGUAAUUUUUAAUUUUUAAUAACUUUUAACCAAUAAUAAUUCAAUAAAAUCAAUUAAUUUUCUUGAAGUUUACAAUUUUUUCAUAGAAAACACAAAAAUAAAUCUUUCUGAAACAAUUUUUUUUCUAAAAAGUUUAUCAUUAAGGAACAGAAGAAGUAUAAAAUAACUAUAAUUAAUAUAUAUGUACAUUUACACACAUAUAUAUAUAUAUGAUUUGUGAUUUGACUAUUUCACACAUAUUUCACAUAUAUUAUUGGUUUUCCAGUAAAAUAUAAACACCACUUUCUACUUUUAUACAUAAGACACAGCUUUGUUAUUUGUGUACAAAUAUUUGUCACUAACUCGUAACUUCAUUAUUAAAAUAUAAAACAUCAAUCUUUAAAAAAAAAUCUAAAACACUAAUCUCUUAAAUACAGAUAGAUUAUAAGAUAAACAUCUUUAUUAAAUAUUGGAAAACAUAGAUUAUUAAUUUGUAUUUUCCGUCUUUAUUCUUGCACUGGAAAAUAUAUUUUGACCCUCCCACAAUUAACUAGUCUUUUUAAAUGGACUAACAAAUUAUCGGGGCUCAGUGGCUCACACGUUCAAGACGGUCUAUGAAUAUAUAGCGGUUUUAUGCACAACAUAUGAUAUGUAUUUAUGUAUUAUUUCUUUUGGUAAAUAUGUGAGAAAGUAACAGAAGGAAUUGGCAAGAGGCGACAAUGUUAAGUCCGUACAAUGUCACAUGCAUGAAACUGGAUCUCCAGAGGCAGAGUCACGUGCGUACAUUCGAGAAAUGAUCGGUGUGGCUUGGGAAGACUUGAACUUGGAAAGGAAGAGUUGUUGGCUACAUCAAGGUUUCGUAGAAGCGGCAGCUAACCUCGGACGCGUGGCUCAGUGCAUUUAUCAGUACGGUGAUGGCUAUGGCAGUCCCGAAAAGGCUAAGACCGUCGAUCAUGUCCGGUCCUUGCUCGUCUACCCUGUUCCAUAAUUAAACCAGACAAAUAAUAUUGGUUUAUUUCCCUCCUCAUAAUAUUGGUGAGAGUGCAGACAUAUAUAGUUCCCUCCUCAAGUUGUGAAUUAUGUAGUUAAAAAAAAAAUUAAGAGCUUGUAAAAUACAAUAAUCACCUCAACCAUUGUUGUAUUUUCUAUCUUCUGUUCUUUCUGCUUCCAAUUGACUACUAUAUAUCUUUAAAAAAAUUAUUGAUAUCCACACAAUAUGAAUCAUAUUGAAUGUUAUGACCAAUAUAGUGGUGAUGUACCUCAUGAGUUUGGAUGCGUCUUAUAUGAUCCUGCAUAAUCACAUCAAAUUCAGCAAUCAUCUCAAUCAUUGGUAAAGUUUCUCAUUUGAUCCUCGAAAUGCUAAAUUUUUUUUGAAAGACAUUUCACAACAACAAUUAUCUUAUUAUAUAAAGCUUGGUUCUUCAAAGUUGCUAAUUAACAUGAUUGCGACAUGUGUCAAUUAAUUUAUUAAGAUUGUGACAUGUGUCAAAAAUAUGUUACAAUUCUCUUUUAUUAGGAUUUAAAAAGAUUUAGAAAAAGAAAACUAUUAUUACAUUUUUUUGGACACUAGAAAAGGAAAAUUAUUACAAAAAUAUAGUUUAUUAUUCUUUUUAGGAGUUAAGAAAAUGAAAAUUACUAUUACAUAGCCUUUUACAAUUAUAUUUGUAUGGCUCUUUUUAUAAUAUUUUAAAAAUAUUUGAUAGUAAAUUUAAUUUUUGAAAAUUCUAUAAACAAAGAAUAAUUGUAAAAAGCUAUUUGAAAGUAUUUUUUCUUUUUAAAAUAUUUUGUAUAUUUUCAUCUUUAAAGAUACUAAAGAAAUAUAUUAUAAGAUAAAAUAUUUUAAAAAAAUUUUAAAUAAAAACGAAUUAUAAAAACCUACAAGUACAAGAAAAUAUUUUAUAAAAAUCAAAUAGAAAAACUAACUAUAAAAUAAGUGAUAUUCCUUUUUUUUAAAACCUAAGUAAAAAAAAUGUAAAAGUACUCUUAUUAUUUUCAUAUAAAUAACUAACUUUCCUUUUUAACCGAUAAAUAUAUGUUACAAAAAUAUAAACCAAAAUAAAUAUUAUUUUCACAUCUAUAUUUAGGUUUAAAGUUCCUCAUAUUAUUUUCACAAAAAAUAGUAUUGACAAUAAAAAUAUUAUCUGAGUAUUUUCUUUUAAUUUCUCUGAACAACUCAACUUUUUUAUCAUCUUUUUUACAUCUUAUGACGCUAACACAAGUUUUUUUUAUUAUUAUGUUUUUAUCUUACAUAAGUAUGUGUAAAUAUGAGAAAUAUAUGUUUGUAUGUAUAAGACAUAAUAUAAUUAACUAAAAAUAAUUUUUUUAUUGAAAAUAUACUAGUUGUAUAAAAUUCUUGAAAAACAAGAACAAAUUAUAGUUGGAAUUUUCCUUUUUAAAAAAAUUUAAAGUAACUUAUUUCUUAUAAAUAACUAACUUUUCUUUUUAAUAGAUAAUUUUGUGUUAAAAAAUUAUAAACCAAAAAUAACUUCAAAUAUUUUACCCGAUGUGAUUGUGACAUUUGUACCCAAAAAAAACAUUGUGUAUGUAUUAAUAAAAUUCUAUCAUUAUGUGAAAAUAAUUUUUUUUCCUAAAAUCCUAAAUUAAAGAAAUUUGAAAAAUAUUUUUUUCCUCUUUUAAUAUUAACCAAAUAAGUUUUUUUCCUUUUAAAUCCUGACCAAAUAGAAUUGUAAAAGUAAUAUUUACUUUUUAAAUUUAAUGAUAAAUAUGAUACUGAAAUAUCUAAUUAAAAAUAUUAGUGAUAUUUAGAAAACGAAUUUUGAAAAUAAUAUGAUACUGAAAAUAUUUAAUUUAAAAUAUUAGUGAUAUUGAGAAAACGAAUUUUGAAAAUAGCAACUUUUAAAAAUAGUUAAUAUUUGCUGGAAAUAAUUAUUUGAUAGUAUUUUUAUUUUCUAAAUCCUAGAAAAAAUAAUAUAAAAGAUUAUGUAGUUUUAAUUUUCUUUUCUAACACCCUAAAACUGUAAAAAAUAUAUUUGAUAGUUCCUUUCCUUUAAAAAGAAAAUUCUAAACAAAAGAGAUUUGUAUCAUAUUUUUUAAUUCCUAACCAUAAGAGAAUUGUAAGAAGUUAUUUGAUAGUAUAGAAAAUUUGAUGAUGAACAUGAUACUAAAAAUUAUUUAAUUAAAAAUGAAGUGUAAAAAUAGUAUUGAUAUGAACCGUAAAAAUCAUAAUUUAAAAUUAUUUAAUAAUAACAAGAAAUAGUUAUUUGAUAUCAAUAAGAUUUUUCUGAAAUUCAAAACAUAAGAUAAUUGUAAAAGUUUAUAUGAUAAUACUUUUCUUUUUCUAUAAUCCUAAACAAAAAUAAAAAAAAAGUAUUUGAUAGUUUUUCUUUUUUUUUAUUUUAAAUAAAAACAAGAUUUAGAAAAUAUUUUUUUUCCUUUUUAAAAAAUCCUAACAAAAGUAAACAUACCUACUUAAUAGUAUUUAAAAAAAAAAGAUUUUGAUAACGAGUAUGAUGUUAAAGCUAUUAAAUUUUAAAAAAAAAAUCAAAACUUACGAUGUUAUCGUGAUUGGUAUUUAUGUGUUUGGUUAUACGAAAAUCAAACACAUGUUUGAAAUGCAUUAGUUUAUAAUUCAUUUAAAUUUAAAUGUUAGUAUGAAAAUAUAUCAUUAAUAAAUAAUGAAUCAAGAAAAUUAUUUAACAUCAGAUAAGUUUAAUGAAACAUUAAAUUAGUAGAUAAGAAAAUGUAUAAUGUUGUCAUUGCUUCUUGGCCUUAUUUAAAUUCUAAAUUCCUUUUUAUUUCAUUAUAAUUAUUAUUUUGGGUUGGAUCCGGUUUAAAUUUUUACGUUUGGAUGUUUUUUCUAACUCUAACAAAUAUUAACUGAAACUUAUGUGUGUAAACGAGUUCUUAACUAUAAAAUAAAUUUCACAUAACAUAUGAAAAAACAAUUUAAAAAAUAAAAUAAAAUAAUUUUUUAAUAUUUUUUAUUAAAUUAAAAUAUCAAAUAAAGUCCGUCGCAACGCACGGGUCCAAAUCUAGUUCUAUAUAAAACUUGUCUCCAAAGUUCUUUUUCUUUUGCAAUCUCUUGUUGAAAUUCUUUAUCGAUUGUCAAAUUACUUUGCAAUCUAACUUUGAAUUCAUUCCAAGUUCUCAUAUUAGCCAUAUGCUCCUCACUUUUUUCAUGACCUUUUAGUCUAUCACCAAUACGUUUCCAAUCUCUUAAUCCUUCAUUUGCUAAUAAAUUUAUGUUUCCAUGAGAUUUAAAAAAAUUACAAUAGAAACAAUAAACUUUAUCAACAUGCUUUGAGUAAAUUAACCAUUUUCUAUCAACGGUCUCCCCAUUACACAACUUUCUAAAAUAAUGCCUAUAUGCAAAAUGUCUUUUUGUUUUUUCAUCAAUAGGAAAUUCGAGAUUCAUAUCUUUUUUUGGUUCUUUUUCAAUCAACAAAUCUCUUGUUUUACUAUCAAGAUUAUUACAAUUUCUAGGAUCAUAGAUAUCAAAAGGAAGAAUUGGUGGUUCAUUAGUGUCAAUAUUUUCAAUAGACGGAUUUGAUUCGUUUUCAUGAGAUUCAACAUUAGUUUCUGCUCUAGAACUCUCACCAUUUGUGUUUUUUUUUCUUAAUAAACUUAUCUAAAGCUCCUCUAUGAGAUACUAUAAAUUGUUCAUCACGUUUUCUUUUUUUUUUCUCUGAUCAUUUCCACACACCAUCUCUUUUUAAAAUAAAAGAACAAAGUCACCUGGAUUUGAUGUGCCCAGACACUUAACGAGACCCACCAAAGAAAAUGUUAGAACUGCAUAAAAAAUUGGGUUUAGAAAUAGUAAUAAAAUAAAAAACAGAAACAAUAAACUAAGACACAAAUAUAAUUGAUUAAACAUACCUCUAUGAAAAGGGAUUCCACUAACAGAUCGAUGAAUAGAAUAUGAUUUUUGGUUUGUCAUUUGUGUUGUUAACGCCUAACGCUCACCGCUUCGUUUCUAGAGCUUUUUUUUCUUUUGUCAACGGGAAAAUUGUGAAGGCGAGAGUACAAACUUUUGUUGUUUUAUAAAUGAGGUUUACUUAAUUUAUGGGCCUUUAUGAUAAUUAACAGAUUAAAAUGCCCGGUAUCCAAGACUACAAUUAACAAAUGAGAUUGAUAAUUCAAUCUCGAAGUGUGUUAUUGUGUUUUGAUGAGCGGAUUUGGGACCCGGGCAUAUUAUAUUCAUGGAGGUUUGACGCAUCAAUGGAAGAGCAAAUAAUGUUUGGCAUCAAUAAUAUUACAAGACCGUGUAAUCUCAUCAAAAAUAUGAUGGCCAGAAACAACGAUUUCAUUAUUUUGGGGUUGAUUCUGAAGAAGGAAAGAAAUCGGUUUACAAUCGGUUGGCGAGUAAGGCUUCGGUAUCCAAAGCAUCGUAGAAAUUCACUUCUUCAUCGUUUCUAUUUAAUGUUUGGCUUUGUAACUAAAAACUUGUGUUUAAGUCUGUUUAUUUUUGAUGUAAGAUCGAUGUAUGAACGACUCUUGUAUGUGACUUUAAUCAAUGAAUGAAUCAGUUGUCGUUAAAAAAAAGAAGCUGAAAAUGAUGAGGAAGAUAUUUUAUCUUUUCUACUAAAAAAAUAUUUUAUCUGAAAACCAAUUAAAGAUUCCUGAAAUAUCACUACAACAGGCAACUACAAUUCCAUUCUUUUACUCUACUACCCACUAGGCCUGGGACGGAUCCGAAUAUCCGGGAAAUUCAGCGUACCCAGAUCCGUGAAUUUAAUAUCCGAAUUCGGAUUCGUGAUUUCCGGAUAUCCGGAUUUCAGAUAUCCGUUCCAAUAUUCUAUUACCCGCAGAUAUCCGGAUCUGGAUCCGGAUCCGUAAAAAUAAUUAAAAAUAAUAUUUUUUUUAAAAAAAUACUAAUUUUUUAAUAUAAUACAUAAAUUAAAUAUUUAUAAAUAUAUUUAUAUAUGCCUAUAAUAUUGUAAAAACUAAAAUAUAAUAUUAUAAGAUUAAUUCAUGUAUAAAUAUCUCUGUUCUAAAACACGCCGCCGAAAGCCGUAAAAUCGCCGGAAAAACGCUAUUCGGCCAUCAACCAUGGCGAGUUUGAGAAAAUCGGUGAAAAAAUCGGAUUUCUACGAAAACCUCAAGUUUUGGCUCGUUUUGCUCAAAGAAUUGACUAAUAUACAUGGGAUUUAUUUAAACACCUUUUCCCAAGCUCGAACCCGGAUUCUUAUCCGGAUAAGACUAGUUUUAACCACCACACUACACAAUCUUUCUUGUACUUCAUCACAAACGUAUCAUAUUUAAUCAAAACAAAUCGCCGAUUAAUCCCCGCAUAAUCUCCGAUUUUUUCAUUCGGUGCUAGGCGUUAACCAAGCGUACGCAUAACGCCUAGCGAGUUUCCGAACAAGGAUAAAUAUUAAUAUAUCAAAUAUAAAUAUUAAUGAAAUUUAAAAAUUUAAUGUGUUUUAAAAAUAUGGAUCUGGAUCCAGAUAUCUGGACCUAAAAAUUAAGAUAUCCAGAUUCGGAUUCGGUUUGGACGGAUCAAAGAUUUUAUUAUCCGGAUUCGGAUCCGAGCACUCCAGAUAAGGCUUACUACACACACAAGCGCGCACAAAUCCUCCUUACAUAUCGCUGUCUACAUUAUAUUUUUUUUUGUCAUCAAAUACAGACUCAUACUGACUCUGUGAACCACUACGGUAGAUUUUGAUCAAUGUGAACGACAAACGACGGUUGUUUCCUGGCACUGCGUGCUAGGCUAUCCGCUCUUGAAUUUUGCGUCCUUGGUACAUAGAUAAUCUCCGAACGUGUGAAAACCUCUUUCAGGGACUUAAUAUCUUCCAAAUAACUUGCAAAUGCGGGCCAUUCUUCUGGUUCCGAAACCAUCUUCACCAACUGAGAACAAUCCGUUGCAAAUGUAACCUGAAACUGACGUAAUUUUUUCAUACAUUCCAUUGCCCAAAGUAGUGCUUCUAUCUCCGCAUGUAGAGGGGAUAGACAAGCUCGGACAUUCCUUGCUCCUAACAACCCAUUAAAGCCUUCUAAAGUACUUAGCCAACCUUGCCCAGAGAAAACUUCAUUCUCCUUCCAAGAACAAUCUGUAAAACACCAUCUCCGCGAAAUUGAUGGGAGAGUCGUAACCUCAGCAUGGGACCCUAUCCUGGUCUCGGUCAAUACAUGUGCAUCAGCCCAAAGUGUUGACUAUGUUUCUGCCAAUUUGAGCGUGUCUCUUGGAUCCAUGUCCAUAUUACUGAACACUUUAUUGUUCCUUCCUUUCCAAAUAUACCAAAGUAUCCAUUCAAAUUGAUGGUCCUCCAUUGGUGGAGAGACUCUCCAGAAGAGAUGAUCCAUAUUUGUAAAAAGGGAGCUCGUUGGGAACAUAGUUGGAUUUGAAGGUAUCUUGGAGAGAGCCCAAACCUGAAGUGUAGGAGGACAUUCAAAAAACACAUGAUUGAUCGAUUUCUCUUCCGCUCCGCAACGUGCACAUCAGGUGUCACCUUGUAUUCCUCUCGCUUUCAGAUUCUUCUUGACUGCUAUACAACCUGUAACCAAUUGCAAUAGGAAAUGUUUUAACUUUGGGGGGCACCGUAUUUUCCAGCAAAAAGCCUUCAAAACAUCAACCGUGGGUCCAAACAUUAAAGGUGGUAUUUCCCUAUCUGGAUAAACCCGUUCGAUCUGAUAUCCUGAUUUAACCGUAUACUUCCCAUUGUUUGUGAAAUGCCAUCCAUCCUUGUCCACCAUCUGGGUUUUACUCAGUGGUAUACUUUCUAUAAUUUUUACAUCCUGGGGAUCCAUCAUAGCCCUGAGUGCAUGCGAAUUCCAUGUCCGCAAAGUAGAGUCAAUAAGAGAAUCCACUGUGAGGUUUGGAUCGAAAAUAUGUUGAUUUUUAUUUGCUGGUCUCGGGCUAGUGCUUGGGAGCCAUGGAUCGUUCCAUACAGAUAUAGAUGAUCCUGAUCCCACCCUUUUGAUUAGUCCUUUGCUUACCAGAGAUCUAGCAGAAACUAUACUCCGCCAACCAUAUGACGGAGAAUAAGAGAGAAUCGGUUCCAGGGGUGAUGCAUUCCUGUAAUACCGUCCCUUAAAAACCCGGGAAAAUAAUGUAUUUGGCUUCUCGAUCAAGCGCCACAAUUGUUUACCAAGCAUUGUUGUAUUAAAAUCUGUAAUAUCCUUAAAACCUAAACCCCCAGCUUCCUUAUCAAGACACACUUUAUCCCAUGAUUUCCAGUGCAUACCUCUUGUCCUUCCCCCUGGGCUCCACCAGAAUUGUGCGACCGCGGUCGUCAGUUUUUUAGUUGUUGCCUUAGGUAGACGGUAAACAGACAUCACAUGGUUUGGUAAUGCCGUUACCACAUAUUUAAUAAUCACCUCUUUUCCUCCCUUUGUGAAGAACUUAAAAGUCCAACCAUUAACCCUAUUAUUUAGCCGGUCCUGCACAAAGCUAAAAACCUGUAUCUUGGAUCCUUCCAAAUUUUCUGGAAGACCUAGAUAAGAUCCCAUACCUCCAAGAUUCUGAAUUCCCAAUAUAUCUCUUAAGUCUUGUCUAGUUGAUUCCUCAAUAUUGUGCCCGAAUUGGAUAGAGGACUUAUCAAAGUUUAUAAGCUGACCUGAUACAACCUCAUAUUCCUUUAAGAUCCUAAGGAUAGUAUGACAUUCCUCUUUCAGAGCUUUACAGAAAAAAGACUAUCAUCCGCAAAAAGCAGAUGAGAUAUCGAUGGACAUGCUCUAGCUACCUUCAUUCCCGUCAAAAGUUUCCCUCUUUCCGCCUUUUUAAUAUUUGCAAUUAGAGCCUCAGUACACAGGAUAAAUAAAUAAGGUGAUAAAGGAUCCCCUUGUCGUAAACCCCUAUGUGGAAUGAUAAGGCCCCGUGGAUGUCCAUUAAGUAGGACCCGAUAUUGAACCGAUGAUAUACACUCCAUCAUUAAUGUAAUCCAAUGAAAAUCAAAACCCAUCUUCUGUAGGAGAGCCUUUAUAAAAUCUCAUUCCACUCUAUCAUAAGCUUUACUCAUGUCUGUUUUAAUUGCCAUAUAUUUUCCUUUGCACGCCUUAUUCGUCCGUAAUCCAUGAAACAUUUCCUGAGCAAUAAGAAUAUUAUCAGAGAUUAACCUUCCUGGCACAAAAGCUGACUGAGUUUCUGAAAUAAGAGAAGGUAGACAUAUCUUCAAUCUCUGACACAGAACCUUCGAAAUAAUUUUAUACCCAACAUUACACAGACUAAUAGGCCUCAGCUCUGUCAUCCUUGUAGGCCUCUCCGUUUUUGGAAUCAUACAAAUAUUAGUAAUAUUUAACCUCGGAUCCAAUGUUCCAGUAACCAAAAAAUUAUUCACCAUGUCCACCAAGUCCUUCUUAAUAAUAUGCCAGGAGUGUUGAAAGAAAAGAGUUGUCAUACCAUCCGGUCCUGGUGCCUUCUCUGGAUGCAUCAUAAAAAUGGCUUCUCUGACCUCAUCCUCUGAUGCUAUUCUUAACAGACGUUGGUUCAUCUGAGGAGUAAUACCCGGUGAUACCUUUGUGAGAAAGUCAUCAAACUCCGUUGGAGAAGUGGUAGUGAAAAUCUCUUCGAAAUAGUCCACUGCCACUUUUUCCACACCCAUAUCUUCCGUUAUCCAAUUUCCCAAAGCAUCAUAUAAACCCACAAUCCGAUUACGUACCCGUCGUUGCUUAGUCAAAGCAUGAUAGAAUUUUGUAUUGAGAUCCCCUGAUGUGUACCACGUAUUCCUACUCUUUUGGUGCCAAUACUCCUCUUCAUCUUUAUAUGCAUCUUGCAACUUCUUUGAGACCUCGAUAAUAUCCUCCUGAGAUCUAGAAUUAUCUGUUUGUACCUCUUCAAGAGCUUUUUGUAACUCAUUAAUUUUGUCCUUCCCAUAAGAAGGAUUAUUUUUCCGCCAUUUAGCAAUUUCAUGUCGAUAAUUACUAAUUUUUUCCACUAUCCCAGUUUCCCUUGUUGCACUAUAAUCUGACCAGCCCAUUGUAAUUGAUUCCAAAAGACCUUCUUCGUCCAAUCCAUCUUUUAUCAAACCGAAAUUGCCCUUUUCUCCUAGUGACUUUAUCAUCCAGAUAAGCCACAACUGGGUGAUGAUCAGAAGCCACCAUCCCUAAGUAUUCUGUAUAAGAACAUGGAAACAAAGUAUGCCACUCCUCAUUUGCUAAAGCUCGAUCUAGACGACAUCUUACCGUAACUGCCCCUUUUCCUUUUCCCCUUCUCCCUUGCCAUGACAUUUUAUUUCCCCGUGCCGGAAAUUCCAAUAACCCAGUAUUCCUUAUCAUAUUAUUAAAAGGAGUAAAAGAAUCCGCACUCCGCAGUGAUCCUCCAUCCUUUUCAUGAUUUCCAGUAAUCUCAUUUAAAUCCCCAGUGAUGAACCAGGGUUCUGAACGCGCAAGACCAUAUCUCGUCAAACGUUCCCACACUUGUUCUCUUAAUUUUAAAACAGGAUCACCAUACACAAACGUAAGAUAAACCGUCUUUCCGUUGGUCACCGCUUCCACAUCGAUCAUUCUAUUACUAGAAUAUAAGACUUGGACCUGAGAAUCAUUGUUGUAAAAAAGCGGUAAACCACCACUCCUUCCCAUUGGAUCAACCGUGAACAAAUUACCAAAUCCAAUAUGUGCUUGGAAAUCUUGAACAAAUUUUGAGUCUUGUUUUGUUUCAGAUAAAAAUAAAAAAUCCGGUUUAUGUUUAUACCAUAUCUCUCUUAGAUAGCUCAUAGUCCACUUGCUUCCCAUGCCUCUACAAUUCCAACUAAGCACUCUCAUUUAAAAAUAUAAAUAAAAACUCCCGAGAGUUUAGCGAAAUUAGGUUUGAUGAUACCCUGAAAUCCCAACCAAGAAGCAAUAAGCCACCGAACUCCCAAAUUAACCGUCAUAGUAAACAGCUUCAAUAUGAAAAAAAUAGACCCUUGCUCCAUUCCAAGUAUAUACAUUAUGUCCAGCUCAACCUCACCCUUUAAAUUGGGUCCAAUAAAAACCAUAAUAGAGAAACCAAACAUAUAAACUAUAAUAAAGAAACCAAACAGAUAAAUCAUACGCUUCACGUACGACAUAUAUAAGUCUGUGGAAGCUCCUGAACCAAUAACAAUGACUGAACCGUAUGUUCCCAAAACCAGCACUUUGAGCCUCUCUAAAGAAACUCUCUGCAACUGGUUUAAAGAGACCAGCCACAGGCCUCGAGUCCGUGCAGUGAAAGCGUUCUGCUCUGUCCCGAGCCACAUCCCAAAACCACCAAACCACAUAUGUACCAACUCCUUUAUUUCCCUCCCAUGAACAUCAAAUUGCAUAAGUAAAAAUUAUGAUCCCUUCGUUGCAACGAUUUGAAACAAAUCCAAACACCAAAGUCAACAAAUUUAUUCCAUGCAUUCCAACCCCCAAGCAAACUACAAACUAGUAAGCACCUUUUUAAAACCCAAACAUACCAUAUUUGGCUCCCAUAAAGUCCAAAACAUCCAAGUAAAACUGCAUUAGUAAACAUUACCCAAAAGAUUAAAAAUAUGAAAACAAAAUGUACGGAACCACUAAGACACAUAAUCCUUUUAACCCAAUCAUGAGAUAAGAAAAAAUCCUCCUCAUUAGCACCCUGAGACCAUCGCAUUAACCCCAUGUCAUUCAAAGCAGACCCCACACCCAUUACAGUGACCAUUGUCACUUGGCCGAACUGGCUCCUCUCCAUAUUCUUGUCUAAUGAAGACGUUGAAGAGACCAGUUCCCCUGUUUCUCCGAUCUUGAUCCUUACCACAGUACAAAAUACAUACCACAUGUUUUGACUUAAUGAGGUAAUAGUACCAGAAAUGUCAUCCCGUGCUGACCAUAGGAGCCUACAGUUUCGAGUCAAGUCCUCUGCGACCCCUAGUUUAAAUCCAAACACAAAUAAGUCUGUAUAUUUCCAUUGUUCUUGUACACACCCAGAGGAACCAUCAACAUUAUUCUCCUUGACUUUGCACAACCAAAAACAUCGUAGACCAGAGACCCAUGAACCAAAAACACCAAUUUUAUUCCUUAAAAAAAACUUAACCGAAACUCUAGACCAAUACAAAGAAUUCAAACGACUACUUAACCAUAAACACUAGAUAUUGCUCAGUGAACUUAUUGAAAAAACAGAAAUAAAACAACCAUAACUGAAAACCACACACAAACCCGCGCUUCUUCAUCUUCGUAAUCCAUUAAAAUCUUCAAUGUUUGUUGAUGGGAGGCUUGGGGUUUGAAGUACCAUGCUCCGCUCCUUGCUUCGUGCCAUCGCCUUGCUUCAUGCCAUCGCCUUGCUUCGUACCCUCACCCUGCUUGGGGUUGGGCUUGCUCGGAAGGCGUUUGCGCGGUGAAAUUAAGGAAUGCACCAUUCUCAUCUUAGAAGUUCCUACCACAAGUGGCCCUCCUUUGAAAAGCUUCUUUUUAACUCCUUUAUUCUUUUCUUCCCCGCCCACAUUCUCAGCCUUUUCCAACUCUCCCUCUUCACUCAUCUCAAUGCUAGCGACAAUAUCACCCUGUGUAACACCCUGGUUCCCAUCAAUCUCCUCAUCCGUAACAUCCUGAAACUCUUCCUCUCCACCAUUGGUUACCUCCCCCUCUUUCAGUGAAGAGUUAUUCUCAUCAGUGUCCAUAUCAUCUGCUUUCACCAAAUUCUCCUGUUCCAGCAUAACCUCAUUGACUACAUCAAGUCCAUUCUCUACCUUCUCAUUCCCCAUACGUACCUGAUCAGACCCUAGCCCGUUGACAUGUGCCAAUAUCACGUCGCCGUCCCUCUGUGGAUGCACUUCCUGUUGUGUUUCACCCGCCCCGGACAGUUGAGUAGAUCUCAUGGUACCUUCAUAUGUGCGCCCCUUACUCCUCUCCUGUUCUGGAAAGUGAUCUCUGGGACUGCGUUCUCUGCGCAUACCUCGAUACCCUUGAGACCGGUAACGCCCCUCCUGAAAGGAGUUCCUUGUAAGCUCAUAUAUGGGGCGGCGAUGGCGUGAAUCUAGCUCCUCUCCCCUGAAACGACUUCUAUCUGCACUCAGCUUCUUAUUCCCUCUUCCUGACACACGGACCCAUUUUGCCUCAUCUUCCUCAUACAUUUUCCCCUUGCCUUUCCCUUGAUAAUCCCUAUCCUCCUUGUUUUGCUCCUGACGACCAUCAUGACCAUUGAUAACUACCCCUUUGUAACUUGCAGCUCGCUCUCCUCCCCGUUCAGUUCUUGCCUCCCGCACCUCUAUCUCCUUCUGCGGACUUUCCUUGUUCAGUGAGCACUGCUUCAUGUCAUGACAGAGACUGAAACACGUAGAACAAUAGCCAAAAAGCUUCUCGUAUCUCAAAGCGAUCAGCUCUUCCCCUCCUCCAUAGAAUUCUCCACCGCGAAAGUCAACUGAUGUCUCGAAACAGAGACAAUGUGUUCCAUCGAUGACCACUUUAACUCUCCCGUAGUCAAGGUCCACUUUGACAACAUUGCCUAUAGCUCCUCCAAUACUCUCAAAAGUCGGCUCUGCCCAAUAUUGGAGCGGAACUCCCAAGACACGAACCCAAAAAGUAAUUUCUGUGGGGUAACUCUUUUCCAUCACUGGCUUCCACCUCACGAGAGAGAUCAUCCAAUAAUCAAAGUGGUACGGCUGCAUCUUCAGGACCUCCUCGAUAUCCUCUUCGUUGUGGAAAUCGAACUGAAACCUUUCAAGACAAAGAUCAGCUCCAGCAACUCUAUCUUCCACCUUCCAGAUUUUUGGUAACAUGAUGAUUAAAGCCUUAACGUCUUGCUCCUCAGGGUUCAAGCACUUGCCGAUCAGAUUUUUGUCAUAGUUCUGGAUGAGCGCCGAGUUAUCAAAGUGAGGCACCGUGACUCUCAAGGGCUUGCGGGCUGCUUCACCACCAUUUUUGUUCCCAACCGUAGCAAGAAGCUGUCCUUGAGUCAUAUCAAUGAAAAUCGCAAAGAACUCCACCAACUGGAAAAUAAGAGAAAAGGAAUUGCUUUGUUGAAAGGUGAUGAUAUGAAACGUCGCCUCUCUUCCCCUUUUAUACAUCUUCUUCUCCUUUUGAAAUCUGAAGUAGCGAAGAACACAUUGAUUACCAAAUAUUGUAUCUUCAAUCAUACUAUGCUGAAAAUAAUCUAAAAAUCUCAAAAUGAUACACCAAAUCAAUCCAAAGAAACCUGACAGUACAUGAUGUUGAAACCCAAGAUUUCGGUAUAAUUGAAUCAGAGAUCUGAUCCUAGAAACCCACCAAUCCUCCCUCCUUUGACCCCUUUCUCUGAAGAAUCCAAAAGAUCAUACCUUGAUAACUCCGAAUCUUGACAAAAUUAGUUUGGGCAAGUCUGCACAAUCGUAAUCGAACAGCCCACGUCUUUAUUUCCAUAAUCUCCAAUAUCCAACCAAAUCCCUUAAAGCCUUUCUUCGAGAUCGAAUCCCAUUGACACCGCCUUACGAUACCCAUUUUUCCUUCACAUAAUCUUCCAGAUCCAUCCACCCAAAGAGUAUCUCCAUCAUUAUACCUCGAUUCAAACCGUGAAUUCCCAAAAACUGCAGAGAAAUCAAUCAUCGAACCCUAGAUCCCCUUUGUUGUCGCCAUCCGUUACUAGAACCCGUUGUCUACAUUAUUAUGGUCUCUUUUUUUUAAUUCAGUUACAGAGUCUCAAAUGAAUUCCUAGCUUUUUUUUCUUUCUUUUAAGAGGAGAUUAACUCAAAGAAAUUUGAGAAAUUCUUAGGUUCACCCCAUUCCAUAACUGAACCUAGAGGUUCAUCCAACCAAUAAGAUUUAGUUAUUUUAGAUUUAAUAUCUUUUAAAAAAAAACUAAAUAAUAAAAAUUUGUGAAAUUAUAUUAUGCUUUUAAAUAAAAAAAUUAAUAGUAAUUACCAUAAAAAGUUUUUUUAAUAUUGUUAAACCUGUUAGUAAAAUAUUAAACCCUAAACCUUAAAUCAUAAACACUAAACCUUAAAUUCUUGGAUAAAUCAUGAAUCCUUGGGCAAAUCCCAAAUCCUUAAUCCUAAACUCUAAACCAAACCCUAAACCCGAAACCCUUAAUCCUAAACCCUAAUACUAAAUCAUAAACCCUAAAUUCUAAACACUAAACUUUAAACAAUAAACCCUAAAAUCUUGGGAAAAUCCUAAACUCUAAACCCUUAAUCCUAAACCCUAAACCCUUAAUCCUAAACCCUAAGGGUUUAGGGUUUAAGAUUAAAGGUUUAGAAUUUGGUUUAGGGUUUAAGAUUAAUGGUUUACGGUUUAGGAUUUUUCCAAGGAUUUAUGAUUUAUCCAAAGGUUUAGGGUUUAAAGUUUAGUAUUUUGCUAACUAGUUUAAUAAUAUUAAAAAAAAUUGAUAAUUACUAUUAUUUUUUAUUUAUUUUAAAACAUAAUAUAAUUUCACAAAUUUUUAUUAUUUGGUUUCUUUUCUAAAAGAUUUGAAUUUAAAAUAACUAAAUCUUAUUGAUUGGGUGAACCUCUAAAUUCACAUAGGGAGUGAAACUAAGAAUUUCUCAUAAAAUUUUUUAUUUCUCCCUUUAAUAUAAUACAUUUUCUUUUUGAUAUUAUUUUUUAAUUGAAAAAUGUGGCCAAAGACGAAAUAAUCCUUAACGAAAUAGCUUAAUUAGAAUGAUCCAACCCUAAAAACGCGACCGACCCAAAUCCUACCCGGUAUAACCCGGAUCCUAACUAAACGAUGGGAUUAAAGGCAUUGGGAAAUGUUGUGACCACAGACCUGCUGAGAAUCUCGUCUUGUAGAAAGGUGGAUCCUUGUACUGGACCAGAAAAGUUGAUGAGGUCUUGUCCGGCUCUCGAGAGUUUGCAACUCACAAAGUGUUGUUUGAAUGAUAAAGAAGGAAUGAGAGCUUCUUGGGGCAUUAUAUAUUUUAUCUUCGUUGGAUCCUUGUCCUGGACCAGAGAAACGUUGGGAGCUUCUUGAUGUUUUGUAUAAAAUUAUUGUAUUGAGAUUUAUUUUAUUUUUGUUGUGUUGUUUGGAAAACUAAAGUACCAUUCUUGAUAUGUAUUACAUGUAUAAAAAGUUGUGCUUUGGAUGUCAAAAACAUGGUAUCUGUUGCUAAAUAGGUUUGGAUAACUGGAUUUUUUUUUUUUGGCAACGGAUAACUGGAUUUAUUAGGUUUGUUAUGUGCAAAAAAAAAAGAGUUAGUUGGACAACUUACCCAUGUAAAAUGAUAAUACCAAAAACGGAUAACACAUAUUAAACAUUAUGAAAUUAAAUAAUAUCAAAAAAAAACUUUUAUGAAAUAAACACAUACAGUUUGUAACAUGUUAAAUGCAUAGUAAAUGUUGAACACAAGUUGAUUAAUUCCAAUUGUUUACUUCAGAGGCAAGCCGAACAGAUUAUGAAAUAAACACAUACAGUUUGUAACAUGUUAAAUGCAUAGUAAAUGUUGAACACAAGUUGAUUAAUUCCAAUUGUUUACUUCAGAGGCAAGCCGAACAGAUUAUGAAAUAAACACAUACAGUUUGUAAUUAGAUCAGAUUAAAUAUAGAAAAAGAUCUAAAUAUAUGUUAAUAUUUUCUCUUAGAAACACAUUUUGUUGGUCAGUAAAUAUUGAAUUGAAGUAAUAUAUCACAUUACACCUUCCAUCAUUUACAAAUAAUUAAAAAGUUUAAAAACAUUUAUCUUCUUAUUUUAGAUUUUAAAAACAUUUUAUUUUUCAUAAAAUUCGUCUUGUCUUAUUCAUAUUAAAGUAAUAAUAUAAAAAAUACUCAUGUAAAAAAUGCAUGCAUAGCACAUGUUAAAAUAAUAAUUUAAAAAAUACUCGGGUAAAACAUAUAUCCAUUAUAUACAUAAAUUUAAUAUUCUAAUUACACUUAAUAAUUCUUAGUAAUUUUCAAGGUAGUAGUAAUACUAACUUAUACAUAGUAAUACUUUGGCAAAUUUUAAGUUUUAUUUGUAAAACCAUGUCCAAAUGAAAUAUUUUGUAAUAAAACCAAUGAUUUUAUAUAAUGAAUGUCAUUAAGGAAGAGUAUUACAUAAACAAUUUACCAGAAAUAAGUAUUUUUAAAUAUUCUUCUCACUAUAACCUUAUGAUUCACAUAACAACCAUGAAAGUUAAAGAAUCAUUUUGGGAAAAUGAUAAAUAUUCAUAAAACUAUAGAAAAUAAUCAUCUAAAUAGUUUUAAUAGUCUUACUGACUAUAUACAUAGUCUACUAAUAGAAAACAUAUGGGUUCUAUAUGUUAAAUAUACCUACUAUUUGCAAUAUACAGAGGUUUUAAAUUACACAUAAUAAAACCAAGUAAUCCUAGUAGUCCAAAUUAUACAUAAUAAACCCAGUAAUUCUAAUAGUUCGAAUUACACACAUUUGAUCUAGUAAUCUUAGUAUUCUGAUUACACACAAUAAACUCAAUAAUCCUAGUAGUCCGAUACUCCGAUUACACACAAUGAAAACAUAAUAAAGAAAAUCUGGUGCGUCAAAACUACCAGAAUAAUCUUGAGCCAAAAUAGUUGCACCGAUUUGUGGUGUACCUCUCCUUCUAUUAAACCACUAUUAUCAUAUUCUAUGAACAUAUUAAAGUCUUACUGUACUUCAAAAUCUAUAUUAUAAUAGUUGAGUUUUUGCUCACUCCUUAGCGCGCCACGUCAGCGUUUUGUGGGCUCCACUUUUAAAAAGUGUGAAAAAGUGUCAAGCUCAUGGUUCGAACCCGAGUUAUUGAAAUAUAAACACCAACAUUUAUACCACUAAGCUAAAUGAUACUCUGUACAUUGAUGACCGAACCUAAUAUAUAUUUAUGAAGGUCGGAAGCCCUUGCUUCUUCGGCUUCCUCUGAGGGUCGGGCCUACAAGUGUAUUAUGGGUUUCAUUUUUAAAUGGGAUUCAUUACGUUAUAUGAAAAAGCUCAAGUUUGCAACAAUUAUAGCUUUCCCAUAUUGUAAAAUGUUGUCGUUUAACAUGAGUUUGAGUUCUUUUCAUCAUUGUCUCAAACAAGUCUGAGUUACAAAGUUACACCGUGUGUCUGUUCGUAAUCUAUUUUUUCACCGGUGAACUCUUCAUGUCCCCAUCUUAAAUCGCUUGAUCAUAAAUGUUCCUGAUUUGUAGCCCCUCUGUAAACCCUAUAUAUAUAUGAUUCUCAUCUUUGAUGAACCCAAUCUGCAUCUCCACAAAACUCAUUGAUUCCUCCUAGCCUUAACCAUCUUCUAGAAAAUGCUUCUCUCUGCCUCUCCAGUUCCUCAAACCGGCAUUCCGGCGUCCGUCACUCAACCUUCGAGUCUCUCCGUCUUAGUCGUAGUAGUCAGAGCAUAGCCUCUGGCUUCCUCUGCUUCUGGGAUUCCCUGGACUUCAAGAAAGACAUGAAGUUUGUGGGAAUCACAGUUCUCUUCCUUGAUGAAAAGGUAAGUUAAUCUUCGAUCUAUCACACUUAUUUAACAUAAUUGUUUUAAUUGAUUUCUUGAUUCUUUGUUAAAUAAUAUUAUUUGCAGAUUCCGUGAUUCAUGGGUUUACUCCCGUCGAACGUGCUAAUCAUUACAAGUCAUCUUUGAAAGAAGGUUCCAUCUUUUGAGGUUGCUAGGUGCUCAAGCAUGUACAAGAUAACUGAUCAUCCAUUCCUUAUUCGUUUCAUCUCACUAACCAUUAUUGAUGAAGUCAUCACGGUUCCUCUUGAGAUCAAUCUCCAGUCAAGAUUAGACUGUUCGACAGUCUCCAAGUGAUUGAGAACACAAACCUAGAACUCCAGGUAUAUUAUCAUAUUGCAUCUGAUUUUAUAUUAUGUUUCGAUAUUAUAACUGAUAUUUAAACUCGCAGAUGUGGUUAGGCAAAUCCGUUCUAUCCAGGGCUCUGACCUCACCAAAGAAACAACUCGAGUCGUUAUCCGUCUCCUCAUUGAUCCGUAAGAAACAAUCAAUACAUAAUUUCCUUUAUAUUACUGCCUAUAUUGUGCUAACAUCAAUAAUAAAAAAUAUUUCCUACCCAAGAUUUGUGGUCGUCUAUUUAUUUCCCUUACUUAUCAAUAUAAUUUUACACAAAUCUUUAUUUUACAGCUUAAAAGAAACCACAAUAACCCGAACAAUCAAAACACGAAAAACUAGAAUCCCAAAAAAGACGAAUAAUUAAUGAUCACCUCUCUUUUUGUUUAAUAUUACAAAUAAACUUCAAAACAAAUAUAUACUAAACCAAUCAACUCAACUAAAACUCAAUGACACAUACAUUGAGCCAGCUAAUCAAAUACAAACUACACGACAACUAUUUAACAAUUUACAAACUUACUUUCGCAUAUGCUUAUGAAGAAGACGAGGACGACAACCAAGAUCAGUGAAAUUACUUUAACAAAGCAGAGUAAGUUACAAACUCUUAUAAAUACAACUAACAAUGAAUUUUGUUUACAUAUUACCGUCAAAUAAAAGAAAAACAAACACAGCCACACCAGGAGAUACAAGAGACAAUCCCAACAGACACAAAGGCGGCAAUAACAUCUCCACCUGCUCACUCCUCUUGUCUUAUGAAAAUAGCUUACAUGUUCAAUGUCAACAGGCCAAUGUUGUUGUCUUCUUGUGAUAAAUACAUAUAUUCGUUUAAAACCCAUUAAGACUCAAAUACUAAUUGUCACUCAUUUUAUAGUUAUUUCUACAAGUCUUCAUGUAUUUGUUUUAAAGGUCCAGGAAAAGCAACAAGUUUGAAAAUAAAAAAAAAACAUAUAACCAACAUAAUAAGAAUAAAAAAAAAUUAUUACUUAAUACAUACAACUUACACAACUAAUCUGGAGAAAAAAUAUCCAGAAACAAAAGGUACUCUCAAUAACCUUAAUAUAAUUUAUGUAAUCUCAAAAGUACAAGUAACAAAUUAAAAAGAAAAACAAACAAUAAGUCUCAGUGACACAUCAAGCAACACCACGAACUAUAUCAAUCAAAUUACCAACACAAUUUAGUCUUUCAUGAGUGGAGAACAGUGAAUACACAGUUCAUCAUCACAACUCUAACCCUAUAACAAUAAAAAACUUGAAAAACAAUGAUCAACCCAAAACGCAAAUCACAGUUACAAUAACCCUAACAAAUAUUGAAAUGAAACAAGAACUCUGUACACAACUCCGCGCUUGCGCGGGGUCAAUGAUCCUAGUGAAGUAAAAUAAACCAAACCCCAUAAAAGCAGUUCUUAAAAACAUUUUUAAUGUCUCAAAAUUUUCAUUAAAUCUUACAUUGUUUACAUUCCAAAGAUAUACACUUCAUUUUAGUUAUAUUCUAGAUAAAAUUUCUGCAAAAACGAACAUAAUAAUCUUAAAACCUAAAAAACACAAUUAAAACUCGUUUUCAGUCUUCUAAAAUUCUAAGUAAACAUUAUUUACAUUAUCCAAGAUAUACAGUUCAUUUUAAUGAUAUUCUAGAUAUAUAUUUUUUUAAACAGAUAUAAUAAAUUUUAAAAACGGAUAAAAAUUUUUAAACAGUUUAUGAAGUUUCAGUCACGUUAAUAAAGAAAAAUAAAAGGGAAAAUGUCACGUUGAAGAAGAAAGAGAAAUGGACAGAGAGUUUUCAUUGGUUAAAAUUUAUUAUGGGACCCAGUUGAUUUUUAAUAUAUUGAUAUAAAUUUAAUUCAUAGUUUAAUAUUGUUAUGAGGUGGCAAAUUUUGUUAAAAAAUUUAGAAAGUUAAUUUGGAGAUCACAAAGAGAGAAUAAUAUAUAUAUAUAUAUAUAUAAUAUUAUAUUACCUAUUGAAUUGAUAAAACUCAAACCCGAAAAAAUUUAUUAAUAUAUUAUAUUUAUUAGUUUACAGAAUAUUAAUUUAUUAAAAUUAAAAUUAUAUUAUAUAUUUAAAUAUUAAAGUCUCGUUAGGUCACUGGUUUAAUUUUAAUGAUAUAAAAUUACAUUCAUAAAUUUAAGAUGUGAAUAAAAAUUAUAUUAAAUAUUAGGUUUAAUCAAUUAAAUUGAUUGGAAGAAAGAAGAAAAUUAAUUAGUCUAUAUUAAUACUUAUUAGGUAUGAUUGUUUAAAGUUAAGUUAUAAAUUUUUAUGAUUUUAUCAUAAUAAUUUUUAAAAGAUUAUUAUUAAAUUAUAAAAAUAAGGGUUGGCAAAAAAAGAGAAAAAAAAAUAAAGCUUAGAAAGAAAUUAUGACUAGCAAACAAGGAAAUAUUAAAUAAAGAUAGGGACUCACCUGCAUAAAAUCUGUGUCACAAUAAAAAUGAAAAAAAAUAUUAAAACAAAUUUGGGAUCCACCAUAAAAUCUGCGUAAAAGAAAAAAAGCAUUAAUAGAAAAAGAAAAUAGUAAGUACUGGAAGAGAAUUAAAAGAGCGGUAUUGAGAAUAAGGAAAGAAUUGCCAUACUGAGAGGAUCAUCUGCUAAGGCAUAAUUUAGAUGUCAUACAUAUUGAGAAUAACUUUUUCUGAUCGGGGCAAAUUGAGUUAAAUUCCUUAGCAAUUGGAUUUUGGAUUUACAAAUUAUUCAAUUGAUUCUUAUGCCGGCACGUAAGCUAAAUUGACAUCAUAAUUAAGUGACAUAUCAUCAAAUUUUUUUUGUAAUAAAUACAAAAUAUAUAUAUUUAAACUUUUUAAAUGAUUCUCAAUUAAUAUAUAUGGGAUAUAAUUAGUACAACUAUAAUUUUAAUAUUAAUAAUAAUUUACCUAAAUUAUAUCCUAAUUUUUUUUUAUAACGUCUGAUUUAUUAUUUCAAUUGGAAAUUACAUAGUCAUUAUGCAAAAGCAUAGUAAUUGUGUUUGGGACAAAAUGAUGAAAACAAAAUGUACUAUGAUUAAGUAUAUCACUUUUCGCCAGUUUGUCUGCAACUCUAUUUCCUUCUCUGUUUAUCCAUUGGAACUCGACUGAUUCAAACUUCUGUUUCCACCAUAAUGCUUCUCGUAUCCAAUUAUAUGAAUGAAAGCAUAAACCAAUUCUGUUAAGGAGGUGAAUAGCUUUUUGACAGUCCCCUUCUAUGAUAAUCUUCUUAUAUCCAUGGCUCCAGCAAUUUUGCUUUGCCAUAAUGAUCGCCUGUAGUUCGCUUUCCAACGGAUUUCUAACUACCUGACCAAUACCUUGUCCCGCCCCUUGAUAAACUCCUCUUGAAUCUCUAAUCACCCAUCCAGCACGGCUCGGAAUGUUUGAAUUGGUGAAAGAACCAUCAACAUUACACUUUAUCCAUCCUGUAUAUGGUCUUCUCCAUUCAUUUCUUCUAUUUCUGUAUGUCCCUCUGACCGUAGCUUGAUUGUUCAUCCAUUCUUGUGCGUCCUUAUGGGCUUGCAUCAAUAUAGUUCUCCAAUUUAUAUGCUUAUGCUGAAAGAGAAGAAUAUUUCUACUCUUCCAUAUACGCCACAAUACCCACAAAGGUAGGUUAUGUAAAUGAGACAGUGUAGAGGAAGAACAACACUGUAGACAAGCUUCCAUUUUUGCUUCCAGAGUAGCAUUUGGAUCCAUUAUUAUCAAGUUAGAAAUACCUGACGCCCUCCAAAUAGAUUGAGCAUAUAUACAAUCAAAUAAUAUAUGCUAAUCUGAUUCUUCACCUUGGCAGCAUCGCAGACACUGAUCCAUAUUAGUAACAUGUCUUCUCUUUAAAUUGCUCCCUGUUGCCAGGCUUCUUGAUAAUGUUUUCCAAAGAUAAUGAUGUAUUUUCGGAGGCAUUUUCGUUGCCCAAAUCUUCUUCUUGAGAUUCACAUCACCAUAAACUGGUUGUAUGAGAUCAUUUGCUGGUAGAUGAGUAGAUAGCCAAUAUCCGGAUUUAACUGAAUAGAUCCCAUUCUCAUUAUAAUGCCAGCCAAGUAGAUCCAACUGAGCUUUUGAGAAGAUCUUGACUCCAAGUAUUUUAUCUAUAUCCUCUUCCACAACCACCUCAUGUAGCUUUUGUUCAUUCCAUCCUCUCCCAUCAGAUCGUAUCAGGUCUUUCACCUUUCCUACCAAAGGAACUCCAUCUCUAGCUCUUGGUGGCCUUGGAGGGUGAACCGGUAACCAUGGAUCAGUCCACAGAUUAGUCAGAGUGCCAUCUCCUAUAACAUAUCUUAGCCCCUGAUUUACAAGCUCUUUCCCAUACAAAAUUGAUUUCCAUGCAUAAGAAGCUUUCCGUUUCUGAACUGCAUCGAGGAUAUUACCAUCUGCAGAGUAACGAGCUCGUAGAACUCGAGCCAUAAGACAUUCUGGAUGCUGCAAAAUACGCCAGACCUGUUUACCCAAUAGUGCUUGGUUGAAGUUUUGUAGUGAACCCAAGUCCUCCUUCUCGUUUAGGUACACUAACCCGUUUCCAUGCAUACCAAUGCAUACCCUUCUUAUCUGUAUUGCCCCACCAAAAUUUCGCAAGCACACCAUUGAUCUCUUCACACACCUCCUUUGGUAAUCUGAAUACAUUCAUCGAGAAGAUUGGCAUGGCUAGCGCUAUUUAUUUAAGUAACACUUCCUUGCCACCAUGAGAAAGGUAUUUUUUACUCCACCCCUGAGUUACUGACUUAACUCUAUCCACUAUGUAGGCAAACAUAUCACUUUUACUUCUUCCAAAUUGUUCUGGCAUUCCUAAAUACUUUCCAAUUCCACCAGCGUUAUGUAUCCCCAAAAUAUUCCUCAUGCGAGAUUUAACUAUCUCUGAUACUUUACUACCAAACGUGAUAGAAGACUUACUGAGGUUAACUGAUUGCCCUGAAGCAGCCUCAUAUUCCGAUGAAAUUUUCUUAAGCUUAGUUGCUGCCCUUGGAUUAGCCAGUGAGAAAAAUAAAGAAUCAUCUGCAAAUAAUAGAUGAUUAACCGGUGGUGCUUGUAGGGCUACUUUCACUCCUAAUAUAGAUCAAUCCUCCAUAGCUCUGUUCAUCAUAUGGGAAAGAACUUCUGCGCAAAGUAUAAAUAUAUAUGGAGAAAGUGGAUCACCCUGCCUGAUUCCUCUCUCUGGUACAAUAUGACCUUCUGGGGCUCCAUUAAUCAAAACAGAGAAGCUGACACUACUCACACAUGCCAUUAUCCACUUGAUCCAACGUGUAUCAAAACCCAUUCUGAUCAUUGUUUCCUCAAGGAAUCUCCACUCCAAUCUAUCAUAAGCUUUUGCUAUAUCUGUUUUAACUGCCAUAUAGGAUGAAGCUUGCCUCUUCCUUACUUUGAGACUGUGGAAAACUUCAUGAGCUACAAUGAUGUUGUCUGUAAUAAUUUUCCCUGGUAUAAACGCUUGUUGAUUCUCUGUUAUUAAACCAGCCAAGUGUUUCUUCAUGCGGUUGACCAAAAUCUUUGAUAUAACUUUGUAGGCAACAUUACAUAGAGUAAUAGGACGGAACUCAGCCAUCCCAGUGGGUGGGUAGACCUUUGGGAUAAGACAGAUAUUAGUGUGGUUCAAUGCUGGGUCUAUUUCUCCAGUAUCAAAGAACUGCUUGACUUCUUGAAUAAUCUCUGUCUUUAACUCAUCCCAAAACUGGUGAUAGAAAACUGCAGAAAACCCAUCUGGACCAGGAGCACGAUGUGGGCCUAUAGUAAAUAUAGCUUCCUGAAUUUCUUCUAUUGUUACCUCUCGUGUAAGAUCCAUAUUUAUCUCAGCGGUAACCUUCUUUGUAAAUCCAGAGAAAACUUUAUCAUAGACACUUGGAUCUGUUGAUGAGGAGGAGAAGAAGGAGGUAAAGUAAUCCUGAGCAACUCUUCCAAUACUCUGUUGGCCUCUAUGUAUUACUCCAUGUUCAUCUUGGAUCGAUGUGAUCGUAUUUCUGGAUCUCUUUCCUUUAGUAAUGGCAUGAAAAAAGGAAGUAUUUCUAUCCCCUACUCUAAGCCAUUGGAUUCUGCUUUUUUGUUUCCAGAAGACCUCUUCAUCUAUGUAAGCUUGAUCUAGUUCCUCCUUUAAAUGCGUAUUCUCUUGUUGGGUUGCAUUAUUAUCACUGACAGCUUUAUCUAACUUGGCUCGAAGGAUCGAGAUACAUUCUUGAGCAUUACUUCUGUUAUUUCUUUUCCAUCUUGCAAUAUGGUGCCGACAUCUACUGAUCCUCUGAGCUAACGGCAACUGUAUAAACUGAGCCUAUCCCAUACCAUUCCAGCCCCUUUGUACCGAGUCUUUGAAUCCUUCUUUCAUACUCAUUCCACUAUCAUAGCGAAAUGUUCUUCUGGGCUGUUCUUUUUCAACUCCAAUAUAUGUUAUCAUUGGUCUAUGGUCAGACUCACCAAUCUCCAAAUACUCAUUCUCUGAAGCUGGGAAGAGCGUGUUCCACUCAGAGUUAGCCAUUACGCGAUCCAAGCUGCAUUGAACUUGAUGUUGACCUCUCUGCCCAACCCAUGAAAAUCUGUUUCCCACUGAUCUUACAUCUGUUAAGUCAUUAUGCCGAACCAUUGUGCGAAAACCUUGAAAUGAAAUUUCAGGCCGCACUCUACCACCCUGUUUCUCAUGAUUUCCAAGAAUUUCAUUGAAAUCACCAAGUAACAACCAUGGUUGGUUCCGUCUACUAAUCCCCAUUCGUUCCAAAGCUUCCCAAGUAUAGUGACGCAAAGAAGUAUUUGGGUUUCCAUAAACGAAGGUAAAAUAGAAAGAACCUUCAUUACCAUCAACUUUACAAUCUACCAAAUUGGGAGAUAGACUUAAAACUGAAAACUGUACAUGCUGCUUCCAAAAGAUAACUAACCCACCACUAGAUCCUAUAGGCGGCACUGAAACAUAAUUAAGAAAAUCUAUCUGAGCUCCAACAUCACGGAUGUAGUCAUCAUUCUGUUUUGUUUCUGACAAGCAUACGAUGUCCGGGAGACACAACCUGUUGAUCUCCUUAAGGCGUCGAACUGUCGAGUCUAUGCCCAAUCCUCGACAGUUCCAACAGGUUGUCCUCAUGGCGGCAGUGGUGGUUCAGGGCCCACCGCGCCUCCCACUAUAGUGUCAGCUUCAUCCUCUGUAGCAGCCGAGAAGGUAGUCUCUUCCAAUGUCACAUCUCCUCCUGUCUUGCGCUUCACACUUCUUGCACCACUAGAUUCUCCUUUCUCAACAGAGGAGAAUUUGCUUUUGUUGUGGUCUGCCUCAGCCAUCCGAGCUUUCCUCUUUAGACCCUCCCUUCCAUCGUACCUAUCAACAAACGGGUUGAUUGGGUUGAACAUUUCCUCAGUGUUGAGCUCAUCAGAGUACAGAUUAGGCAGAAUAUGACCAUUCCAUAGGUCAUCUUCUUCUUCAGCUUCCUCUAUCAGAGAAAUCUCUCUAUUACAUUCCAAAGUUUUUUUCUAUGAUACCCUAGAAAACUAAGAACCCUAAAAUAAUAAAUUCCCAAAUCGACUUUGAUGUAUUUAAUAUAAAUCCAAAACAAAUAGAGAAUAUCAACUAAACAGAACACAAACAACUUUUAUCUAUAUAUAUACAUAUAUAUAUAUUAUUUUCUAUAUAUAAAUAAACACUAUACAUAUUAAACUUAAAAUGAGUAUUUUUAAUUGUAAAUUAUUAUAUAUUUUUUCAAAUUACUAUCUUAAGUUAUAAAGUUAGUUAAAAUUUAACAUUAUUAUAAAUAUAUUUUUGCAGUUUAUAUUAAAAUUUACUUUUCGCAAGUUCAAACUAUGAAUUUACUAAUAUCCCAAAAUAAAGAUUUGUCUUUUAUUUACAAAUUCAAGAUGGAAGCUAACUUCUACAACUAUAAAAAUGGAAAACUACUUUUUAAUAAAUUAUUUCUUAUAUAACUUUUAAAUAUAGUGCAUAUCAAAAAAAUUCUCAUAGCUUAAAAUUCAACCUACGAAAUAAAAAUAUAUUAAAUUAUAUACAUUUAAACAUAAACUAUGUAUAAGACUUUAAAAAUAAUUAGGUUGAAUAUACUUUUCAUUAAAGAAAAUCUUUGUGUGGAAGCCCCUUAGUCCAGUGGUUUGACUAAGUGUUCAUGAAUGCUUCUACACCAGCAAGUUCAUGUUUCAAUUUCCAGAGAAAAUGAUUUAUUAAACAAUUAUGCAAGCUACAGAAAAAAAGCUUACAAGGGAUCUUCAACAUGGUGCAAGUAAACCCGGUCAAGCGUGGAUCUUCAUAGGGCGGCUCUGGUGAUGCAAUUAGACGUAGAUCCUCAUAAGGCAAGUAGUAUUGUCGGUUGCCGAAUCGUCUAUGUAAUCUUUCUCAUAAUUGUAAUGUCCUAAUAAAUCAGCGUUAAAAAAAAGUCUUUGUAAACCUAAGAUAAUCCCGUGCUCUUAAAUUUAAAAAGCAUAUUAAAGUUUUACAAUAGAUUUUCUUUAUUUAUUUCAACUUUACAUAAAAUAUGUAAAAAUAAUAAUUUAAAAAAAUUUGUAACAAACUAGAAUUACGACAUAUGAUAAAAUUACAACAAAAUUAAAAAUUAUUAAGUAUUUAAAUAUCUAACGCAAACAUUGAAAUAACGCAAACAUUGAAAUUAAAUUUUAAAUUUGAAAAAUAAAAUUUAAUCAAAUUGGAUUACAAUAUCGCGUCACCCAUCGGUUUAAUCGGUAUUCUGUGGGUUUAGCGAUUUUAGCCAGUUUUAUCAAAAUUUUAAAGAAUUGAUAUUUCUUAAAACCAAACUAGAUUACGUAUCAUAUCACAAAGUUUACCGUUUUCACUGCAGAUACGAGUCGGGUUAUAAAUGUUGAUUUAAAUGAAAAAUGUUUUAAAUAAAUAAAAUUCUUACAAAUUAAUAAAACAUGUGUAACGUUGCUAACUAAGUGGCUGUGGUUUAUAUAAGCGUUAGAGAGUGUUAUUGGUUCAUAUAUUUUAAUGGAUUUGAAAAUACAAGUCAAAUCUAGUGUUAUUGCUCCUGUGAUUUUAAAAUCCAUAUUCAAAUUCAUUGUUAUUAGUUAUAUGAUUUUAAAAUCUAUAUUCAAAUAAAUUGUUAUUGGUUUUAUGAUUUUAAAGUAGAUUUUAAAAUCAGGUGUUAUUCAAUAAUAGUAAUUUCUUUAAAAAUUUGAUUUAAAAUUAGAUUUGAAUGAAUUUAUGAAUGAUUUUAAGUUAAAUAUACAAAGAAGCAAAUAUUGAGUUGAACCUUGAUAUUUUGACAAAUCUGUAUUAUUGGUUUUCCUAAUAUCUUUUCGGCACCAAUUUUCGUAUAUAUGUAUUGCAUACGUUAAUUAUAACAAGAACUCACAAAGAUAUGAUUAUUUUGUUAAAUGGUAGUGUGCUUGUAACUUUUCCAUUUAAAAACAUCGAGCACUCAUCACACUUUUGAAAGUUUUCUAUUUUUCCAAUUGUCCAAUUUCUACAUUUUCCUAGUUUUCUAUUUCUAUCGUAGUGGUCGGUCUAUCAUAGUUAUAUAUAAUCUCGACUAUGCAUUAGAAAAUUAACACAAGAAACAAACACUUUAAACCCCUAAAAGAGCAUCAAUGGAAGAAUCACAACAAGAACCACAAGAACAUGGAAAAGGUUCUUAUGUUCAAUGGAGUCCUCAAGAAAAUAAAACUUUGAUAAAUCUACUUUUAGAUUGUAUUUCUGCAGGUUUACGUGAUAGUAAUGAUCUAUUCAUCAAAUUCACGGUGGAGAGAAGAAUCAUACCUCUUCUCAAUUAACUAUUUGGCUGAUUUAUGAUAAUCCAGUUAUUUUUAUUUUGAAAUCUAUAUCAUUGAUUCUGAAAUCUACUUAUUUGACUUUAAAAUCUAUGUAUUUAUCAAAAAUUACUAAAUUCAAGAAAUAAUCAUAAAUUCCUUAAAAUACUACAACCAAUAACCUCCACUUAAUGUGGCAUCUAUACUAUUAAAACAUAAGACAUUUUUUUAGGUGGUCUUCUGUUUUUAAAGCAUCACUGCUAUUGCAUUUAAAUUUUAAUUAAACCAUUAUGUUAAAUGUAAUCAGUUGCAACUAUAUUCUCACUUACGAUAUAUAAUUAUAAUUUCUAGCGUGCUUUUACUUAAUAUUACCGCAAAUAAAGAAAAAUUCAAAUUCUCAAGAUCUUCCACAACGGUAUUAUUGAGUUUUCCAUGGCGGUCUUUCAAGAUCUAUGAGACCUACAGUUGUAUUGGAGCAAAGCGGAGAAUAUGAGGGAGUUUGGAUGAGAUUUACAGUCUGGAGACAAGAAUUCAUGGUAGAGUUGAAAACAGGAGGUCUCAAGGAUGUCUCCAAAAUAUGAAAACAUGGGAAGAUUUUUAAGAUUUGUGAAAUAAAUAUCUUCUGAUAAAUGGUCUUCUGGAUUGAAUCAAAGGAUUUACUAGACGAAUAAAAGACGGCUCUGAAUUGCAGGAACGUAAUCUAUGGAGAUUCAGGUUUAUAAUCAUAGGUUAACUAAAGAUUUGAGGAUCAUUUGUUUUGAAGGGGAUUUUCAUAAAGAGUCAAGGAAUUCUCCAUCAUCAUAUCAUCGAGGUUAGUGAUGCAAUUUCUUUGGAAUUUAUUGGUGAUUCUGUGGGGAAUGAAUAAAGGGAUUGACUGCUUAUACAAUUUAGGGCUAUAUUUUCAACAAAUAGAGGAAACUUGGUACCUAAUUAGCAUCUUAUUUUACAAUCCCACUCGAUCAUAAAGUACAAAUUCACAUUGAAGAGGCUAUUCUCAUCAAACGUAGAGGCAUGUUUCUAAUAUUAAUAUGUUGGACACGUAGUCUCCGAGCACAAAUACAUGGCAAUAGUACUAUCAGGCUCCCAACCACAUUAUUGUCUUCGAGAAGGAUUGAUGACCAUGGCCAUUCAAAAGAUCAAGUGUUUGUUUUUUUUGAUAUUUAAGAUGCUCUUCUCAGAUUUCAAAUAGCUAUUUAUAGUUUUGUGAAUGUUUUGAAUUUUUUUAAAUCAUUUUUUCGCAGGAACAACCUACACUAAAGGAUAAGAAUUGGUAAACUACGUGAUCGCAUGAAGCUGCUGUUCGAAGCUCUGAGUGUGGUAGGAAAAGAGGCAACAAUGUUCAUUUAUGCUUCGAACAAUGUGAGAAAAGAUAGUUACAAAAUAAAACAAUGUGAACAAAGGUACGUGUGCUUUAAUUUUUGGUUUUCCGUGCAACUAAGGUCUAUAGGUUCAACCUUUUUAAUGUAUCUAACUCCCACAUGUUCCAUCAAUAUUAAUAUAUCUCAAGGUUAACUCUUGGUGUCUUAUUUAUGUUUUGCUUGAUACUGCAGACAAGAGCCUUAUAUGCGUCAGUGAGAGAAGUGAUUUGGAUGACAUAAUUGUCUUAAUGACAAUCUUGUAAUGCCUCGACCGCCCACAGCUAAUGGCCACCCACGUCCGCUCUCUCGGUCUGUGAGCCCCAUCCCGUUCCAGCGGUCGGUACGUUAAUUUUCCAAGGUUCGAAUGGCCUUGCAAUCACCACCCGACCUUUCCCCGUGUUUUAGGGGUGAUUGGUAGAGGCCGUGGCUUUCUGUUUUAUGCUCUAAGAUUUAGGCUCUAAAUUUUUAGCUUUAACUUUAAUUUAUUUUGCUGUAGAAAUUUUUCAGAGCACCGUAUAAAAUAAAAUCUCUAGGGAAAGUACUUUAUAAAGCUAACAUAUUUCUUUUUAUAAUGUUUUGGCUUUAGAUUCAGUUUUUAAAAUAAAAGCAUAAUUGCUUUAAAAAAUGGAUGUAGAAAUUAAAAAGACUGUGCACAGUUCAUACAGCCUCAACCAAUUAUCCCUUAAAUGUAGAAAACUAUGGUCUGAAAGUAGUUGUCAAGGAGUCUUUCAUGGAUACAUGUAUUCAUGGUCGAGAAGAAUUGGUAGAGGUGAAGUACUUCAGAAUAAAUAUUAAGUCACAUAGGGUAUUAUCAAUGUAGGUAACAAUAUAUUGAUACUAAGCAAUCACUCUCUUGAAAAGUAUUGCUACAAAAAAUAUCUUGAAAAGUAUAUUUGCUAUUUUGUAUAAACAUUUGAGCUUUCAUGAUUUAUUAGAUAUACAUAUUUUUGCAGAUAGUUAAGAAUCAUUUUUCCAAAUUCAAAGUGAAUGUAGUUAUGGAACCUAAUGGGUUGAAGAAAGUGGGUUCGUUGGCCUAUACUGAAACAAGAAAACGGUUUUGGCUUUUACACAUUUAAUAUUUCAUUAUUUAUUAACAUUUUAGAUUAUAAUAAUGAUGCUAUGUUAUGUUAUACUUACGUAGAUAUCACGGAGGAGAGAAUACCGUGCAAAUUUGUAAAAUCCCGAAAAGGUUUAACAGAAUUGAUUUGGCUAGCUAUGUCACCAAAGUUUACUUACUUUUUCCGUCACAAAUCCGUUUAGAACUCCAGAGUUAAGCGUGCUUGGGCUGGAGCAGUGAAAGGAUGGGUGACCUAUCGGGAAGUGAUUCGCGAUACAGUGCGAAUGAGGCCAAAACAAGGGAACGGUCGGGUGGUGAUUGCAGGGCCAGUAAACAUGAAUCUCGGGCCUUGGAAAAUUAACGGACCGACCGCUGGAACGGGAUGGGGUCCACAGGCUGAGAGAGCGGGCGUGGGUGGCCCAUUAGCUGUGGGCGGUCGGAGCGUUACAAGUGGUAUCAGAGCUGGUUAACCAUCUCGGUUCUGACCCGAGAGGCGUCUUGAGACCUGUCGUGUAGCGCAACGAGGGUGUUGCGUUCUUUGAGAGGGGGUGAAUUGUAACAUCUCGAGUUGUGAUAUAUGAAAAGGCUUAAGAGAAUUGAUUUGGCUACCUAUGUCACUAAAGUUGACUUACCUUUUCUGUCACACAUCCGUUUAGAACUCCAGAGUAAAGCGUGCUUGGACUGGAGUAGUGAAAGGAUGGGUGACCUCUCGGGAAGUGAUUCACGAUACCGUGCGAGUGAGGCUAAGGAGUUGAUUGGCAAGUGCUUUAGAAGUGCUGUAAGAUCUCUCUAUAGCCUAAAUUAUUUAUACAGCCCAAAAUUUUGCCAAUCAUGUUUUGUAAAGACUUUUUAAAGCUAUAGAUUUUUCUUUCUUUUUUAUUUAUGUUUAACUGUGGAAAGCCAUAAAUCUAGAGCACUUAUUUUUUGCUUUAGAAAAUUUAUAUUUAAGUCUUUGAAUUUUUUUAAACCUGCAGCUAAUAUUCUACAGCAAAAUUAUCUACAAUCACAGCAAAAAAAAUCUACAGAUUUAUUUUUAAAGCAAAAAUAUAAAGCUACAGCUCUUUCCAAUCAUCCCCAAGUUUCGUUAAUACUAUUAACAUUCCUUUUAUUGAAAUUUUCAAAUAAUUCAAAUAUAAAGAAAAUUAAUUGCAUGAUUCAACUUACCCUGUAUACCAUUUUCCCUUCAACAACACACUUUUCAUUAGAACAAACAUUUUUUUUUGUGAAACUUACGAAUCCCCUGCAUCCCAUAUAUAUAAUAACUAUUAAUUUCAUGUAUAUACCUGUUAUAACAUUUUUUUUUUUGGUAGGAUACCUGUUAUAACAUAUUAGUUCAUUGAAAAGUUAAAGUAAAUGACUUUUAAAAUUAGAAAACCAAAUAUUAAUUUUUCUUGAAUAAAUAUUCUACAUAAUAUAUAAAACGUUUUUUUUUGUGGCAAUAUACAAUAUGUUAUUCCAAAUGAUUCGACUUUUCAAGUAUUUGAUCAAUAGGAAAUAAUGGAACGGCAUAUGCUGGAGAUCCAUGAUUUGAUGUCAAAAGGUUCAAUUUAAUAAUUUUAAGUUCAGAAACAAAAAUAUCAACUUAUGGAGGACCGGAAGUGAAAAUAAGGUAAGUUUGACCAUUGUUGCUCUUCGAUCGAGCUGCACUUCGAUCCGCGACGGCGAGGCUUGACUCGAAUAUUUUUUUGUGUAUGUCGUAAUUGUAUAUUUUGGGUGACAUGCUAUAUUUUCGGUUUUUGUUAAAAAAUGGGAGAAAACGAAAGGCGUUUUCUGGCUCUUUCUAAACUACUCCACUUCCCCUCAUCGACUAAUUAAUUAGAGCUUUUAGCAACAAAACAAACUAAUCAAUGAGAGUUCUCCCUUGUUAUGACAUAUUUUAAAUUAUAUGAUAAAAUUUUGAAAUAUAAUCCCUAACAAAUAUAAAUAAAAAUGCAUAAUUCAUGAUAUGCAAAGAAAAUUGAAUAGAAACCUGCAAAAAAAAUGAUUGAAUAAGUAAUGAUACAUAAUAAAAUAGUUAAAAUAUUUAUUAUUUAUUUAUAAAUUCCAGUGAAUAGAAAACAAAAUAAAAUUUACAUACCAUUAUAAAAAUAUUCUGAAAACCACUUUAUAGUCGAAAUUCACUGUCUUUGUCUGUGUUGUGUAUCAGUUAACUUAAGAAGCAAAUAAAAUUAACAUUUUAUUUAUUUAAAAUUUUAUUGAAUAAAAAAAUAUUAAAUUUACGUCCUGUUGACUACAAAAUAUUUUGAAAAAUUUAUCUGUAAACAAUAGUCAUUUUUGUUUUCUAUACGGCUUGCCUAGUCUAUCGGUUAUUAGAAUCGAGAUCUCGACUUUAAUCUACAAAGUGCAACAUAUAACUAAAUAUACAUAAGACUGAUAACAAAAUGAAUUAAGUCAUGUUACAUACAUGUUUAAGUUAGUAUAAACUUAAUUUGUUAAAUAUAAUUUAAAUAAACAAAAUUAUUAUAAACUUAAUUUUAUAUUUAAUUAAAUCAAAUUUAUAGUAAGAUAUUAAUAAGAAAAUGAUAAAAUUAUCAAUAUUAAUAAAAUUGAUAAAUCAAUUUUAUGUUUAAUUAAAUCAAAUUUAUUGUAAGAUAUUAAUAAGAAAAUGAUAAAUCAAAUUGAAAUGCAUCUCAUAAACGUUGUGACUGCAUAUUUAUAUGGAUCGUUGGAUAAUGAUAUAUAUAUGAAACUCCCCGAGGGAUUAAAAAUGCCAGGGGCAUUGAAAGAAAAAUCCAGGGAGAUUUGUUCGGUCAAGUUACAGCGAUCACUUUACGGAUUAUAGAAAUCCGGACGCAUGUGGUACAAUUGCUUAAGUGAAUAUAUCUUGAAAAAGGGAUAUGUGAAUAAUGCAAUAUGUCUAUGCGUUUCUAUAAAGAAAUCGUCAUCUGGCUUUGUGAUCAUUGUUGUAUAUGUAGAUGACCUGAGCAUAAUUGAAACUCAAAAAAGGAGGUUGUUGAUGCUUGAAAUCAUAUGAAAGAGGAGUUCGAAAUGAAAGAUCUCUGAAAGACAAAGUUUUGUCUUGGGCUCCAGAUAGAGCAUCUCCGAGAAAGAAUAAUUGUGCAUCAAUCAAAUCAUACGAAAAGGUUAUUGAAACGCUUUUGUAUGAAUAAAGCGACUCCUUUGAGUACUCCAAUGGUAAAUAGAUCUCUCGAUGUUGAAAGAGAUGUUUUAAAAGAUCCUGGUAAGAUCUUAUAUAAAUAAGUACUUUGGAGAUGCUAAUGGUAAUAAAGCAUAUGAGAGCUUAUAUAUCUUGUGAGUUAUUUUUGAUGAAAUAUACUUUUAGACACUCACUACAAGAAAACACAUGCUUAACGACGAAAUUUAACGAGGAAAAACAAUCCUCGUAAAUUUGCGUCGAGUUUAUGAGGAAUUUACGUGAAAAACUAAAGUCAUCGUUAUUUCCUCGUAACGUAACGACAAAACUGUUUCGUCGUAAAGUGGAUGUAACUUUACGAGUAUUUUACGAGGAAAAACUAUUUCCUCGUAAAUACGACGUAAACUUUGCGUGGUAUUUACGAGGAAAUAGUUUACGUGUAUUUAGCGAGGAAAUUUUUGAAUCCACCAACUUUAUAGGUGUUACACGUUUUUUUUGCCCACCUAAUUAAUUUUCGUCGUAAAUUCAUAGGAAAAUUACAACUACCAGAUUCGAAUUUUCCUAUAAAUAUGGAUGUUUGAACAUCAUUUUAAACACACCAACAACAAAAAACGUGAAAGAAAAAAAAUGGCUGGCUCCGGGACUAUUUAUGAGUUGCGGAAGUGGAUGUAUAUGCAUAGAGAUGGUAACGGGAGAGUGACGAAAGAAUACCUUGCGGGUCUGGAGACAUUUAUGCAUCAAGCAGAUUCAACACCGCUCGCCCAAGAAAGUGGUAAGAUGUUCUGUCCUUGUCGGAAAUGCAACAAUUCGAAACUGGCAAACCGUGAAAAUGUUUGGAAGCAUUUAAUAAAUAGAUGUUUCACGGCAAAUUACUAUAUCUGGUUUCAACAUGGAGAAGGUUUUAAUUAUGAUCAGAACGAAACUAGUAGUAGUAAUUGCAAUUUUCAGGAAAAAGAACCGGUUGAUCAUCAUUUGCAUAAUGAACAUAGUUACCAUCAGGAGGAGAUGGUAGAUUAUGAUAGGGUUCAUGAUAUGGUAGCUGAUGCAUUCGUAGCUCAUGAUGAAGAUGAAGAACCUAAUAUAGAUGCAAAAAAGUUUUACGAAAUGUUAAACGCGGCGAAUCAACCACUUUACAGUGGUUGUAGAGAAGGUCUCUCUAAAUUGUCGUUAGCUGCUAGAAUGAUGAAUAUUAAAACUGAUCACAAUCUACCUGAAAGUUGCAUGAACGAAUGGGCGGACUUAUUUAAAGAGUAUUUGCCGGAAGACAAUGUGUCUGCUGAUUCUUAUUAUGAGAUUCAGAAACUGGUUUAUAGUCUUGGGUUGCCUUCGGAGAAUGAUAGAUGUUUGCAUCGACAACUGCAUGAUCUAUUGGAGAGAUGAUGAGAAGCUAGAAGAAUGUCGAUUCUGCAAGAAGCCACGAUUCAAGCCGCAAGGACGGGGACGUAAUAGGGUACCGUACCAAAGGAUGUGGUACCUACCAAUUACAGACAUAUUGAAAAGAUUGUAUCAAUCAGAGCAGACUGCUGGAAAGAUGAGAUGGCAUGCCGAGCAUACUCAGACGGAUGGUGAGAUGACUCAUCCAUCAGAUGCAAGAGCCUGGAAACAUUUCAACAAAGUACAUCCAGAUUUCGCUAGCAAUAUUCGGAAUGUGUAUCUUGGAUUAUGCACAGAUGGAUUUAGUCCGUUCGGAAUGUCAGGGAGACAAUAUUCAUUGUGGCCAGUCUUUCUUACUCCAUACAACCUGCCACCGGAGAUGUGCAUGCAACGGGAGUUACUAUUCUUGACCAUAUUAAUACCUGGUCCGAACCAUCCAAAAAGGUCCCUGGAUGUUUUCCUACAACCACUGAUAAAAGAGUUGAAGGAUUUGUGGUCAACAGGGGUGAGGACGUAUGACUGUUCAACGAAGACGAAUUUUACGAUGCGAGCGAUGCUUUUGUGGACCAUAAGUGAUUUUCUUGCCUAUGGGAUGUUGUCUGGAUGGACUACACAUGGGAGAUUAGCUUGUCCAUAUUGUAAUGGAACGACAGAUGCGUUUCAACUGAAGAAUGGUAGGAAGACAAGUUGGUUUGAUUGUCACCGUCGAUUUCUUCCCAUUGGCCAUCCUUACCGAAGAAACAAGAAUUUGUUUAGGCACAAAAGGGUUGUGAGAGACACUUCUCCUCCAUAUCUAACUGGAGAACAAAUUGAAGCGCAAAUCGACUACUACAGAGCUAACGAAACAGUUCGUUGGGGUGGUAAUUGGCAUGUCCCUCGUAAUAUGCCAGAUUCUUACGGUGUUCAUCACAACUGGCACAAGAAGAGUAUAUUUUGGGAGUUGCCAUAUUGGAAGGAUCUUCUUCUGCGCCACAACCUCGAUGUGAUGCAUAUAGAGAAGAAAUUCUUUGAGAACAUCAUGAAUACAAUAUUGAAUGUCCUAGGGAAGACAAAAGACAACAUAAAAUCGAGGUUGGACUUGCCGGAUAUUUGCUCAAGAAGCGAGUUACAUAUUAAAAGCAAUGGACAAGUUCCCGUUCCGAUAUACAGAUUAUCUUCAGAAAAAAAGUCGGUGUUGUUCAACUGGGUGGCAUCAGAAGUGAAGUUCCCCGAUGGGUAUGUUUCAAAUCUCUCUAGAUGUGUUGAAAAGGGUCAAAAGUUCUCCGGGAUGAAGAGUCAUGAUUGUCAUGUAUUUAUGCAACGACUACUGCCCUUUGCAUUUGCGGAGCUACUUCCAACAAACGUACAUGAAGCACUUGCAGGUACGUAGUGUAUUAUAUCACAAUAAUUUACAAAAUAAUAUAUGACUAACAAUGUGUUUAAUUUUUUUGAAUAUAAAAGGCAUUGGAGCAUUUUUCAGGGAUCUGAGCACACGCACUCUUAAAAAAGAAGUUGUGGAACAGCUUCAGGAGAACAUUCCCAUCUUAUUGUGAAACUUGGAGAAGAUAUUUCCUCCCGGAUUUUUUGACGUCAUGGAGCAUCUAGCUGUCCACCUCCCAUAUGAGGCAUUGCUUCGUGGACCUGAACAUUACGGAUGGAUGUAUCAGUAUGAGCGAGCCAUGAAAUAUUUGAAGGGAAAAGCAAAGAACCUCGCCAAAGUUGAAGGUUCUAUAAUUGCUGGAAGUUUGACGGAAGAAGUUUCUCACUUCACAUCGUACUACUUUGUGUCAAAAGUACGUACACGGAGAAGAGCUCCAAGAAGAUAUGAUGAUGGUGGUGUUGCGCCAACAUAUGUAGUUGCUGGUGUUCCAGACAUCUUUAGCCAGAUUGGGCGACUCGGUGGGAAGUCUAAAGAGGUUUGGUGGUCGAGUGAACAAGACGCUCAUAGUGCACACACCUAUAUUCUACUCAAUUGCGAAGAUCCAUUGAUUCGUUAUUUUGAAAGGUAACAUAUAUUGACACUUCAAAACACAUAUAAGUAUAAUUAAUUGUAUAAUUGCGAGAGAUUCAUUCCUACAAAAUGUGAUUUUACAGCCUAUUUGUUUCUCAAGUCGAAGAAACAUUUCCUGGUAUAUCCACAAGUGACGUAGACAAAAGGAAAGAUCAACACUUCAUUAAGUGGUUGCGGAAUCAUGUAUUAACUAAAAAAAUUUUCAUAUAUUAUCUGUAUUUCAUUAACAUUCUCUUUAUUUUUGCAGGUUGAUUAUGACGACGACGAUGCAGAUUAUCCUACGUGGUUACACGAAGUAAUUCAAUCUCCACUUGUAAAGGUCACCACAUCACAGAUGUAUUUCACACGAGGCUAUACUUUUCAUACAUAUGACUAUGGUAGACAACGGGAGACCAGUAACUAUGGAAUAUGUGUGAAAGGGGAAACAGAUUUCUACGGGAUCUUGACGGAGAUUAUUGAAGUCGAAUUUCCAGGGAUACUGAAGCUGAAAUGCGUCCUCUUCAAAUGUGAAUGGUUCGACCCCGUCGUCAACAGAGGUGUUCGGUCUAACAAAUUCGGUGUAGUUGAUGUCAACGGUGGACGAAGGUACAACAAAUUCGAGCCUUUCAUCUUACCUUCACAAGCAGACCAAGUUAGCUUCCUUCCAUACCCUCGGAUGAGAGAUUCAGGUAUAAAUUGGUUAGCAGUAAUCAAAGUUACACCUCGAGGACGAAUCAUUAGUGGAGAAGAACCACCAUUGCAAGAAGAACAGAUAAAUGAAGUUGAGGAACCUGAACAAGAAAUUGAUGAUAUCCUUCUCAUUGAUCCGCAUAAUCACGAGUACGAAGAUCUUACCGAUGAUGCCACAGACGAAGCUGUUGAAGACGAGUUUAAUGAAAAUGAUGAUGUUUCUAGUGAUGACGAGAAUGUCGAUAUAUCCGAUUGAUGUAUUUGUUUUAUGAAUAAGAUGAGGGAUUUUGUUUUAUGAAUAAGAUAAUGUGGGGUUUGUUUGAUGAAUAAGGUAAUGUGGGAGUUUGUUUUAUGAAUAAGCAAAUGUGGGAAUUGUGGUUUGGAAUGGAAAUAAAGAUGGGGUUUGGAAUAUAUGAAGUAGAAAAUAAGGAAUAUGGGGUUUGGGGUUUCGGGUUUGGGGUUUUGGAUUCUAGGGAUUUAAACAUAACACUCGUUAAUUCCACGUAAGCUUAAAUCGUCGUAAAGUCCUCGUAUUCCAACGAGUAAAUAACGACGAAGGACUCGUUAAUUCCACGUAGGACUAAAUUGUCGUAAAUACCACGUAGGAUGAAUUCGUCGUAAAAAUCACGUAGGAUGAAAUCGUCGUAAAUAUAACGUAAUACAACGAGGAAAUAACGACGAAACCUAAAAAUAAAUAUGGGGUUUGGAAUAUAUGAAGUAGAAAAUAAGGAAUAUGGGGUUUGGGGUUUGGGGUUUCGGGUUUCGAGUUUGGGGUUUGGGGUUUCCGGUUUUGGGGUUUCGGGUUUUGGAUUUCGGGUUUCGGGUUUCGGGUUUUUGGUUUCGGGUUUGGGUUUUGGGUUUAGGGGUUCGGGGUUUGGGGUUUCGGGUUUUGGAUUUCGGGUUUCGGGUUUCGGGUUUCGGGUUUCAGGUUUCGGGUUUGGGGUUCUAGGGAUUUAACCAUAACACUCGUUAAAAAUAACGACGAAACUUAAAAUUAAAUAUGGGGUUUGGAAUAUAUGAAGUAGAAAAUUAAAGAUGGGGGUUUGGGUUUCGGGUUUCGGGUUUGGGGGUUGGGGUUUGGGGUUUCGGGUAUGGGGUUUCGGGUUUCGGGUUUCGGUUUUGGGUUUUGGGUUUCGGGUUUCGGGUUUCGGGUUUCGGAUUCUAGGGAUUUAAACAUAACACUCGUUAAUUCCACGUAAGCACAAAUCAUCGUAAAGUCCUCGUAGGAUGAAAUCGUCAUAACUACCACGUAAAAUGAUUUAAACAAAACACUCGUUAAUUCCACGUAAGCAGAAAUCGUCGUAAAGACCACGUAAACGGAUUUAUACAUAAACCCGUUAAUUCCACGUAAGCAGAAAUCGUCGUAAAUACCUCGUAGUGUAAAAACUAGAAAAAAAGGGAAAAUGAUCAAAAUACCAGAAUAACAUGUGGCAAGACUUCCAGCAAUUAUAAUACGUAAGUCUCGCCCACAUGAAUUCUAAUAUCUUAUCCUUUUCCUAUUUUUUUCAAAUAUUUAUAAUUUGAAUAGGAUUUUGCUAAGGAAUGUGAUUUCAGAUAGGGUGUAAUUUGGGAGUUUGUGUGUGGUUUGAGAAUGAGAGUUGUGGGUAUAUUUAUAGGAAAGCAAGCCUCGUUAAUUCCACGUAAGCUAAAUCGUCGUUGAUACCUCGUAUAAAAAAACACGGGCCUUUGUGAUUCCUCGCAAUUUCCUCGUAAAAAAAAAACGGGCCUUUGUAACUGCUCGCUAUUUCGUCGUAAACUUACGAGGAAUUUGCGACGAUAUGUAAUCUUAUAUAUACACCCGAGCGCUCACUCUUUCUUUCCUCUCUACUUCCUCUCUACUUCCUCUCCAUUUCGUAGCAAUGGUAAGCCUCUCUGAUUCCUCUCCAAUUUGGUUAGUUUAGGAUAGAUUAAGUGGUUAGUAUAGGGAAUUUAGAUAGGUUUGCGGAUUUUAUGUUGUUUAGUGUUGAUUAUGUGGAUAAUGUUGGGAAAUAUAUUGUUGAUGUUAAUUUUAAAAAUUUCAUUUUUUCCCAGGUUCGAAAAGGAAGGCUUACUGCCCAUUACAGAGAGAUCUUCGGUGAGCCGGGUAGUCGUUUAGACCCAGCCUCUUCUUCCGCUCCCAGUUCUUCGGGCCAGGAGACUGUCCCCGAGACUCAGUACACUCAGAGAGUCUCUGGGUCUACUUCUUCUACUGCACCAUCGGCUCCUCAUGUGCCUCCUCCGAUGCCUCCUCCUGUGCCUCCUCCGAUGGCACCUCCGAUGGCCGCCGAUAUUCAUCCUGAUUUGAUGGUGCCUUCGAGUGCUCCUUACACGCAGUACACUGUAGAGGACAUUCUCAGUCUGCCAGGCAGAGAAGGUUUACUAGUCAUCGACCCAGACCAACCGGACGGAACUUUGUGGUAUGUUGCAUUAAUUUUUUUUUAAUUAGUUUAAAUUUCUUUUAUAACAUUAAAAAAUAAUUUAUAUUUUAAAUUUGUAUUUUUCAGGUGGGGGGUUGACGGAUGUCUUGCAUCGGACGUAACCGACACGAUCAAGGGUUACUUCUCCAUGCCACAUCCAAACUGGAGUAAGACGCCUCACUACGUCAGAAAGACGUGGUUCAAAAUUUACGCUGUAAGUUUCUAUUAAUUAAUUAUAUAUACUUUAAUUUUUUCAUGAUUUAUAUAUAUACUUUCUAAAAAACUAAUUGUUAAUUUAUUUUUCCAACAGCAAAAAUAUACUUGGGUCUUGGGGAUCACUGAGAGGGUGAGGAAGAAGUUUAACGCGAAGAUGAAAGUUCGCUUGUUAGACACGGUCUCCAACUGGAAGGGUGACUGGAUCGUGAAGGGGUAUGAGCGUGGCAAACCCGCUGAGCUCACCACGGAUGUGUGGGAUGGCCUCAUCCGUUAUUGGCGCCUUCCUGAUUCCAUUAGAAUCGCCCAGGCUUGCUCUAACUCCCGUAACACGGUCGAUGAGCACGGGAACGGGCCGAUGCUUCACACUAUGGGCCAAAAACCCCACGCCGGUGUCCGUUUGGAAAUGGUAAUUAAAUAUUUUAUUAAAUAAUUUUUUUAAUAUAUAUAUUAAUUUAUUCUAACUUUCUUAACUGUUUUUUAGGCCAAAGAGACAGGACAUCUCCCGUCUCUUAUAGAACUUUACGAGAGGACCCACAAGAACAAGGCGGGCGUAUUUGUAGAUGGCAAGUCCGAGCAAAUCUACAACGACGUAGUUGCUCGGGUUGAAGACCGCCAGACUCAGCUGACCCAGCAGUCUACCGACGGAUUACCCAUCAACUUAUCCACACUUGAAGUGGAUAAGAUUUACGAGGAGGUAAAUUUUCAAAAAAAUUAAUUUUUUAUUAUUCAUUUAAUUUAAUUUUAAAUUUUUACUUACAAUAUUUAUUUUUUGUUUUUAAGUUUGUCCCUAAAAAAAAGGGACGGACGUUGGGUAUUGGUUCCGUCAACGAUGUUCCGAGAGCGACAUCGUCUUAUGGUCAGCGACGGGAUGAUGAAGUCACUGAGCUGCGUAGAGAGUCCGCUCAGCUGCGUAACGAGUUGACCGCGACAAAAUCUCGUAUGGGUGGAGUCGAGGGCUUCUUGGACGUUAUUACGGCCACAAAUCCGGAAUGGGAGUCCAUGUUGAGGAACAUGCGACAACAACAUCCCAUUCAAGGCGAGUCAUCCGACGUACAUAACGAGGCGGAUGUUACGAGGAGGAGUGAUGAAUUCUACCGGGCGAUGAACGACCCUUAGUUUUUUUUUUUGGUUGUUGUAUUAUAUAAAUUCAAAACUUAUUUAUAUAUAAAAUAUUUUCAUAUUGAUUUAUUUUUAUUUUAAAUUUUAAUUUAUUAUUAAAUUAAAUAAUUUUAAUUAUAUUUUUAAAUUCUGUAAAAAUAAUAAAAAACGAAGUAAAUUCGUAGCUAAUGUACGACCUCUUUACGUGGAAACCUUACGAGGAAAUGACGAGAAACAGUUAACGACUAUUUUACGAGGAAACAUUUGCGAGGAAAUAACGAGGAAAAGUUUACGAGUAUUUUACGAGGAAAUCGUUUCGUGGUUGUUACGUGUAUUUUGCGAGGAAACUCUUUCAAGGUAUUUACGUGUAGGUUACGAGGAACUCAUUUCGAGGUAUUUACGAGGAAUUGUAGAGACGUCCUUGCGUGGAAUAUUGACGUGGUCUUUACGACGAAUCGCCCUACUUCGUCUUUACGACGAAAUAUAUUCCUCGCUAAGUUACGACGAAUUAGCGACGAAAUAUGUGUUACGACGGACGAGUAACGAGCAAACGCGCUUCCUCGCUAUUUCGUCGUAAAACCUCUUUUACGACGAAAUAACGAGGAAAACCGCCCUCGUUAAGGUUAUGUUUUCUUGUAGUGACUAAUGUCUUUGCAAGAUACAACUCAUUUCCUAUUCAUGGAAAUUAGAACGGCGUCGAGAAUAUAUCUGUUCCCUCCAAGGUACACUUGAUUUAGAGAUGAUGUAUUGUAGAAAACCCGAGUUUGGUAUGGUUGGUUUUGCAGAUGCAUGAUACUUAUCAGAUCCUCAUAAGGCCCGAUCGCAAACCGGCUAUGUUUUUACAAUUGGUGGAACCGUGGUCUCUUGGCGAUCCCAGAAAUAAACUCUGGUUGGAACUUCAUCGACUCAUGCAGAAACUAUCGCGCUUCACGAAGCAUGUCGAGAAUGUGUGUGGCCUCGCUCAAUGAGGUACCACAUACAAGAAUCAAGCCGAAUAGUCAAUGAGAAAGAGCCGACGAAAUUAUUUGAAGACAAUUCGGCUUGUGUUGUUCAACUUAAAGAAGGUUAUAUCAAAAGCGACAGAACAAAGCACAUCCCUCCUAGAUUUUUCUCAUACAUAAGGGAGCUCGAGAAAAAUAAAGAAGUAGACAUCGAGUAUGUACAGUCAUGCGACAAUCCAGCUGACUUGUUCACAAAAGCUCUUCGGACUAAAUUCCAAAAACACGUCUACGAUAUCAGAAUGCGGCAUUUGCGUGACCUGUGACGAGAAAGCUAUGUCUACUAUUAUCAGGGAGAGAUUACGGCAAUGUACUUUUUUUUUUCCACUAUUGUUUCCUUCUUCUUCCUAAUAUACCAAAUACAUAAAAAAUAAUAUAAUAUACAAUUACCUCACUUUUAUUAUACAACAGUUUUGAAUUUAUCAUACAUUUUCCUUUAGGUAAAUGCUCUUUUUUGCAAGCCGAUAGACACACCACAUCAAAAUUUGGUUUGGUACAGGCAUCAGCUGGUGCAUAAGCGGCCGGAAGUUUUUUACAAUACGGAUUAGUUCUGGUAGGGCGAGAAUUUAGCAUUCCUGAUAAAGUAGUAAGUACAAAAAUAUUAGAGUUGAGUAUGUAAAAUUGUUGGUACAAAUUUGAAGAAAUUCAAGUAUUAGAAAACAUCUUAUAACUUUUAAAAUAAAAUAAAAUAAUGUUCUUGGUUUUAAACUUAAUUUUGAUUAUUUAUUAUUUUUUGAAUUUUAUAAAAGAAUAUAAACACGUAAUAAUUUUUUAUUGGUUAAAAAGUAAAAAUUUUGCAUUAUAAGUGAUAUGUCUUACAUAUUUUAAAUUUUAAAUUUAAUCAUUUAAGAUAAUUAUAUGAAAUGUUAAAUAAAUUUUAAAAUAAAAUGUUAAAUUUUCUUUUUAAUUGCGUUUGUUGUUUAUAAAUAAUAAAUAAUUUUGGUUUUAAAAUGCCAGAGUUUAACAGAUUAUUUUUAAAACACACAAUAAUCAUUACCACAAUAAUUUACCCUCUGGUGAGUUUCAUAUAUUAUAAUAUAAAUUACCUAUUGAAAUUAACAAGCAAAUCAGGAAAAGAGCGGCCGAGCCAACUAUUUACAUUUAUUUUUCUUUGUGUUUCCCUUUACCUUUUUUUUUUGUCUUAGAUGGAAUGGCUUAUGCAUGUAACUAUUAUGCUGUAAUAUAACUCUUCUAUUGUUAUUUUGGGUAAAUAAAUCACAUGGUUAUCCAUAAAAACUGCACCGUAAAAAGAGGAGGUGUUAUAAAAAUUUCCUUGGUUUUACAUUUUCAAUAUUUCACUACAAGAAAACAUAUUUUUUACUAAGGCAGUAUUCGUUGUAAAUUCGUCGUAAACGGGGUGUUACGACGAAUUAACGUCGAAAGACGUUUCGUUGUUAAACGUCCGUCGUAACGGAGGUUUCGUCGUAAACGACUCGUUACGUUUACGACGAAAUAUAUUCCUCGUAAAGAGCAGGGAAAGUAUUCGUCGUAAAUGCCACGUAAGACUUCGUCGUAAAGCCCACGUAAUUAUUUCGAUGUAAAGCAAACGUAAAUACUUUCGUUGUAAAUCACUCGUAAACAUUUCGAUGUAAAAUCCUCGUAAAUAUUUCGAUGUUAAUCACUCGUAAACAUUCGAUGUAAACUCCAUGUAAUGUUUACGAGGAGUUUACAUCGUUUCUUAUUAUAUUAUUAUUAAUUAGUAUAUAAUAGAUUUUAAUUUAUAUUUAAUAUUCAGAAUUUAAAAUAAUUUAAAUUUUAAAACAAAAUAUGAAAUUGGAAAAAAUAUUUUUAAAAAGUCAUACAAUAAUAUUUAAAUUCAUAAUACAAACAGAAAAAAAAAACUACAUAUUGUCGAAGUAGUUGGUGGGGUUGCUCGGCUGUUGACGGGUUGGAUCGGACUCUUGGGGAUCUCGUGGUGGCAUUCCAAGAGCGGCUCGUCUCUCACUCAACAUUCUCUGCAUAACCGGGUUUCCCACGGCCAUCACGUCUAGCAAAUCCUCAAGAGAGUCUAAACGAACCUGCUGGCUAUCCAUUUGAGCCUUCUGGCUAUCCAUUUGAGCCUUCAUCUGAGCAGUCUCUUCAUUCCGUCUCGAAGUGUAUGACGAAGUUGCCCUUGCAACUUCGUUAACAGAGCCUAUACCGACUAUCCGUCCCUUCUUUUUAGGAGCCACCUAUAAAAUCAAAACAUAUAUUAAUAUAGUUAAUUAUGUUAAAAUAUUUAAAAUAAUGUAAACUAAAAUUUUAAGUUACCUCUUCAAAGAUUCUGUCGACCUCUUGGGUGGACAAUGUGACCGGUAAUCCAUCGGGAGACUCCUGGGUUAGUUGUGUCUCCCGUUCUUCAAUCCGACCAGCCACUGUUUGGAAGAGUUUCUCAGAUGCAGGAUCCACAAAAACUCCGUCGGAUGUGGCGUGAGUCAUCUUCAAUAGGUCAGACAGAGAAGGUAAGACUUCCGUCUUCUCGAACUACAAAACAAAAUUAAAUUAAAUAUUAUAAAUUAUAUUAAUUGAAUAUUUUAAAAUAUAUAUUUAAAACAAAACUUACAGCUUCUAGGCGGACUCCUGCAUGAGGUUUUUGUCCGGUUCUGUGAAGCAUGGGCAAAUGACCAUCUUUAUCCUUCGUCCUUCGAGAAGCCGAGCACGAAUUGGCCUUUCUGGUCGAAGAGGGGUCCUCCCAAUAGGCGAUGAGGCCAUCCCACACAUCCGUCGUGAGCUCAGUGGGCUUUCCCUCAUACCCGUAGAUCUCCCACUUGUCCUUCCAAUCAGAGACUGUGUUGCAGAGGCGUAUUUUUG